rnacentral:lncRNA from 1 species
AUAGCUAGGACAAGUUCUGCACCUUUUCUAGGUGAAAAUCCUAUGUUUUGAAGUUUGAAUUCAUCUCUAAUCAAGUCUUGUAGCACACCUUAUCUAAGAACUGAUCCUUUCACUUCAUAGACCAUAUUGAACUUGAGGUAAGUGUUAAGUGUAUAUUUUUACACUUAAUGGUACCUUUUAAUUGGAGCUUUUGGUGUGUUUUAAUGAUAAUUGGUGCUUAAAAUGGUUAUUAUUUGUAUUUUAGGUGCAAAUUGAAGAAUUGUCAACUUUUGGGGUGAAAACUGCAAAUUCGGAGAAAAAGUGGGCCAAAAGUGAAAAAAUCAGAUUUCUGAAGAAUUGAAGACCGCGCGGCCGUGCGGAUUUCAGGCGUAAAUCUCACACGGCCGUCCGGAUGGUCGUGGUGGCGCAGUGAAGGAAGUUUAAUUACACAAGGAAACCCGCCCUAUUAUAUUUUUGCACCCUAUUUAAAGGCCAAAAGCACACAAUUAGGAAUUAUCUUUUAAUCUUUUAUUAUCUUUUAUCUUUAGUUUUUAUUUUUCAUCUUUCUACACGCAAUCAAGGAGCACAAGAACGAAGACGAAGACUUGACGACUCUUCAUCAUAGUUCUCCUCUUUUAUUGUUAUUUAUAGCUUUUAUGAUUUUUCAUCUUUUUAUUAUGCUUUUCGUAGAGAACAUGAGUAGCUAAGUUUUUAUUCUAGGAUUUUAUUGGAACCCUAUGUGGUAAUUCGAACCUCUUUUUCGACUUUUAUGCAAGUUUAAUUCUUCGAUUAUUUAUUCUAUCUUGAUCUUAUUUAGCGCAUGAACGUAGGCGCCGUUGCCGGGGAAUACGGCUAAAUUAUUCAUUUAUCCUAAUAUGAAAUUUGAGCAAUUUUUCUUACUUCAGCCAAUUUAUUUAUUUUAUUUAAUUAUUUUUUUUAUUAUUAUUUUGUUUUAGGUACUUUUUAUGCGAAGAGGACACGACACGAACUUGCUACCUCUUGAUCCCGAAAUUGAGCGAACGUUUAGGCAAGCCAGGAGAAAUCAACGGUUAGCCCAAAACACUCCGGCAACUAUGGAAGACGAGAAUAGUCGUGGGGGAGGUGACCAAGGGCGCCUACUGAAUGCGGCAGGGGAAAUCGUUAUCGAGCAAGAGCAACGCCUGCUAAUCAAUCCACCGCCUCGUCAACGAGCAUUGCAUGAGUACACCGUCCCGACACUCAAUGGGUUCCAAUCAAGCAUCCAGCAGCCCCCCAUUGAAGCCAACAAUUUCGAGAUUCGAGCGGGACUCCUCACGAUGCUCCAAAACAAUGGUCUAUUCAGCGGAUUGGCUCAUGAAGAUCCACAUCUUCACUUGGUCAACUUUCUCGAAACGUGUGACUCGCACAAGAUGAACGGAGUAACACCCGAAGCAUUGCAACUCCGCCUGUUCAAGCACUCCCUACAAGGAGCAGCCCGAGAAUGGUUGCAAACUCGUGCACCGCACUCCAUCUCGUCGUGGGCCCAGCUAGCUCAACUUUUCAUGAACACAUACAACUCCCCAACAAAAACUGAGAGAAUCCGGCGAGAAAUUCAAAACUUCAUACAAGAAGCCGGUGAAGCAUUAUUCGAGACGUGGGAGCGGUUCAAACAGUUAGUAAGGAGGUGCCCGAAUCACGGACUACAAGAGUGGCGCCAACUGCAAAAAUUUUACGAUGGACUGCAAGACAACUCGAGGACAGUGCUCGACUCUACAGCUGGAGGCAUGUUCAUGAGUUUGACUUACGACGAAGCAUACGAACUCUUGGAGCGGAUCGCUAGAAACAAAUACAUGCGGGCAUCGGACCGGUCGAAUAGCGGAGCAGUCAAGACUGGAGGAAUUUUGGAGUUAGAUGGAGUCACUGCAAUCACGGCCCAAUUGGAGAAGCUAUCGAAGCAAGUAGUGGCUUUGCAGACUAAGCAAGUCCACGCAGUCCAAGUUCCCGACCAGCGCAUAGAAGAAACGGAGUCUCUGAAUUAUGUGCAUGACACCAACCGACAACAGAGGAACCUGUACUCCAAUACUUACAAUCCCGGAUGGAAGGAUCACCCUAACUUUGGGUGGGGAGGAAAUCAGCAAGGACAAAGGCAAGCAACACCUCAAGGUCAAACACCAAAUCAUUCACGACCAGCUCCUGGAUUCCAAAAUCCGCCUCAAGCUCAACCUCAAGGUGUAGAUCUCGCAAAUAUCUUGGCGCAAUUCAUGACAACCACCCAAGCCUCCAUCCGGAAUUUGGAAACACAAAUGGGUCAACUUGCAACCCAGCUAACCACGAGGCCAUCGGGAGCACUGCCGUCGAAUACGAAAGAUCCUCGGAAGAACAACGUCGAGCAGUGCAGCGCUGUGAGUUUAAGGAAUGGGAGACAAUUGGAGGAAGCCCCACGAAAAGAGAAGCAAAACACGGUGAUCGAGAAGCCAAGCGUGAUUGGAGAAAAAGAAGCGACUCACGAAGAACCACUAUCAUCUCCAGUGAAAUCACGAGCCCCUCCGAUUUCAUAUCCUCAGAAGCUUAUGAAGAAGAAGCUCGAUGCCGAGUAUCAAAGAUUUUUGGACAAGCUGAAGGAAAUCCAAUUAAAUAUCCCGUUUAUUGAAGCCCUUCAAAAGAUGCCAAAAUGGGUGAAGUUCCUCAAGGAUCUCGUGACGAAAAGGAAGAAAUUGCAAGGGAACGAGAUGAUCCAACUCACGGAACAAUGUAGUGCAAUUCUUACACGGCCCCUUCCACAAAAACUCGGCGAUACAGGUAAGUUCACUAUCCCUUGUACUAUAGGAGGUAAAAAUUUUAGAUCGCUUAUUGAUUUGGGUGCUAGCAUUAAUCUUAUGCCUUAUUCCACUUAUAAAAAUCUUGGGUUAGGUGAGAUUGAACCUACGGCUAUAACUCUGCAAUUAGCCGAUAGGUCUUUGGUUUACCCAAAAGGUAUUUUAGAGAAUGUGCUAGUAAAGGUGAACAAAUUUAUCUUCCCGGUUGAUUUUGUUGAACUCGAUAUAGAUGAAGAUAGGGAGAUACCUCUUAUUUUAGGGAGACCGUUUUUAGCCACUUCGAAAACUCUAAUUGAUUGUGCUAGUGGUGAUCUUACAAUGACGGUGCAUGAUGAAACGAUCAAAUUUAAUGUUUUUUGUGCUAAUAAAAAUCCAUGUGAGAAUAAUGAGUGUUUUACUAUUGAGCUUAUGGAUUUUACAAAUCAUGAAAAUUUUGAUGUUUCAAUUUUGGACCAUGGGAAAGCAUCGUCGAGUGCAGGAGAUGACAACGGAAAAGGGAAUCGGAAGGAGCACGUUUGUUGUGCGAACUCAAUUUCAACACCUCCGAGAGAUAGUCAAAAGAGUUGGGGUGCUAACGGUGAUGAACGUGCAAGGAGGAUGUGGCCACCUAAAAAAUCAAACGAGCGUCAUCGAGGAGAGGAAUCCAAUUGCCAAGUGACUUCGGUCACGUUAGCUUAAACAAAGAAGCAGACAAAGUCCGGCUGAAGACUGUAAACUUAGCGCUUCUCGGGAGGCAACCCGAGCUUUCGUUUUUCUUUCUUUUAUUUUAUUUUUUUUAUUAUUUUUGUUUUUAUUUAUUUAGCUUGUUAGUGUUCGUUCUUAUUUUAUUUCAGUUUUGAAAAAAAAAAAAAAAGUUUCAGAGGCACUAAUUAGAAGUUUUUAUUUUAUAGGGACUUAAUUGCAAUUCUUCACACGGCCGUGCAAGAAAAAGGCAGGAAUCUCACACGGCCGUGUGAGAUUUCGGAUGAGCUACUGUCCAAAUUGGCCAAUUGAUGCGGCCGUGCGGAUUUAUGCCUACAAUCUCGCACGGCCGUCCGAAAUAUAAAGUGGCUACUGCCCAAAUUCAACAAAUGGUGCGGCCGUGCGGAUAUUAAGCCUCUAUCUCGCACGGCCGUCCGAGGGAAAAAACGGGGGCAGCUUUAAAUAGAAUUUUUCACACCCCAAGCUUCACAAAUCCAAAACCUCUCUCUCAUACUUCGAACCCUAACGUUUUCUUUUCAAAAUUUUCGAUUUUCUUUGACAAAUUUCACCAGAAAUUCACCAAUUACACACACAUAAUACUUAAACUUGGUUGUUUGUUGCUGAUUUGUGCAGGGAGGAGUCAAGAAAGGUACAAAUUUCUCCAAAAAUCCAUUCCACCACGAACGCCCACAAGGUGUCCGACGAAUUGCCCAAGUCAAGUUUGGGGGAAAUUUUGCACAUCAAUCCACUCCUAAACCCUUCCACACACAUUCUCAAGUCAUGGGGAAACGAGGACGUGACGGAGAGGGCACUUUGCGAAGGCCCUUCAAAAGGCAAGGGGAAGGGCAAGAAAACCGAUCAAAUUCCAACACCCGACGAAGAUGCUUGUUGUGUCGAAGGCGGUAGUGCUCGCUUUGAGAAGCAAAAAGUGAAGAAACUAGUGACGGAACGUGCCUAUGAGAUCACCCUUCCACAAUUUGCACCGUUGCACCAAGAAUUUCUACGACGAGGUUGGCAAGCAUUAUUGGAACCGGAGGGUUCGAUCAACCUAUCAUUGGUCCGCGAGUUCUACGCCAACAACCGUAUCCUCCUCACAACGGAUCGGAACUCGAGCACGGUUCGAGGAAAGAAGGUCGAUUGGUGUGCCCACGCAAUCAACUCUUUUUAUCACCUCCGACACACGUCAUUCAAUUGGGAGCAAUUGCAACUUGCGGUCACACGAGAUCAAAUCGCCGAGGUGUUGUGCGAUGGACCCCCCAUUUGGUCCAACCUCUCAACCGAAGAAACGUACGAGUUGGAGUGGAAAUGCAUUCACCAAAUAGGCAAGGCGUGCCUUACGUUCAUUUUUGCCAACCUCAUUCCCACCCGCUCGUGGACUCACGUGGAUCCCGAACGGUGCGCCCUUGCUUACCACAUUCUCAAGGGCACACCGAUCAACAUUGGCGAAAUCAUAUCCGACCGAUUUUGGACCUCCAUGGUCAACAACUCCAAGGGGUUUUAUUUCCCUUGCCUAGUUACCGGCUUGUGCAAGAAGGCGAAGGUCCCAACCAAAACGACGGAUAUUCUCACCUCGAUUCGGAAGCCGAUGAGUAACCUUGCGGCCCGACAAUACAAGGCACCCAUCCAAGAUGGCGAGCAACCCGUCGAUGGCCAACCAAUAGCUCCACCCGAGGGUCCAAGUACAAGUUCGGACCGGCGAUUUCAAAGAAGAAUGGAGCGCGAGUUGGUGAUUACGAGAAAUCGGCUUGCCAAGGUGGAGCACAAGGUGAGCACGAUCGAAUCCCUCCAACGAUGGUCGGGAAAGAUGCUCCAAGCCAUUGUGCGCCAUUUGGCUUGCGGCAAUCCCGAGUGCGCCGAACCGGUUCCGUUGCCCGCACCGAUUCUUGAGCCGGUACCCGAGCUUUCGGGUGAUGAAGGAGAUGGUGAUGCUCAUGCGCAAGGUGGAGUUGGUGAGCAACCUGACGAUGGUCCCGACGCUUAAAAACAGGUGUUUUCUAUCCUUAAACUCCGGGCGAAUCACAUUGAGGGCAAUGUGAAUUUUAAGUUUGGGGGUGGUUAACUACUUGUUUUCGUUUAUGUGCGCUUUAUUUGUGUUUUAUUUUUUAUUUUUUAUUUUUUAUUUUGCAUGCUUUAGUUUUUGUUUUAGUUGCCGUUUUAUUAUUUCCGUUUUUAUUAUAUAUAAAAAAAAAUAAAAAAAAAAUAAAAAAAAAAUAUUUUUCGAUGCAUCGAUGAACUAUGAUGAUGGGAGAUGGUCAAUGUUUGAUGAUGAGAUUACUUGUUUUAUGUUGAUAAGGAGUAUGUAUUCGUUUAGCUUUCGAUUCAACGGAACGUAGAAGUGAAUUAUUGCUAGGAAUCACACCUUGUGCAUUGCUUUGGUUGAAUGUUUUGCAUUUUAAAUUUGGAAUUUAUUUGUGCUCAAUCAUGUUUUGUUCGGUUUUAAAUCUCACCUUAGGACAUUUAUGAUACGAAGUGUUGAUAGUAAGUGAAUUGGGAUAUGAUUUGGGCCUUCUUUGAACCGUUUGAGCCUUUCAAGCCUACCCUUUUUGCAAAUUAUCCUUAGAACCUUGAUUUGAGCAUCGGAGAAAAGGUGUUCUUUCUUUUAGCCAAUAUGUAGAAGGUAGAAAAGUGGAGAUUUUUGAAUAAAUAUCCCUUAGUGGUCGGUCGAAAAAUUCUUAUAAGAUCUUUCUUCUUCUUCGAAAAAAAAAAUUAAAUAAAUAAUAAAUAAAUAAAUAAUAAUAAUAAUAGAUAUAUAUAUGUGCAUCUUCAUAUAUAUAUCUAAAUUCUUCGAUUCGAUUAAAAAAAAAAAAAGAAGAAGAAGAAUAGAUUAGAAGGGAGAAAUAAGGACUAGUUGUUGAAUUGUGUUGAAAACUCGAUCCAUUGCCUCAAAAGCAAGAGUGUUGACGUGUGAAUUUUGGAGAAUCGAGUUUAUUAAAGUCCCUAGAGGUGAAUUCAUUGUUUCAAACGCCUAUCUUUCAAAUUUUGGCGUAAUCACCUCAAUUCAAGAAAAUUAGCCACACAUACCCAUAUUACCUACCUCGGACCAAAGAGCCUAACAAUUGAAAGCCACAAAGCCCCAAUGAUCCCAAUAAAUUAUUGUUCAAUAUUAGUUGAGUAAAAUAAUUUGGUGAGUAUUUGGAGUCAAAUAUAUGCAUGUGAGUAUAAAUUUUCUCUAUUUUUAACUUGCAAAUAUUGGAUACUUGAAGCAAUUGUAUGAUUUGUGGUUUUUGGUAAUAGUGAGUGACUAAGUACAGUUGAAUGUUAAGCUUGCGAAUACCUAGGAAUUAUCAUCAUAAUUGCAAGUUCUGAAAACGCGAAGUUGACCAAUCGAUCUAUGUAAUGAGAUGUAUAAUCGUCGUUUGUGCUUGUAAAUUGAUUUUACUUGAGGACAAGCAAAAGUUCAAGUUUGGGGGUGUGUUAAGUGUAUAUUUUUACACUUAAUGGUACCUUUUAAUUGGAGCUUUUGGUGUGUUUUAAUGAUAAUUGGUGCUUAAAAUGGUUAUUAUUUGUAUUUUAGGUGCAAGUUGAAGAAUUGUCAACUUUUGGGGUGAAAACUGCAAAUUCGGAGAAAAAGUGGGCCAAAAUUAAAAAAAUCAGAUUUCUGAAGAAUUGAAGACCGCGCGGCCGUGCGGAUUUCAGGCGUAAAUCUCACACGGCCGUCCGGAUGGUCGUGGUGGCGCAGUGAAGGAAGUUUAAUUACACAAGGAAACCCGCCCUAUUAUAUUUUUGCACCCUAUUUAAAGGCCAAAAGCACACAAUUAGUUUUAAUCUUUUAUUAUCUUUUAUCUUUAGUUUUUAUUUUUCAUCUUUCUACACGCAAUCAAGGAGCACAAGAACGAAGACGAAGACUUGACGACUCUUCAUCAUAGUUCUCCUCUUUUAUUGUUAUUUAUAGCUUUUAUGAUUUUUCAUCUUUUUAUUAUGCUUUUCGUAGAGAACAUGAGUAGCUAAGUUUUUAUUCUAGGAUUUUAUUGGAACCCUAUGUGGUAAUUCGAACCUCUUUUUCGACUUUUAUGCAAGUUUAAUUCUUCGAUUAUUUCUUCUAUCUUGAUCUUAUUUAGCGCAUGAACGUAGCUAAUUUAUGUUGCUAUUUCUUAUUGUUAGAAUUGAUUGACAGAUCGUUUUAAUAAUUAGAACAGGGAUAGAAGAGCCUUCGAGUAGUUUUCACCGGAUGAGUGUGUUAAUUGCAUGUAUUAUCGUAGACAUACAGAUAAUACCUUAGGUAGCCGUUUACGAGACUUGUUAUUUAAUGCUUUAUUUAUACUAGGUUUGCAUAGACAUAUAGGGAAUCUUUUAUGAAUAAUAGGUUUAUAACGCAGCGACAGCUGGUUAUGAGUAAUUUCGUGUCUUGGGUUAAUAAUCGGGAAUCGUAACUUGCAUGAUAGGAGAUUAAUUGGGUGAAGAAUUAUCGCAUAGGGGGAAGAUAAAAUCCUAGAUCCGUUUAUUAUUGAUAUUUUUCUCGUGUUUAAUUGCUUUCUUAAUUAGUUUAAUUUGUUUAGUUAAUUAAUUUGACAACCCUGCGUAGGCUGGAUAAAAAUCACAAUUGUUAGGAUUUGGUACUUAGGAUUAAAUAAUUUGCGUAUUCCCUGUGGGAUCGACAUCCGACUCUCACGAGUCUACUUUACUACUUGUUUGCGAUACGUACACUUGCGUGUUGGUAUUUAGCACCCAACAGUAAGUUGAAGCUUUCAUUUGCUCAUGAUAAGAACCAAAUUAUGUGUGCUUUAAUGUGACUUUUGCUACGUGUUAUCCAUGAUGUUUGAAUGAUUGAUGAGUCAUAGUGAUAUAAAAGAAUAUGUUUUGAAAAUGGGAGUAUGGUACUUGAUUGAUGGUCGAGUAGGCAAGGGACGCGGGAGGAACCGGCGGACCCAACGCAUGGUGGCAAAUACCUGAGGUCGAAAGACCAGUAUGGAAAACCCACAAUUAAAGAAAUGAAAUACGGCUAAUACCUGAGGUCCAAAGGCCGGUAUGGAAACCCCCUUAUUAUCUAUUGGCCAAAUGUGAUGAACAGGUUCCGAAAAUCACAGUCUAUUGCUAUCAAUCAAGUACCACACUUCAAGGGUACCCGAUAAAGAGAAGGAUUUCAAAGAAAAGGAUCAUGAAUGAAGUUAUAUGUGAUAUUGUACUUAUUGAAUGAAUAAUGCGUUAUGUGAUAUAUCGCUAUUACAUCAGUUUCAACUUGCUGAGCCAUUAGCUCAUUAGGUUCUUAUGAUGCAGGUAAUGAUGUACAUGUUUAGAAGUUGACCUAGCCAAGAGCGGCCAGUCAGAGAUUUGUUCAUAUGCCAUGCUUCGAGCCAUUUUUGUAGCCGAGCUAGAAACUCUGAUUUCAUUUUGUUAGCCGCUCGUUUAUGGUUUUUGUACAAUGUAAUUUUAUGAACAAUAAAUAUUUAUAUAUAUGUACAGAUUUCGAGAAAUUACAAAGCUUGAUUUCUUUUCAAAGCAUAUAACGUAUUUUUGUAUUAAAACCAUAAUGUUUAAGUAUAUAUAAAGGGUUAGCAUCCCUAACUUAAUGGUGGUGAUCCAAUUGGAUUCUGUUGUUAGGUUGUGGGGCGUUACAUUAAUACACAUCAACAAACAACAGCAAAAACACUAGAUAAAAAAGAUACAGUGGAGUGUAGAAAUAAAACUCUACGUUUACGUGGAUAUUUUUUCGUAUUAAUUUAUAUUUCUAUAUUAAUUGGUGGAUUUGGUAUCUUACAGGUACAAAUCGAAAAUUAGGUGUGCUUGAAGCAAAAAUGAUCAAUGAGUAAGAAAAGAGUUGCAAUUAGGAAAAUAAAAUCAAAUUAGAAGAGAGAAAUCCCCGAACAUCUUUGGUAGUGUCCACGAUGUCGAGCAUAACUUUCUCAUCCGGACUCCAAAUCAACUGGUUCCGGCGGUAUUGGAAAGCUAUUUCAGCUGGCUACAAUUCCUGUCUAAAGGCAAAAUUCCAAAUUCGGACUCGAACAUGGUCAAAAUUGGAUUCCAAAAGCGAUCAUUGAAAUACGUACUAUAGUUCGAGAACAUGAAUGCGCAUCAAGAAACGUGCACAAAAACACUCGCCAGAAGAGAUACGCACAUAAGUAAAAGUACAAAAGCAUGCACAAAAGAACUCACGCAAAAUUGCAUUCGCAAAAAAAACCAUGAAAACACAAACUACAAUCCUAGGACAUUAAUACAAAUCAAUAAAACAUGCAUCAGCACACUCGCUCAAAUGGACAUGCACAAACGUACAGGUAAAAAAACAUGCGCAAAAGUGCAUUUGCAACAUCGUUCUUAAAAACACGAACUACAAUACUAGGACUUUGAUACGCAUCAACAAACAACAGCAAAAACACUAGAAAAAUAAAAUACAGUGCAGUGUAGAAAUAAAACUCUACGUUUAGGUUUACGUUUACGUGGAUUUUUUCCGGAUUAAUUUAUGUUUCUAUAUUAAUUGGUGUAUUUGGUAUCUUAUAGGUACAAAUCGAAAAUUAGGUGUCCAGGAAGCAAAAAUGAUCAAAGAGUAAGAAAAGAGUUGCAAUUAGGAAAAUAAAAUCAAAUUGGAAGCGAGAAUCCCCGAACAUCUUUGGUAAUGUCCAUGAAGUUGAGCAUAACUUUCUCAUCUGGACUCCAAAUCAACUGGUUCAGGCGGCAUUGGAAAGCUAUUUCAGCUGGCUACAGUUUGUGUGUAAUGGCAAAAUACCAAAUUCGAACUCGAACAUGGUCAAAAUUAGAUUCCAAAAGCGAUCAUGAAAAUAUGUACUAUAGUUCAAGACCAUGAAUGCGCAUCAAGAAACGUGCACAAAAACACUCGCUAGAAGAGAUAGUCACAUAAGUAAAAGUACAAAAGCAUGCACAAAAGUACUCACGCAAAAGAUCAUUCGCAAAAAUGAUCAUGAAAACACAAACUACAAUCCUAGGACAUUAAUACAAAUCAACAAACAUGCAUAAGCACACUCGCUCAAAUGGACAUGCACAAACGUACAUGUAAAAAAACAUUUGCAAAAGUGCAUUCGCAACAAUGUUCUUAAAAACACGAACUACAAUACUAGGCCUUUAAUAGCAUCAAUAAACAACAGCAAAAACACUAGAUACAAAAGAUACAGUGGAGUGUAGAAAUAAAAUUCUACGUUGACGUUUACUUUUACGUGGGUUUUUUUUCGGAUUAAUUUAUAUUUCUAUAUUAAUUGGUGGAUUUGGUAUCUUAUAGGUAAAAAUCGAAAAUUUGGUGUCCAGGAAGCGAAAAUGAUCAAAGAGUAAGAAAAGAGUUGCAAUUAGGAAAAUAAAAUCAAAUUAGAAGAGAGAAUCCCCGAACAUCUUUGGUAGUGUCCACGAAGUCAAUCAUAACUUUCUCAUCCGGACUCCAAAGCAACUGGUUCCGAUCCGGCGGCAUUGGAAAGCUAUUUCAGCUGGCUACAGUUCUUGUCUAAUGGCAAAAUACCAAAUUUGGACUCGAACAUGGUCAAAAUUGGAUUCCAAAACCGAUCAUGAAAAGACGUACUAUAGUUCGAGGACAUGAAUGCACAUCAAGAAACGUGCACAAAAACACUCGCUCGAAGAGAUACGCACCUAAGUAAAACUACAAAAGCAUUCACAAAAGUACUCACGCAAAAGUGCAUUCGCAAAAAGGAUCAUGAAAACACAAACUACAAUCCCAGGACAUUAAUACAAAUCAACAAACAUGCAUAAGCAUACUGGCUCAAAUGGACAUGCACAAACGUACAUGUAAAAAAACAUGCGCAAAAGUGCAUUCGCAACAACGUUCUUAAAAACACGAACUACAAUACAAGGACUUUAAUACACAUCAACAAACAACAGCACAAACACUAGAUAAAAAAGAUACAGUAGAGUGUAAAACUAAAACUCUACGUUUACGUGGAUUUUUUUUCGGAUUAAUUUAUAUUUCUAUAUUAAUUGGUGGAUUUGGUAUCUUGUAGGUAUAAAUCGAAAAUUAGGUGUCUAGGAAGCAAAAAUGAUCAAAGAGUAAGAAAAGAGUUGCAAUUAGGAAAAUAAAAUCAAAUUAGAAGAGAGAAUCCCCGAACAUCUUUAGUAGUGUCCACGAUGUCGAGCAUAACUUUCUCAUCCAAACUCCAAAUCAACUGGUUCCGGCGGCAUUAGAAAGCUAUUUUAGCUGGCUACUAUUUCUGUUUAACGGCAUAAUUCCAAACUAGUACUCGAACAUGGUCAAAAUUGAUUCCAAUAGCGAUCAUGUAAAUACGUACUGUAGUUCGAGAUCAUGAAUGUGCAUCAAGAAACGUGCACAAAAACACUCGCUGGAAGAGAUACGCACAUAAGUAGAAGUACAAAAGCAUGCACAAAAGUAAUCACGCAAAAGUGCAUUCGCAAACAUGCAUAAGCACACUCGCUCAAAUGAACACGCACAAACGUACAUCUAAAAAAACAUGCGCAAAAGCGGAUUCGCAAAAAGGAUCAUGAAAACACAAACUACAAUCCUAGGACAUUAAUACAAUUCAACAAACAUGCAUAAGCAUACUGGCUCAAAUGGACAUGCACAAACGUACAUGUAAAAAGACAUGCGCCAAAGUGCAUUCGCAACAACGUUAUUAAAAACACGAACUACAAUACUAGGACUUUAAUACGCAUCAACAAACAACAUAACAAACACUAGAUAAAAAAGAUACAGUGGAGUGUAGAAAUAAAACUCCACGUUUACGUGGAAUUUUUUUCGGAUUAAUUUAUAUUUCCAUAUUAAUUGGUGGAUUUGGUGUCUUAUAGGUACAAAUCAAAAAUUAGGUGUGCAGGAAGCAAAAAUGAUCAAAGAGUAAGAAAAGAGUUGCAAUUAGGAUAAUAAAAUCAAAUUAGAAGAGAGAAUCCCCAAACAUCUUUGGUAGUGUCCACGAAGUCGGGCAUUACAUUCUCAUCCGGACUCCAAAACAACUGGUUCCGGCGGCAUUGGAAAGCUAUUUCAGCGGGCGACAAUUCUUGUCUAAUGGCAAAAUUCCAAAUUCGGACUCGAACAUGGUCAAAAUUUGAUUCCAAAAGCGAUCAUGAAAAUACAUACUAUAGUUCGAGAACAUGAAUGUGCAUCAAGAAACGUUACUAAAACACUCGCUGGAAGAGAUACACACAUAACUAAAAGUACAAAAGCAUGCACAAAAGUACUCACGCAAAAGUGCAUUCGCAAAAAGGAUCAUGAAAACACAAACUACAAUCCUUUGACAUUAAUACAAAGCAACAAACAUGCAUAAGCACACUCGCUCAAAUGGACAUGCACAAACGUACAUGUAAAAAAACAUGUGAAAAAGUGCAUUCGCAAUAACGUUCUUAAAAACACGAACUACAAUACUAGGACUUUAAUACGUUUCAAUAAACAACAGAAAUUACGCAUCAAUAACGUGGAUUUUUUUUCGGAUUAAUUUAUAUUUCCAUAUUAAUUGGUGGAUUUGGUGUCUUAUAGGUACAAAUCAAAAAUUAGGUGUGCAGGAAGCAAAAAUGAUCAAAGAGUAAGAAAAGAGUUGCAAUUAGGAAAAUAAAUUCAAAUUAGAAUAGAGAAUCCCUGAACAUCUUUGGUAGUGUCCACAAAGUCGAGCAUAACUUUCUCAUCCGAACUCCAAAUCAACUUGUUCCGGCGGCAUUGGAAAGCUAUUUCAGCUGGCUACAAUUCCUGUCGAAUGGCAAAAUUCCAAAUUCGGGCUCGACCAUGGUCAAAAUUGGAUUCCAAAAGCGAUCAUGAAAAUACGUACUAAAGUUCGAGAACAUGAAUGCACAUCAAGAAACGUGCACAAAAACACUCGCUAGAAGAGAUAUGCACAUAAGUAAAAGUACAAAAAAAUGCACAAAAAUACUCACGCAAAAGUGCAUUCGCAAAAAGGAUCAUGAUAACACAAAACUACAAUCCUAGGACAUUAAUAAAAAUCAACAAACAUGCAUAACCACACUCGCUCAAAUGGACAUGCACAAAUGUACAUGUAAAAAAACAUGUGCAAAAGUGCAUUCGCAACAACGUUCUUAAAAACACGAACUACAAUACUAUGACUUUAAUACGCAUCAACAAACAACAGAACAAACACUAGAUAAAAAAGAUACAGUGGAGUGUAGAAAUAAAACUCUACGUUUACGUGGAUUUUUUUUCGAAUUAAUUUAUAUUUCUAUAUUAAUUGGUGGAUUUGGUGUCUUAUAGGUACAAAUCAAAAAUUAAGUGUGCAGGAAGCAAAAAUGAUCAAAGAGUAAGAAAAGAGUUGCAAUUAGGAUAAUAAAAUCAAAUUAGAAGAGAGAAUCCCCAAAUAUAUUUGGUAGUGUCCAGGAAGUCGAGCAUAACUUUCUCAUCCGAACUCCAAAUCAACUAGUUCCGGCGGCAUUGGAAAGCUAUUUCAGCGGGUGUCAAUUCUUGUCUAAUGGAAAAAUUCCAAAUUCGGACUCGAACAUGGUCAAAAUUGGAUUCCAAAAGCGAUCAUGAAAAUAUAUACUAUAGUUCGAGAACAUUAAUAUGCAUUAAGAAACGUUACUAAAACACUCGCUAGAAGAGAUACGCACAUAAGUAAAAGUACAAAAGCAUGCACAAAAGUACUCACGCAAAAGUGCAUUCGCAAAAAGGAUCAUGAAAACACAAACUACAAUCCUAGGACAUUAAUAUAAAGCAACAAACAAGCAUAAGCACACUCGCUCAACUGGACAUGCACAAACGUACAUGUAAAAAAACAUGUGAAAAAGUGCAUUCGCAUCAACGUUCUUAAAAGCACGAACUACAAUACUAGGACUUUAAUACGCAUCAACAAUCAACAGAAAAAACACUAGAGAAAAAAUGUACAGUGGAGUGUAGAAAUAAAACUCUACGUUUACGUGGAUUUUUUUUGGGAUUAAUAUAUAUUUCUAAAUUAAUUGGUGGAUUUGGUAUCUUAUAGGUACAAAUAGAAAAUUACGUGUCCAGGAAGCAAAAAUGAUCAAAGAGUAAGAAAAGAGUUGCAAUUAGGAAAAUAAAACCAAAUUAGAAGAGAGAAUCCCCGAACAUCUUUGGUAGUGUCAACGAAGUUGAGCAUAACAUUCUCAUCCGGACUCCAAAUCAACUGGUUCUGGCGGCAUUGGAAAGCUAUUUCAGCUGGCUACAAGUCCUGUCUCAUGGAAAAAUUCGAAAUUCGAACUCGAACAUGGUCAAAAUUGGAUUCCAAAAGCGGUCAUGAAUAUACGUUCUAUAGUUCGAGGACAUGAAUGCGCAUCAAGAAACGUGCACAAAAACACUCGCUAAAAGAGAUACGCACAUAAGUAAAGUACAAAAGCCUGCACAAAAGUACUCACUCAAAAGUGCAUUCGCAAAAAGGAUCAUGAAAACACAAACUACAAUCCUAGGACAUUAAUACAAAUCAACAAACAUGCAUAAGCACAGUCGUUCAAAUGGACAUGCACAAACGUACAUGUAAAAAAACAUGUGCAAAAGUGCAUUCGCAACAACGUUCUUAAAAACACGAACUACAAUACUCGAACUUUAAUACGCAUCAACAAACAACAGCAAAAACAAUAGAUAAAAAAGAUACAGUGGAGUGUAGAAAUAAAACUCUACGUUUACGUUUACGUGGAUUUUUUUCGGAUUAGUUUAUAUUUCUAUAUUAAUUGGUGGAUUUGGUAUCUUAUAGGUAAAAAUUGAAAAUUAGGUGUCCAGGAAGCAAAAAUGAUCAAAGAGUAAGAAAAGAGUUGCAAUUAGUAAAAUAAAAUCAAAUUAGAUGAGAGAAUCCCCGGACAUCUUUGGUAGUGUCCACGAAGUCGAGCAUAACUUUCUCAUCCAGAAACCAAAUCAAUUGGUUCCGGCGGCAUUGGAAAGCUAUUUCAGCUGGCUACAAUUCCUGUCUAAUGGCAAAAUUCCAAAUUCGGACUCGAACAUGGUCAAAAUUGGAUUCCAAUAGCGAUCAUGAAAAUACUUACUAUAGUUCGAGAACAUGAUUGCGCAUUGAGAAACGUGCACAAAAACACUCGCUAGAAGAGAUACGCACAUAAGUAAAAGUACAAAAGCAUGCACAAAAGUACUCAGGCAAAAGUGAAUUCGCAAAAAGGAUCAUGAAAGCACAGACUACAAUCAUAGGACAUUAAUACAAAUCAACAAACAUGCAUAAGCACACUCGCUCAAAGGGACAUGCACAAACGUACAUGUAAAAAAACAUUUGCAUAAGUGCCUUCGCUACAACGUUCUUAACAACACGAACUACAAUACUAGGACUUUAAUACGCAUGAACAAACAACAGCAAAAACACUAGAUAAAAAAGAUACAGUGGAGUGUAGAAAUAAAACUCUACGUUUACGUGGUUUUUUUUCGGAUUAAUUUAUAUUUCUAUAUUAAUUGGUGGAUUUAAUAUCUUAUAGGCACAAAUCGAAAAUUAGGUGUCCACGAAGCAAAAAUGAUCAAAGAGUAAGAAAAGAGUAACAAUUAGGAAAAUAAAAUCAAAUUAGAAGAGAGAAUCCCCGAACAUGCUUGGUAGUGUUCACGAAGUCGAGCAUAACAUUCUCAUUCGGACUCCAAAUCAACUGGUUCUAGCGGCAUUGGAAAGCUAUUUCAGCUGGCUACAAUUCCUGUCUCAUGGCAAAAUUCCAAAUUCGGACUCAAACAUGGUAAAAAUUGGAUUCCAAAAGCCAUCAUGAAAAUACGUACUAUAGUUUGAGGACAUGAAUGCGCAUCAAGAAACGUGGAAAAAAACACUCGCUAGAAGAGAUACGCAUAUAAGUAAAAGUAUAAAAGCAUGCACAAAAGUAAUCACGCAAAAGUGGAUUCGCAAAAAUGAUCAUGAAAACACAAACUACAAUCCGAGGACAUUAAUACAAAUGAACAAACAUGCAUAAGCACAGUCGCUCAAAUGGACAUGCACAAACGUACAUGUAAAAAAACAUGUGUAAAAGUGCAUUCGGAACAACGUUCUUAAAAACACAAACUACUAUACUAGGACUUUAUUACGCAUCAACAAACAACAACAAAAACACUAGAUAAAAAAGAUAGAGUUGAGUGUAGAAAUAAAACUCUACGUUUACGUGGAUUUUUUUUCGGUUUAAUUUAUAUUUCUAUAUUAAUUGGUGUAUCUUAUAGGUACAAGUCGAAAAUUAGGUGUCUAGGAAGCAAAAAUGAUGAAAGAGUAAGAAAAGAGUUGCAAUUAGGAAAAUAAAAUCAAAUUAGAAGAGUGAAUCCCCGAACAUCUUUGGUAGUGUCCACGAAGUCGAGCAUAACUUUCUCAUCCGGACUCCAAAUUAACUGGUUCCAGCGGCAUUGGAAAGCUAUUUCAGCUGUCUACAAUUCAUGUCUUAUGGCGAAAUUCCAGAUUCGGACUCGAGCAUGGUCAAAAUUGGAUUCCAAUAGCGAUGAUGAAAAUACUUACUAUAGUUCGAGAACAUGAAUGCGCAUCGAGAAACGUGCACAAAAACACUCGCUAGAAGAGAUACGCAUAUAAGUAAAAGUACAAAAGCAUGCACAAGAGUAAUCACGCAAAAGUGGAUUUGCAAAAAUGAUCAUGAAAACACAAACUACAAAUCAAGGACAUUAAUACAAAUCAACAAACAUGCAUAAGCACAGUCGCUCAAAUGGACAUGCACAAACGUACAUGUAAAAAAAAACAUGUGUAAAAGUGCAUUCGCAACAAUGUUCUUAAAAACACAAACUACUGUACUAGGACUUUAAUACGCAUCAACAAACAACAACAAAAACACUAGAUAAAAAAGAUAGAGUGGAGUGUAGAAAUAAAACUCUACGUUUAGGUGGAUUUUUUUUGGAUUAAUUUAUAUUUCUAUAUUAAUUGGUGGAUUUUGUAUCUUAUAGGUACAAGUCGAAAAUUAGGUGUCCAGGAAGCAAAAAUGAUGAAAGAGUAAGAAAAGAGUUGCAAUUAGGAAAAUAAAAUCAAAUUAGAAGAGAGAAUCCCCGAACAUCUUUGGUAGUGUCCACAAAGUCGAGCAUAACUUUCUCAUCCGGACUCUAAAUAAACUGGUUCUGGCGGCAUUGACAAGCUAUCUCCGCUGGCUACAAUUCCUGUCUAAUGGCGAAAUUCCAAAUUCGGACUCGAACAUGGUCAAAAUUGGAUUCCAAUAGCGAUCUUGAAAAUACUUACUAUAGUUCGAGAACAUGAAUGCGCAUCGAGAAACGUGCACAAAAAGACUCGCUAGAAGAGAUACACACAUAAGUAAAAGUACAAAAGCAUGCACAAAAGUACUCAGGCAAAAGUGAAUUCGCAAAAAGGAUCAUGAAAACACAAACUACAAUCCUAGGACAUUAAUACAAAUCAACAGCAUAAGCACACUCGCUCAAAGGGACAUGCACAAACGUACAUGUAAGAACAACAUGUGCAAAAGUGCAUUCGCUACAAAGUUCUUAAAAACACGAACUACAAUACUAGGACUUUAAUACGCAUCAACAAACAACAGCAAAAAAACUAGAUAAAAAAGAUACAGUGGAGUGUAGAAAUAAAACUCUACGUUUACGUGGUUUUUUUUUCGGAUUAAUUUAUAAUUCUAUAUUAAUUGGUAUUUAAUAUCUUAUAGGUACAAAUCGAAAAUUAGGUGUCCAGGAAGCAAAAAUGAUCAAAGAGUAAGAAAAGUGUAACAAUUAGGAAAAUAAAACAAAAUUAGAAUAGAGAAUCCCCGAACAUGUUUGGUAGUGUCCACCAAGUCGAGCAUAACUUUCUCAUCCGGACUCCAAAUCAACUGGUUCUGGAGGCAUUGGAAAGCUAUUUUAGCUGGCUACAAAUCCUGUCUAAUGGCAAAAUUCCAAAUUCGGACUCGAACAUGGUCAAAAUUGUAUUCCAAAAGCGAUCAUGAAAAUACGUACUAUAGUUGUUGGGUUUCGGGCACGCGUACGCAGCGGAAAACAAAAAUUUUAUGCGAUUUAAACGACUUUAAAACACAUAAGCACAUGCCCGAUAAAUUAAAUCAAUUAAUUGCGUACCUUUGCGCUUCCAGCGAAAUUAAAUAACGACAUAUAUGCUAAUUAAUUUAACCGAAUUUAAAUCAAUUAACAUGCUCGCGUAUAAACCAAAUAACAUGCUUGCAAUGAUUUAAAACGAUUACAGAUAAUCACAUAAAAUCAUACGAAAGCAAACAUGAAUAUAUAUUGCGUUUAAACGAAACAAGAACUUCGAGUUCGUGUGUUUACCUCUUGAAGCGUGAGGCAGGAGCGCUAAGUAAGUCGAGAUUGCUACGGAAACCAAUCCGUACAAUCGGGGCAGCAGCGGUGCAGCGGCAGCGGCGGUGAGACGGCCACGGCGGCGCGUGAAUCUCACGUGCGGUCUUCCGGGACGGCGCGUGGGGCAGCGUGCGGCUUCGGCUCGUGCGCUGCUCCUCGAUUCUUCGAUCUUCGGUCUUCCUCCUCUCGGAUUUCACCUCGUAUAUUUCGAUCUACUAAACACGUGGCACUAGACACGUAAUAGUUAGAAAAACGGAAGAAAAAGAGAAGGAAAGAUAAUACCGAAACAAUCGGCCGACGAACGGCCGAUUCCGGUGAAGCUCCGGCGACGGCGCCGGUGACGGCCGCGGGGAGAGGGCGAGAGGGAGAGGGAGAACGGCUGCUAGGGUUAGGGUUUUUCACUUGUGUGUGCAAGACCUAUAAAUCUUGUAUUUAUAGUGUCUUGCAUAAAACCCUAGCGGGCUUAAGUUGUACCGGGCCCAACAGCUUAAGUUCGCUAGUACUUUUACUUGCUCGUUUCUCUCAAUCCAAUGACCGAAAAAUUGCAACAAUUACAUUUUCGGAAUCAUUAUAAAGUCCUCGUCAUUACGAGUGUCAAUUCUCAUUUUCCAACUUUCUAAAAGUGGAAACCCUAGUUCAGUGCACUUUCUAAAUUUGGAAACUUCCCGAUUUAGAAAGUCCACUACAACUUUCGCCUAUUCUUUUCCUUUUCUUAUUCUCAUUCGUAAUUCCAAAUCACGAAUGUUGGACUCAAUUGUAUUGACUUCCAAUUAUGCAAAGAUAAACUGUUUUAUCUCUGACCGUUUAUUCAAAGAUCUCAUGUGCACGAGUAGUGUGACCCUCGAUGGUUCAGGUGUAAGCUAGCCGUGGGCCCACAACUCUUUGUGGUCAAAACUUGUCCCUUAGAGUUACGAUUAAGAUGAAACUCGUUUCACCUUAGUCACCCAACGAAUUAAGAUUGGCGUCUAGCAACUACGCGUCAUGAUUCUCUAGAUACAAAUGAAGUGCCUGCAAGAACCUUCAUAUAUAGUUAACGUACAGAACGGUCCCUUCGAUGCAUAUGUCCCGAUCGAACUAGAGGCAUUGGUUCAUCGAGACCUCUUUAUAUGUUCGAUGACGGUGCGAUCGUUCUAAGUGUUGUAAUCCUUACGUGCAUGACUUAGAGAAUCGAAUUCUCUAAUCAUCACUUAGUCAGCUCUGGCCAGAGACUUAGAAUGAUUACAAACUUUCAGAACACACAGGACAUCCAAGACUAUUCUAGCGAUCGAAUCCCCGACUACAAUGCACAGACCUCCCACUAGAUUUCGGACUGCACGAACACUGGCCCUUGGGAUGGUCCUCGGUGGAACUCAGGGACAGGUCACGAUACAGCUGGUCCUCUAGUGAAGUCACGGUGAUGUCUAGGUCAUAAGGACUAAUGGUGUACAACUAUACCAUAGAUAUCUCUACUCGAUUAUUGGGAACCACUUAGAGAUUUCUAGGGUGAGGGAGUUCAGUGAACUCGUCAACUUACGAGCACCCACUUAUGCAUGCCGAUAUCACAAUACCGUUUACUGAUGAGAUGCAGUACACAUACACUAAGUGCUAGUCUUAAUGGGAAAGGCCGAUAUCCUCAUUAGUGGCGUAACCCUUCGACUAGGAACACGUUUAACAGUUAUAAUACUUAAGUAAAUAUCUCACGAUCCUAACGAUCAAUUACUAGUACUUGUAAUAACUGUAAGGACUAUAUCUAUGCUUGUGACAAAGGGACAAAGAUAUAGAAUGCCAAGGUGUUUUAUCAUUAAUACGAAUAAAGGUUCGUUUAUUACAAUAAUAAAUACGAAAGACCACAGCCGCAAGUUGGCUUGUUGGUCACCUACUCUAACAAUCUCCCACUUGACCUAAAGCCAACUACCCAUGAAUCGCAAUCCCAUCGACUCUCGAUGUUUCUCAUGGACCGAUCUCGGUAAAGGCUUCGUAAAGGGGUCUGCAACGUUCUCUUCCGAGGUGACUCGUUCAACCUUAACUUCACCUCUAUCAAUGAUCUCUCGGAUCACGUGAUACUUCCUCAGAAUAUGCUUCGACUUCUGAUGAGAUCGUGGCUCCUUAGCUUGUGCCACGGCUCCGGUGUUAUCACAGUACAACGGUACUGGAUCACUAGCAUCAGGAAUGACACCCAACUCUUGGAUGAAUUUCCUUAUCCAAGUCCCUUCCUUUGCAUCUUCGGACGCUCCAAUGUAUUCCGCUUCGGUAGUGGAAUCGGCCGUCGUGUUUUGCUUGGAACUCUUCCAACACACGGCACCACCAUUAAGCGUGAAUAUGAAUCCAGAAUUCGACUUUGAGUCGUCCACGUCUGAUUGAAAACUAGAGUCGGUAAAACCCUCUAAUUUCAACUCGGCAGCCCCAUACACCAAAAAUAUAUCCUUAGUCCUUCGCAAGUACUUGAGGAUAUCUUUCAUGGCUUUCCAAUGAGCCGGGCCGGGGUUAGACUGAUAUCUGCUUGUGACACUCACAACAUACGCAAUAUCGGGUCUCGUACAUAGCAUGCCAUACAUUAUGCUUCCUAUGGCAGAAGCAUAGGGCGUCCUUUUCAUCUCCUCGAUUUCACUAGGUGUCUGCGGACACAAAGAUUUCGAGAGACGAACCCCAUGGGACAUUGGCAAGAAUCCCUUCUUGGAUUCUUCCAUGCUAAACCGUUUCAUAACGGUGUCUAUGUACAGGCUUUGGGAUAAGCCAAGCAUCUUCCUUGCUCUAUCUCUAUAGAUGCAUAUUCCUAAUACGUAAGAUGCUUCUCCCAAAUCCUUCAUUGAGAAACGUGUGGACAACCAUGCUUUCGUUUGCUGCAACAUUCCUACGUCAUUCCCAAUGAGUAGAAUGUCAUCAACGUAAAGCACUAAAAAUAUCACUGCCCUCCCACUAACCUUCUUGUAUACACAAGGUUCCUCCGGAUUCUUCUCAAAAUCAAACUCUAUGAUAGUUGAGUCGAACCUAAUGUUCCAACUACAGGAUGCUUGUUUCAAUCCAUAAAUGGAUCGCUGGAGCUUGCAAACCUUUUGCUCACAUCCAGAAGAUAUGAAGCCUUCCGGCUGCGCCAUGUAAAUUUCUUCCUCAAUAUCUCCAUUAAGGAAGGCGGUCUUCACAUCCAUUUGCCAUAUCUCGUAGUCGUACCACGCAGCUAUGGCCAGCAAAAUCCUAAUGGACUUCAGCAUCGCGACUGGUGAAAAAGUUUCCUCAUAGUCAACGCCUUGCCUUUGAGUGUAUCCUUUUGCUACCAAUCUAGCUUUAUAGGUCGAUACCUUUCCAUCAACUCCAAUUUUCUUCUUAUAGACCACUUGCAGCCUAUAGGAACAAUUCCCUUAGGUGGAUCUACCAAGGUCCACACCUUGUUGGAGUGCAUGGAGUCCAUUUCGGAUUUCAUGGCAGUUAGCCAAUGUCCCAUGUCCGCAUCCGAUACGGCCUCAUUGUAUGUUCUUGGAUCUCGUCCAAGAUCAACAUGGUCUUCAUCAUUUUCGAGGAGGAAUAACCUAUCCGGCAUUUUCCGAACUCUUUCGGAUCUACGUACUGUAGGUUCAGGAGGUAUAUUAGUGGUUUGUUGUAUUGGUUCGAUUUCUUGUUCUUGCGUUUGAACUUCACUUUGUGGUUCUUGAACUACUUCAAGUUCUAUCAUGCUGCCCUUUCUAUCGGAUAGAAACUCCUUUCCAAAAAGGUGGCAUUUCUUGAAACAAACGUCUUUGCUUCUUUGACAUAGUAGAACUCGUAUCCCAUCGAGUCUUCGGGAUACCCCACAAAAUAGCACAAGUCGGAUUUACUAUCCAACUUAUCUCCCACUAAUCGCUUCACAUAAGCGGGACAACCCCAUAUCCUAAUAUGUUUGUAGUUGGGUUUCCGGGAAUGCCAAAGUUCAUACGGUGUGAAUUUAACUGCUUUGGUGUUAACUCUAUUCAGCAAAUACGCGGCAGUGCGAAGUGCAUGACCCCACAAGUAUGCCGGUAAGUUCGUGUACCCCAUCAUUGAUCGAACCAUAUCUAAUAAGGUUCGAUUCCGACGUUCGGAGACUCCAUUAAGUUGAGGAGUCCCCGGCGGAGUCCAUUGGGAUUGUAUCCCAUUCUCUUUUAGAUAGUCAAUGAACUCGAUGCUCAAGUACUCUCCACCACAAUCGGAUCGCAGCUUCUUAAUACUUCGUCCGAGUUGCUUCUCUAGUUCAUGUCUAAAAUCUUUGAACCUUUCAAAUGUUUCAGACUUGUACUUCAUCAAGUACACAUACCCAUACCUAGAAUAAUCGUCGGUAAAGGUAGCGAAGUAGUUAUAUCCACCCUUCGCACUAACACUUAGUGGACCACAUACGUCUGUAUGGAUCAAAUCCAAAAGACCCUCGGCUCGUUCCAUUUUCCCUUUGUAGGGUGACUUAGUCAUUUUCCCUUUAAGGCAAGAUUCACAAGUUUGUAGUGAUUUCAUGUCCUCCAAGGAGAACAAUCCUUCACUAACAAAAUCGUUCAUCCUUCUUAAAGAGACAUGACCUAAUCUAGCGUGCCAAAGUUGUGCGGGGUUUUGAUCUAUCUCCUUACGUUUUGCUGAUAUAACAUUAAUAGGUAUUUCACUUGGAUUUAGUUCAUACAAGUUGUUUAAUAGUCGUCCUUUGCAAAUCAAAUUCUCAUUCUUUUGUAUAAUGCAAAUCGAAUUUCCAAAAACAAAAGUAAAACCUUCAAUGUCUAAUACAGGAAUAGAAAUAAGGUUUCUAAUGAGCGACGGAACAAAUAAACAAUCGUUCAAAACAAUAGGAAAACUCGAAUCCAAAACAUUUAAGUAAAUUGUGCCAAUGGCUUCAGCAGCAACUCUUGCUCCAUUCCCCAUCCUUAGGUAGGUCUCACCCGCUCUAAGUCUUCGACUUCUUGUCAUUACCUGCAAAUCAUUGCACAAAUGUGAGCCACAGCCCGUAUCCAAUACCCAAGAAGAAGAGCUGACAGACAAAUUUACGUCAAUGAAAUACAUACCCUUUUCAGAACCUUUCUGCUUGAGGUAAGCCUUGCAGUUGCGGCGCCAAUGUCCUUUCUUUCCACAGUGAUGGCAAGCAUCAUCAACUUCUUUGCUAACCUUUGCUUUGGGGCCCCCACUACCUUCACCCACUUCGAACUUGCUGUUUGGGAAGGGAACUCUUUCCUUUCUCUUCUUUUGGAAAGAACUCUUCUUUCCAGAAGUAGCAGCAAUGAGAACAGACUUCUCUUUCUUAAUGGUGGACUCGAAGCUGACCAACAUGUUCAUUAACUCAUCCAAGGGAGGAUCUAGUUUGUUCAUGUUGAAGUUCACUAUGAACGAUUCAUAGGAACUCGGGAGAGACAACAGGAUCAAAUCCAACGAGUGCUCGGCCGGGUGGGUGACAUCAAGAUUCACUAGCUUUUCAAGGAGAGUGAUCAUUUUAAGACAGUGCUCGUGGACCGAAGUCCCUUCACGCAGUCUUGCGGUGAUCAACUCCUUUGUAGCAGCGUACCUCGAUGCCCUAAUAUUCUCACUAUACAUGCUAUCGAGAUGAGCCUUUAUAUCAAAAGCAUGCAAGUGAGACUCAUAUUUCCUCGCAAGCGCGGGCUCCAUGGCGGCUAUCAUAUAGCACCUAGCAUGAGUGUCAUCUUUCUUCCAAACUUCAUAAGUUUCCUUCUCAGCAUCAGUCGCUGUGUCAGGUAUUGUGGCGGGAAGUCUCUCGUUCAAAACAUAGAGACGCCCCUCAACAGUUAGCACAAGCUUAAGACUACGCAACCAAUCUAGGUAAUUAGGGCCAUUGAGUUUAUUGUCGAGGAUUGACAUUAUGGGAUUCUUAGACAUGAUUAUCUGAGACAUAUAGAGAAGAGGAUUAUUAGAGAUUCGCGUUAAAUGAUUGUUACAAUUAAAUGUUUGGACUUAUGUUAUUUAAUUGUUCUCCCACUAAUUUUAUCGAGUUCCACUUCCCUCUAGUAGACAAACGAGAAAACUGAUAUUUCUUAAUGGGCUUUAGGUCCAAUAGACAAAUAUAACCCGUAGUUAAUCUAGCACGAUUAUAUUUGCCCAAAGGUAGAUCACAAUCAAUCAUAUCCACAAUAUGACCCUAAAUUAAUUUUCCUCACACUUGAUAAUGACCUAAGUUAAUCUCGCGAAUAUCAAAAUCGUCGUGUGUCAAGUCUAACCUACCAAUCAAAGAUGCUCAUAGAACUUGAUUAUGUCAAACUAAUGCAGUCCCUAGUUAAUCUAGCCGACCACGUUAAUUCAACAUAACCCUUUUCUAUGGCUACCUUCAUCACUAUGUCAAUUGAAUUACAGCUUACUCUACCAUAGCACUCCCCGCUAACACGGCUUACUGCACUAUAGUAAAGGGCUACACAUAAUCCAACCGUUGGCAGAAGGAAAGAAAUAACUCAACAGAUUGGUUUUUUCUUUAUAGCUUGAAAUGAUUCUUAAUUGAAUUAAGAAUGAGGGAUUUUUAUUAAAAUGUUUUAUCUCAUCAGAAGGUUUUGGAUUGGUCUAUGUGAUUCCUACAUCUAUGUUCUCUAAAGGUAUAUGGAAGCGCAUAUUGUCCUAAGAGGAACAUACGACCUAAUAUCAUAAUUAAUUACAUUAAUUAAUUAUCGAGUUUUUCAAAAUAAUUAUAGAACCUCAAUUAGCAUAAAUCAUUCAAAUAAUGUUGAGGUACUACUAAUUAAGUUGAAUUUAUAAUCAAUAUUAUAUAUGUGUUCUAUUAAUUGAAAUCAAUUUAACAAUUUAAAUUAAUUAAUUAAUCUAACACCUAUUUACUAAAAUAGAUGAUUGUUGAUCCAAUUAUCUAAUUGGGAUUAAUUGAAAAUAAUUUUCCAAAAAUUAAAAUCAAUUUGUUUUAAGUUUAAUUUUAGAAAUCUGAAAUAAUUUUUUUUUUUUUUUUUUUUUUUCAGUGAACCGGUUCGGUCGACCAGUCUGACCGGUUCGGACCGAAACGGUCCGGUUCUGCCCGGUCCAAUUGACCCAAAUCAGUGGGCCGGGUCAGUCGGACCGAGAACCGGUCUGACCGACCCGAAUCCACUUGGAUUCGGUCGAUUGGAUCGUGCACAACCAUCGAACCGGCCGGUUCGACCGGUUCGAUCCGAACAAAUGAAAAACCGACAUUUUAAAAUAAUUUCAGAUCCGAUUUUCAAAUUUUAAACAAUUUUAAAGCUUGAAAAAUUCUAAACAAUAUUUCAAAAAUAUUUUAAACUUACGAAAACUCCCAAUUACAUAAUACAACAAUCACUACUUUAAUAAAUCGAACAUGCAUAUUAAAACGAACGCAAUUAAUUGCGCAACGAGCUCUGAUACCACUGUUGGGUUUCGGGCACGCGUACGCAGCGGAAAACAAAAAUUUUAUGCGAUUUAAACGACUUUAAAACACAUAAGCACAUGCCCGAUAAAUUAAAUGAAUUAAUUGCGUACCUUUGCGCUUCCAGCGAAAUUAAAUAACGACAUAUAUGCUAAUUAAUUUAACCGAAUUUAAAUCAAUUAACAUGCUCGCGUAUAAACCAAAUAACAUGCUUGCAAUGAUUUAAAACGAUUACACAUAAUCACAUAAAAUCAUACGAAAGCAAACAUGAAUAUAUAUUGCGUUUAAACGAAACAAGAACUUCGAGUUCGUGUGUUUACCUCUUGAAGCGUGAGGCAGGAGCGCUAAGUAAGUCGAGAUUGCUACGGAAACCAAUCCGUACAAUCGGGGCAGCAGCGGUGCAGCGGCAGCGGCGGUGAGACGGCCACGGCGGCGCGUGAAUCUCACGCGCGGUCUUCCGGGGCGGCGCGUGGGGCAGCGUGCGGCUUCGGCUCGUGCGCUGCUCCUCGAUUCUUUGAUCUUCGGUCUUCCUCCUCUCGGAUUUCACCUCGUAUACUUCGAUCUACUAAACACGUGGCACUAGACACGUAAUAGUUAGAAAAACGGAAGAAAAAGAGAAGGAAAGAUAAUACCGAAACAAUCGGCCGACGAACGGCCGAUUCCGGUGAAGCUCCGGCGACGGCGCCGGUGACGGCCGCGGGGAGAGGGCGAGGGGGAGAGGGAGAACGGCUGCUAGGGUUAGGGUUUUUCACUUGUUGUGUGCAAGACCUAUAAAUCUUGUAUUUAUAGUGUCUUGCAUAAAAUCCUAGCGGGCUUAAGUUGGACCGGGCCCAACAGCUUAAGUUCGCUAGUACUUUUACUUGCUCGUUUCUCUCAAUCCAAUGACCGAAAAAUUGCAACGAUUACAUUUUCGGAAUCAUUAUAAAUUCCUCGUCAUUACGAGUGUCAAUUCUCAUUAUCCAACUUUCUAAAAGUGGAAACCCUAGUUCAGUGCACUUUCUAAAUUUGGAAACUUCCCGAUUUAGAAAGUCCACUACAACUUUCGCCUAUUCUUUUCCUUUUCUUAUUCUCAUUCGUAAUUCCAAAUCACGAAUGUUGGACUCAAUUGUAUUGACUUCCAAUUAUGCAAAGAUAAACUGUUUUAUCUCUGACCGUUUAUUCAAAGAUCUCAUGUGCACGAGCAGUGUGACCCUCGAUGGUUCAGGUGUAAGCUAGCCGUGGGCCCACAACUCUUUGUGGUCAAAACUCGUCCCUUAGAGUUACGAUUAAGAUGAAACUCGUUUCCCCUUAGUCACCCAACGAAUCAAGAUUGGCGUCUAGCAACUACGCGUCAUGAUUCUCUAGAUACAAAUGAAGUGCCUGCAAGAACCUUCAUAUAUAGUUAACGUACAGAACGGUCCCUUCGAUGCAUAUGUCCCGAUCGAACUAGAGGCAUUGGUUCAUCGAGACCUCUUUAUAUGUUCGAUGACGGUGCGAUCGUUCUAAGUGUUGUAAUCCUUACGUGCAUGACUUAGAGAAUCGAAUUCUCUAAUCAUCACUUAGUCAGCUCUGGCCAGAGACUUAGAAUGAUUACAAACUUUCAGAACACACAGGACAUCCAAGACUAUUCUAGCGAUCGAAUCCCCGACUACAAUGCACAGACCUCCCACUAGAUUUCGGACUGCACGAACACUGGCCCUUGGGAUGGUCCUCGGUGGAACUCAGGGACAGGUCACGAUAUAGCUGGUCCUCUAGUGAAGUCACGGUGAUGUCUAGGUCAUAAGGACUAAUGGUGUACAACUAUACCAUAGAUAUCUCUACUCGAUUAUUGGGAACCACUUAGAGAUUUCUAGGGUGAGGGAGUUCAGUGAACUCGUCAACUUACGAGCACCCACUUAUGCAUGCCGAUAUCACAAUACCGUUUACUGAUGAGAUGCAGUACACAUACACUAAGUGCUAGUCUUAAUGGGAAAGGCCGAUAUCCUCAUUAGUGGCGUAACCCUUCGACUAGGAACACGUUUAACAGUUAUAAUACUUAAGUAAAUAUCUCACGAUCCUUACGAUCAAUUACUAGUACUUGUAAUAACUGUAAGGAUUAUAUCUAUGCUUGUGACAAAGGGACAAAGGUAUAGAAUGCCAAGGUGUUUUAUCAUUAAUACGAAUAAAGGUUCGUUUAUUACAAUAAUAAAUACGAAAGACCACAGCCACAAGUUGGCUUGUUGGUCACCUACUCUAACAAUAGUUUGAGGACAUGAAUGCGCAUCAAGAAACGUGCACAAAAAUACUCGCUAGAAAAGAUACGCACAUAAGUAAGAGUACAAAAGCAUGCACAAAAGUACUCAGGCAAAAGUGAAUUCGCAAAAAGAAUCAUGAAAACCCAAACUACAAUCCUAGGACAUUAAUAUAAAUCAACAGCAUAAGCACACUCGCUCAAAGGGACAUGCACAAACGUACAUGUAAAAAAACAUGGGCAAAAGUGCAUUCGCUACAACGUUGUUAAAAACACGAACUACAAUACUAGGACUUUAAUACGCAUCAACAAACAACAGCAAAAACACUAGAUAAAAAAGAUAUAGUGGAGUGUUGAAAUAAAACACUACGUUUAUGUGGUUUUUUUUCGGAAUAAUUUAUAUUUCUAUAUUAAUAGUUGAAUUUAAUAUCGUAAAGGUACAAAUAAAAUAGGUGUCUGGGAAGCAAAAAUGAUCAAAGAGUAAGAAAAGAGUAACAAUUAGGAAAAUAAAAUCAAAUUAGAAGAGAGAAUCCCCGAACAUGUUUGGUAGUGUCCACGAAGUCGAGCAUAACUUUCACAUCCGGAAUCCAAAUCAACUGAUUCCGGCGUCAUUGGAAAGCUAUUUUAGCUAGCUACAAUUCCUGUCUCAUGGCAAAAUUCCAAAUUCGGACUCGAACAUGGUCAAAAUUGGAUUCCAAAAGCCAUCAUGAAAAUACGUACUAUAGUUUGAGGACAUGAAUGUGCAUCAAGAAACGUGCACAAAAACACUCGCUAGAAGAGAUACGCAUAUAAGUAAAAGUACAAAAGCAUGCACAAAAGUAAUCACGCCAAAGUGGAUUCGCAAAAAUGAUCAUGAAAACAAAAACUACAAUCCGAGGACAUUAAUACAAAUCAACAAACAUGCAUAAGCACAGUCGCUCAAAGGGACAUGCACAAACGUACAUGUAAAAAAACAUGUGCAAAAGUGCAUUCGCUACACCGUUCUUAAAAACACGAACUACAAUACUAGAACUUUAAUACGCAUCAACAAACAACAACAAAAACACUAGAUAAAAAAGGUAGAGUGGAGUGUAGAAAUAAAACUCUACGUUAACGUGGUUUUUUUUCGGAUUAAUUUAUAUUUCUAUAUUAAUUGGUGGAUUUAAUAUCUUAUAGGUACAAGUCGAAAUUUAAGUGUCCGGGAAGCAAAAAUGAUGAAAGAAUAAGAAAAGAGUAGCAAUUAGGAAAAUAAAAUCAAAUUAGAAGAGAGAAUCCCCGAACAUCUUUGGUAGUGUCCACGAAGUCGAGCAUAACUUUCACAUCUGGACUCCAAAUCAACUUAUUUCGGCGUCAUUGGAAAGCUAUUUCAGCUAGCUACAAUUCCUAUCUAAUGGAAAAAUUCCAAAUUCGAACUCGAACAUGGUCAAAAUUGGAUUCCAAAAGCGAACAUGAAAAUACGUACUAUAGUUCGAUAACAUGAAUGUGCAUCAAGAAACGUGCACAAAAACACUCGCUAGAAGAGAUACGCACAUAAGUUAAAGUACAAAAGCAUGCACAAGAGUACUCACGCAAAAGUGCAUUUGCAAAAAGGAUCAUGAAAACACUAACUACAAUCCUAGGACAUUAAUACAAAUCAACAAACGUGCAUAAGCACACUCGUUCAAAUGGACAUGCACAAACGUACAUGAAAAAAAACAUGUGUAAUAGUGCAUUCGCAACAACUUUAUUAAAAACACAAACUACUAUACUAGGUGAUGUGAUCCCAAUCACAUCAAGCAAUCAACGAUUUCAAAGGUUUUCGAUUCAGAUUUUACAUUGGUCCAAAUCAGAUUUGAGAGGCUUUAACCAUAAAGAUAUCAAUCUUGGAAUGUUCUAAUCGAUGCAAUCACAUAUUAUAAGCCUUUGGAAUGUUCAAGAUUUCAGCAAGGAAAGAUACACACGUUUUUGAGGAGAUAUAAGGGCUCUUUAUUUGUGCAUUUCAGCCUUGUAAGAUCAAGACCAUGAUUUAAAAAGCUUUCUUAAUUUAGAUUCAAUAAAUGGUAGGUAGAUUGGCUUAUUAGUGGUUGAUUUGAUUAGAUUGAUAAUAAUUCCUUGUUCUUAGUUUGUUUCCAUAGAUUAGAGUCGUUGAACCCUAUAUAAAGGGAUCAACGUGUAUGAAUAAAAACACAACAACAAUGUAUUGAAAUCAUUUUGAAUAAGAGUGUGUCUCUUCGGUUCUUCAAGAACCACUAUUUUUAAAUGAACUUAUCGGAGUUGUUCUCCGUGGCGUUCGCCCCUGACUUAUCAAUCAAUCUUCCGCAAUUGAUUGUGGCGUCUUCGCAUACCAAGGUUCUUGCCUCUUUAUAGGCAAUGGGUCGAGGUUCCACCCCACUGAAUCCUUCUUUGGACGGUCCAGGAUUUGAAAUCCGAAGUAUUGAUACCGGGUCUCGUCACGAUGUUGGCGGUGUUCGUAUCAUUUGGUAUCAGAGCCAACUUCCGGAGAAUGUUUCACCUAUCCUUUUGAGUCUUUUUUGUUUCUUUAUUAUUUUUUUUUGUUUGAGUUUUUUUUGGUUUUCCAUAAAUUUUCUUCUUCUACGUUCUUGAGUCAUCCAAGUUCUUCUACUCCUUGUCUAUCUCUCUUCUCUAGAGUCCAUUGUCAAAAAAAAAAAAAGUACCAAUUUCAACCAACACCUUUCAGCCUCAUGGAUUCGUUUCCAAUCAUACACGCUCAUUCCAAGGAACCGAAUUCGAGGACGAAUUCUUUUGAAGAAAGGGAGUAUGAUGUGAUCCCAAUCACAUCAAGCAAUCAACGAUUUCAAUGGUUUUCGAUUCAGAUUUUACAUUGGUCCAAAUCAGAUUUGAGAGGCUUUAACCAUAAAGAUAUCAAUCUUGGAAUGUUCUAAUCGAUGCAAUCACAUAUUAUAAGCCUUUGGAAUGUUCAAGAUUUCAGCAAGGAAAGAUACACACGUUUUUUAGGAGAUAUGAGGGCUCUUUAUUUGUGCAUUUCAGCCUUGUAGGAUCAAGACCAUGAUUUAAAAAGCUUUCUUAAUUUAGAUUCAAUAAAUGGUAGGUAGAUUGGCUGAUUUGAUUAGAUUGAUAAUAAUUCCUUGUUCUUAGUUUGUUUCCAUAGAUUAGAGUCGUUGAACCCUAUAUAAAGGGAUCAACGUGUAUGAAUAAAAACACAACAACAAUGUAUUGAAAUCAUUUUGAAUAAGAGUGUGUCUCUUCGGUUCUUGAAGAACCAUUAUUUUUAAAUGAACUUAUCGGAGUUGUUCUCCGUGGCGUUCGCCCCUGACUUAUCAAUCAAUCUUCCGCAAUUGAUUGUGGCGUCUACGCAUACCAAGGUUCUUGCCUCUUUAUAGGCAAUGGGUCGAGGUUCCACCCCACUGAAUCCUUCUUUGGACGGUCCAGGAUUUGAAAUCCGAAGUAUUGAUACCGGGUCUCGUCACGAUGUUGGCGUGGUUCGUAUCAUUUAUGAUGUGAUCCCAAUCACAUCAAGCAAUCAACGAUUUCAAAGGUUUUUGAAUCAGAUUUUUAAAUUGGUCCAGAUCAGAUUUGAGAGGCUUUAACCACAAAGAUAUCAAUCUUGGAAUGUUCCAAUUGAUGCAAUCACAUAUUUUAAGGCUUUGGAAGGUCCAAGAUUUACACAAUAAAACAUGCACACGUUUUUAGGUGCUUGGAAGGCUCUUUAUUAGUGCAUUUCAGCCUUGGAAGAUCAAGACAAUGAUUUAAAAAGCUUUCCUAAUUUAGUUUCAAUAAAUGUUAAUUAGAUUGGCUGAUUUGUCGUUGAUUUGAUUAUUUGAAUAAUGAUUCCAUUAUCUUAGUUUAUUUUCCAUAGAUUAGAGUAGCUGAACCCUAUAUAAAGGGAUCAACUUGUAUGAAUAAAACAGACAACAAUGUAUUGAAAUCUUUUGAAUAAGAGUGUGUCUCUUCGGUUCUUCAAGAACCAUUAUUUUUAAAUGAACUUAUCGGAGUUGUUCUCCGUGGCGUUCGCCCCUGACUUAUCAAUCAAUCUUCCGCAAUUGAUUGUGGCGUCUUCGCGUACCAAGGUUCUUGCCUCUUUAUAGGCAAUGGGUCGAGGUUCCACCCCACUGAAUCCUUCUUUGGACGGUCCAGGAUUUGAAAUCCGAAUUAUUGAUAUCGGGUCUCGUCACAUGGUUGGCGUGGUUCGUAUCAUUUGGUAUCAGAGCCAACUUCCGGAGAAGGUUUCACCUAUCCUUUCGAGUCUUUUUUGUUUCUUUAUUUUUUUUUUUUUGUUUGAGUCUUGUGGUUUUCCAUAAAUUUUCUUCUUCUACGUUCUUGAGUCAUCCAAGUUCUUGUACUCCAUAUCUAUCUCUGUUCUCUAGAGUCCAUUGUCAAAAAAAAAAAAAAAAAGUACCAAUUUCAACCAACACCUUUCAGCCUCAUGGAUUCCUUUCCAAUCAUACACGCUCAUUCCAAGGAACCAAAUUCGAGGACGAAUUCUUUUGAAGAAAGGGAGUAUGAUGUGAUCCCAAUCACAUCAAGCAAUCAACGAUUUCAAAGGUUUUUGAAUCAGAUUUUACAUUGGUCCAGAUCAGAUUUGAAAGGCUUUAACCACAAAGAUAUCAAUCUUGGAAUGUUCCAAUUGAUGCAAUCACAUAUUUUAAGGCUUUGGAAGGUCCAAGAUUUACACAAUAAAACAUGCACACGUUUUUAGGUGCUUGGAAGGCUCUUUAUUAGUGCAUUUCAGCCUUGGAAGAUCAAGACAAUGAUUUAAAAAGCUUUCCUAAUUUAGUUUCAAUAAAUGUUAAUUAGAUUGGCUGAUUUGUGGCUGAUUUGAUUAUUUGAAUACUCCAAAUCAACUGAUUCCGGCGGCAUUGGAAAGCUAUUUCAGCUUGCUACAAUUCCUAUCUAAUGUAAAAAUUCCAAAUUCGAACUCGAACAUGGUCAAAAUUGGAUUCCAAAAGCGAACAUGAAAAUACGUACUAUAGUUCGAGACCAUGAAUGUGCAUCAAGAAACGUGCACAAAAACACUCACUAGAAGAGAUACACGCAAAAGUGCAUUCGCAAAAAGGAUCAUGAAAACACUAACUACAAUCCUAGGACAUUAAUACAAAUCAACAAACGUGCAUAAGCACACUCGCUCAAAUGGACAUGCACAAACGUACAUGAAAAAAAACAUGUGUAAUAGUGCAUUCGCAACAACUUUAUUAAAAACACAAACUACUAUACUAGGACUUUAUUACGCAUCAACAAACAACAACAAAAACACUAGAUAAAAAAGAUAGAGUGGAGUGUAGAAAUAAAACUCUACGUUUACGUGGAUUUUUUUUCGGAUUAAUUUAUAUUUCUAUAUUAAUUGGUGGAUUUUGUAUCUUAUAGGUACAAGUCGAAAAUUAGGUGUCCAGGAAGCAAAAAUGAUGAAAGAGUAAGAAAAGAGUUGCAAUUAGGAAAAUAAAAUAAAAUUAGAAGAGAGAAUCCCCGAACAUCUUUGGUAGUGUCCAUGAAGUCGAGCAUAACUUUCUCAUCCGGACUCCAAAUCAACUUGUUCCGGCGGCAUUGGAAAGCUAUUUCAGCUGGCUACGAUUCCUGUUUAAUGGCGAAAUUCCAAAUUCGGACUCGAACAUGGUCAAAAUUGGAUUCCAAUAGCGAUCGUGAAAAUGCUUACUAUAGUUCGAGAACAUGAAUUCGCAUCGAGAAACGUGCACAAAAACACUCGCUAGAAGAGAUACGCACAUAAGUAAAAGUACAAAAGCAUGCACAAAAGUACUCAGGCAAAAGUGAAUUCGCAAAAAGGAUCAUGAAAACACAAACUCCAAUCCUAGGACAUUAAUACAAAUCAACAGCAUAAGCACACUCGCUCAAAGGGACAUGCACAAAUGUACAUGUAAAAAAACAUGUGCAAAAGUGCAUUCGCUACAACGUUCUUAAAAACACGAACUACAAUACUAGGAAUUUAAUACGCAUCAACAAACAACAACAAAAACACUAGAUAAAAAAGAUACAAUGGAGUGUAGAUAUAAAACUCUACGUUUACGUGGUUUUUUUUUUCGGAUUAAUUUAUAUUUCUAUAUUAAUUGGUGGAUUUAAUAUCUUAUAGGUACAAAUCGAAAAUUAGGUGUCCAGGAAGCAAAAAUGAUCAAAGAGUAAGAAAAGAGUAACAAUUAGGAACAUAAAAUCAAUUUAGAAGAGAGAAUCCCCGAACAUGUUUGGUAGUGUCCACGAAGUCGAGCAUAGCAUUCUCAUCCAGACAACAAAUCAACUGGUUCUGGCGGCAUUGGAAAGCGAUUUCAGCUGGCUACAAUUCCUGUCUCAUGGAAAAAUUCCAAAUUCGGACUCGAACAUGGUCAAAAUUGGAUUCCAAAAGCGAUCAUGAAAAUACGUACUAUAGAUUGAGGACAUGAAUGCGCAUCAAGAAACGUGCACAAAAACACUCGCUAGAAGAGAUACGCACAUAAGUAAAAGUACAAAAGCAUGCACAAAAGUAAUCACGCAAAAAUGGAUUCGCAAAAAUGAUCGCGAAAACACAAACUACAAUACGAGGACAUUAAUACAAAUCAACAAACAUGCAUAAGUACACUCGCUCAAAUGGACAUGCACAAACGUACAUGUAAAAAAACAUGUGUAAAAGUGCAUUCGCAUCAACGUUCUUAAAAACACAUACUACUAUACUAGGACUUUAAUAUACAUCAACAAACAACAACAAAAACACUAGAUAAAAAAGAUAGAAUGGAGUGUAGAAAUAAAACUCUACGUGUACGUGGAUUUUUUUCGGAUUAAUUUAUAUAUCUAUAUUAAUUGGUGGAUUUUGUAUCUUAUAGGUACAAGUCGAAAAUUAGGUGUCCAGGAAGCAAAAAAGAUGAAAGANNNNNNNNNNNNNNNNNNNNNNNNNNNNNNNNNNNNNNNNNNNNNNNNNNNNNNNNNNNNNNNNNNNNNNNNNNNNNNNNNNNNNNNNNNNNNNNNNNNNGAAUCCCCGAACAUCAUUGGUAGUGUCCACGAAGUCGAGCAUAACUUUCUCAUCCGGACUCCAAAUCAACUGGUUCUGGCGGCAUUGGAAAGCUAUUUCAGCUGGCUACAAUUCCUGUCUAAUGGCAAAAUUCCAAAUUCGGACUCCAACAUGGUCAAAAUUGGAUUCCAAAAGCGAUCAUGAAAAUACGUACUAUAGUUUGAGGACAUGAAUGCGCAUCAAGAAACGUGCACAAAAACACUUGCUAGAAGAGAUACGCAUAUAAGUCAAAGUACAAAGCAUUCACCAAAGUAAUCACGCAAAAGUGGAUUCGCAAAAAUGAUCAUGAAAACACAAACUACAAUCCGAGGACAUUAAUACAAAUCAACAAACAUGCAUAAGCACAGUCGAUCAAAUGGACAUGCACAAACGUACAUGUAAAAAAACAUGUGUAAAAGUGCAUUGGCAACAACGUUCUUAAAAACACAAAGUACUAUACUAGGACUUUAAUACGCAUAACCCAACAACCACCUAAACACUAGAUAAAAAAGAUAGAGUGUACUAUACGAAUAAAACUCUACGUUUACGUGGAUUUUUUUUCGGAUUAAUUUAUAUUUCUAUAUUAAUUGGUGGAGUUUGUAUCUUAUAGGUACAAGUCGAAAAUUAGGUGUCCAGGAAGCAAAAAUGAUGAAAGAGUAAGAAAAGAGUUGAUAUUCGGAAAAUAAAAUCAAAUUAGAAGAGAGAAUCCCCGAACAUCAUUGGUAGUGUCCACGAAGUCGAGCAUAACUUUCUCAUCCGGACUCCAAAUCAACUGGUUCUAGCGGCAUUGGAAAGCUAUUUCAGCUGGCUACAAUUCCUGUCUAAUGGCAAAAUUCCAAAUUCGGACUCCAACAUGGUCAAAAUUGGAUUCCAAAAGCGAUCAUGAAAAUACGUACUAUAGUUUGAGGACAUGAAUGCGCAUCAAGAAACGUGCACAAAAACACUCGCUAGAAGAGAUACGCACAUAAGUAAAAGUAAAAAAGCAUGCACAAAAGUAAUCAGGAAAAAAUGGAUUCGCAAAAAUGAUCAUGAAAACACAAACUACAAUCCGAGGACAUUAAUACAAAUCAACAAACAUGCAUAAGCACACUCGCUCAAAUGGACAUGCACAAACGUACAUGUAAAAAAACAUGUGUAAAAGUGCAUUCGCAACAACAUUCUUAAAAACACAAACUACUAUACUAGGACUUUAAUACGCAUCAACAAACAACAACAAAAACACUAGAUAAAAAAGAUAUAGUGGAGUGUAGAAAUAAAACUCUACGUUUACGUGGUUUUUUUUCGGAUUAAUUUAUAUUUCUAUAUUAAUUGGUGGAUUUAAUAUCUUAUAGGUACAAAUCGAAAAUUAGGUGUCCGGGAAGCAAAAAUGAUCAAAGAGUAAGAAAAGAGUAACAAUUAGGAAAAUAAAUCAAAUUAUAAGAGAGAAUCCCCGAACAUGUUUGGUAGUGUCCACAAAUUCGAGCAUAAAAUACUCAUCCGGACUCCAAAUCAACUAGUUCUGGCGGCAUUGGAAAGCGAUUUCAGCUGGCUACAAUUCCUGUCUCAUGGCAAAAUUCCAAAUUCGGACUCGAACAUGGUCAAAAUUUGAUUCCAAAAGCCAUCAUGAAAAUACGUACUAUAGUUUGAGGACAUGAAUGCGCAUCAAGAAACGUGCACAAAAACACUUGCUAGAAGAGAUACGCAUAUAAGUCAAAGUACAAAGCAUUCACAAAAGUAAUCACGCAAAAGUGGAUUCGCAAAAAUGAUCAUGAAAACACAAACUACAAUCCGAGGACAUUAAUACAAAUCAACAAACAUGCAUAAGCACAGUCGAUCAAAUGGACAUGCACAAACGUACAUGUAAAAAAACAUGUGUAAAAGUGCAUUGGAAACAACGUUCUUAAAAACACAAAGUACUAUACUAGGACUUUAAUACGCAUAACCAAACAACAACAAAAACACUAGAUACAAAAGAUAGAGUGUACUGUACAAAUAAAACUCUACGUUUACGUGGAUUUUUUUUCGGAUUAAUUUAUAUUUCUAUAUUAAUUGGUGGAGUUUGUAUCUUAUAGGUACAAGUCGAAAAUUAGGUGUCCAGGAAGCAAAAAUGAUGAAAGAGUAAGAAAAGAGUUGAUAUUCGGAAAAUAAAAUCAAAUUAGAAGAGAGAAUCCCCGAACAUCUUUGGUAGUGUCCACGAAGUCGAGCAUAAUUUUCUCAUCCGGACUCCAAAUCAACUGAUUCCGGCGGCAUUGGAAAGCUAUUUCAGCUAGCUACAAUUCCUAUCUAAUGUAAAAAUUCCAAAUUCGAACUCGAACAUGGUCAAAAUUGGAUUCCAAAAGCGAACAUGAAAAUACGUACUAUAGUUCGAGAACAUGAAUGUGAAUCAAGAAACGUGCACAAAAACACUCACUAGAAGAGAUACGCACAUAAGUAAAAGUACAAAAGCAUGCACAAGAGUACUCACGCAAAAGUGCAUUCGCAAAAAGGAUCAUGAAAACACUAACUACAAUCCUAGGACAUUAAUACAAAUCAACAAACGUGCAUAAGCACACUCGCUCAAAUGGACAUGCACAAACGUACAUGAAAAAAAACAUGUGUAAUAGUGCAUUCGCAACAACUUUAUUAAAAACACAAACUACUAUACUAGGACUUUAAUACGCAUCAACAAACAACAACAAAAACACUAGAUAAAAAAGAUAGAGUGGAGUGUAGAAAUAAAACUCUACGUUUACGUGGAUUUUUUUUCGGAUUAAUUUAUAUUUCUAUAUUAAUUGGUGGAUUUUGUAUCUUAUAGGUACAAGUCGAAAAUUAGGUGUCCAGGAAGCAAAAAUGAUGAAAGAGUAAGAAAAGAGUUGCAAUUAGGAAAAUAAAAUCAAAUUAGAAGAGAGAAUCCCCGAACAUCUUUGGUAGUGUCCACGAAGUCGAGCAUAACUUUCUCAUCCGGACUCCAAAUCAACUGGUUCUGGCGGCAUUGGAAAGCUAUUUCAGCUGGCUACAAUUCCUGUCUAAUGGGAAAAUUCCAAAUUCGGACUCCAACAUGGUCAAAAUUGGAUUCCAAAAGCGAUCAUGAAAAUACGUACUAUAGUUUGAGGACAUGAAUGCGCAUCAAGAAACGUGCACAAAGACACUCGCUAGAAGAGAUACGCACAUAAGUAAAAGUAAAAAAGCAUGCACAAAAGUAAUCACGCAAAAAUGGAUUCGCAAAAAUGAUCAUGAAAACACAAACUACAAUCCGAGGACAUUAAUACAAAUCAACAAACAUGCAUAAGCACACUCGCUCAAAUGGACAUGCACAAACGUACAUGUAAAAAAACAUGUGUAAAAGUGCAUUCGCAACAACAUUCUUAAAAACACAAACUACUAGACUAGGACUUUAAUACGCAUCAACAAACAACAACAAAAACACUAGAUAAAAAAGAUAGAGUGGAGUGUAGAAAUAAAACUCUACGUUUACGUUUACGUUUACGUGGAUUUUUUUUCGGAUUAAUUUAUAUAUCUAUAUUAAUUGGUGGAUUUUGUAUCUUAUAGGUACAAGUCGAAAAUUAGGUGUCCAGGAAGCAAAAAUGAUGAAGAGUAAGAAAAGAGUUGCAAUUAGGAAAAUAAAAUAAAAUUAGAAGAGAGAAUCCCCGAACAUCUUUGGUAGUGUCCAUGAAGUCGAGCAUAACUUUCUCAUCCGGACUCCAAAUCAACUUGUUCCGGCGGCAUUGGAAAGCUAUUUCAGCUGGCUACAAUUCCUGUUUAAUGGCGAAAUUCCAAAUUCGGACUCGAACAUCGUCAAAAUUGGAUUCCAAUAGCGAUCGUGAAAAUGCUUACUAUAGUUCGAGAACAUGAAUUCGCAUCGAGAAACGUGCACAAAAACACUCGCUAGAAGAGAUACGCACAUAAGUAAAAGUACAAAAGCAUGCACAAAAGUACUAAAAGUGAAUUCGCAAAAAGGAUCAUGAAAACACAAACUACAAUCCUAGGACAUUAAUACAAAUCAACAGCAUAAGCACACUCGCUCAAAGGGACAUGCACAAACGUACAUGUAAAAAAACAUGUGCAAAAGUGCAUUCGCUACAACGUUCUUAAAAACACGAACUACAAUACUAGGAAUUUAAUACGCAUCAACAAACAACAACAAAAACACUAGAUAAAAAAGAUACAAUGGAGUGUAGAUAUAAAACUCUACGUUUACGUGGUUUUUUUUUCCGGAUUAAUUUAUAUUUCUAUAUUAAUUGGUGGAUUUAAUAUCUUAUAGGUACAAAUCGAAAAUUAGGUGUCCAGGAAGCAAAAAUGAUCAAAGAGUAAGAAAAGAGUAACAAUUAGGAACAUAAAAUCAAAUUAGAAGAGAGAAUCCCCGAACAUGUUUGGUAGUGUCCACGAAGUCGUGUUAGAGUAGGUGACCAACAAGCCAACAUGUGGCUGUGGUCUUUCGUAUUUAUUAUUGUAAUAAACGAACCUUUAUUCGUAUUAAUGAUAAAACACCUUGGCAUUCUAUAUCUUUGUCCCUUUGUCACAAGCAUAGAUAUAGUCCUUACAGUUAUUACAAGUACUAGUAAUUGAUCGUUAGGAUCGUGAGAUAUUUACUUAAGUAUUAUGACUGUUAAACGUGUUCCUAGUCGAAGGGUUACGCCACUAAUGAGGAUAUCGGCCUUUCCCAUUAAGACUAGCACUUAGUGUAUGUGUACUGCAUCUCAUCAGUAAACGGUAUUGUGAUAUCGGCAUGCAUAAGUGGGUGCUCGUAAGUUGACGAGUUCACUGAACUCCCUCACCCUAGAAAUCUCUAAGUGGUUCCCAAUAAUCGAGUAGAGAUAUCUAUGGUAUAGUUGUACACCAUUAGUCCUUAUGACCUAGACAUCACCGUGACUUCACUAGAGGACCAGCUGUAUCGUGACCUGUCCCUGAGUUCCACCGAGGACCAUCCCAAGGGCCAGUGUUCGUGCAGUCCGAAAUCUAGUGGGAGGUCUGUGCAUUGUAGUCGGGGAUUCGAUCGCUAGAAUAGUCUUGGAUGUCCUGUGUGUUCUGAAAGUUUGUAAUCAUUCUAAGUCUCUGGCCAGAGCUGACUAAGUGAUGAUUAGAGAAUUCGAUUCUCUAAGUCAUGCACGUAAGGAUUACAACACUUAGAACGAUCGCACCGUCAUCGAACAUAUAAAGAGGUCUCGAUGAACCAAUGCCUCUAGUUCGAUCGGGACAUAUGAAUCGAAGGGACCGUACUGUACGUUAACUAUAUCUGAAGGUUCUUGCAGGCACUUCAUUUGUAUCUAGGGAAUCAUGACGCGUAGUUGCUAGACGCCAAUCUUGAUUCGUUGGGUGAUUAAGGUGAAACGAGCUUCAUCUUAAUCAUAACUCGAAGGGGACGAGUUUUGACCACAAAGGGUUGUGGGCCCACGGCUAGCUUACACCUGAUCCAUCGAGGGUCACACUGCUCGUGCACAUGAGAUCUUUGAAUAAACGGUCAGAGAUAAAAUAGUUUAUCUUUGCAUGAUUGGAAGUCAAUAUGAUUGAGUCCAACAUUCGUAAUUUGGAAUUAUGAAUGAGAAUAAGAAAAGGAAAAGAAUGGGCGAACAUGUUAGUGAACUUUCUAAAUCGGGAAGUUUCCAAAUUUAGAAAGUGCACUGAACUAGGGUUUCCACUUUUGGAAAGUUGGAAAAUGAGAGAUGGCACUCGUAAUGACGAGGGAAUUAUAAUGAUUCCGAAAAUGUAAUCGUUGCAGUUUUUCGGUCAUUGAAUUGAGAGAAACGAGCAAGUAAAAGUACUAGCGAACUUAAGCUGUUGGGCCCGGUCCAACUUAAGCCCGCUAGGGUUUUAUGCAAGGGACUAUAAAUACAUGAUUUAUAGGCCUUGCAAAAAGAUAAGAAACCCUAACCCUAAAGCGGCCGUCCACCUCUCUCUCUCGCGCGGCCACCUGCGCCGUUGACGCCGCCCCGUCGCCGGAAUCGGCCAUCCCUUGGCCGAUCUCUUUCGGUAUUCUUUUCUUCUCUCUUUUCUUCCGUUAAUUCUAACUACUUCGUGUCUAGUGCCACGUUUUAGUAGAUCGAAGUAUACGAGGUGAAAUCCGAGAGGAGGAAGACUGUAGAUUGAAGAAUCGAGGAGCAACACACGAGCCGAAGCCGCACGCUGCCCCACGCGCCACCCCGGAAGUCCGCGCGUGAAGCUCACGCGCCGCCGUGGUCAAUCCGCCGCUGCUGCCGCUGCAUUCCAUUGCUGCCCCGAUUGUACGGAUUGGUUUCCGUAGCAAUCUCGACGUGCUAUACGCUCCUACCUCACGCUUCAAGAGGUAAACACGCGAAACCCUAGUUUCGAUUUGAGUUUUGUUUAAACCUAUGUAUUCAUGUUUGUUUCGUAUUAUUUUAUGUGAUUAUGUGUAAUCGAUCAAAUCGUUGCAAGCAUGUUAUUUGGUUUAAACGCGAGCAUGUUAAUUGAUUUAAAUUCGGUUAAAUUUAUUAGCAUGUAUGUCGUUUUUAAUUUCGCUGGAAGCGCAAAGGUAUGCAAUUAAUUGGUUUCAUUUAAUGGGCAUGUACUAUGUGCGUUUUAAACUCGUUUAAUUCGCAUAAAUUUUUGUUUUCCGCUGCGUAUGCGUGCCCGAAACCCAACAGUGGUAUCAGAGCUUGUUGCGCAAUUAAUUGCGUUCGUUUUAAUAUGCAUGUUCGAUUUAUUAAAGUAGUGAUUGUCGUAUUAUGUAAUUGGGAGUUUUCGUAAGUUUAAAAUAUUUUUGAAAUAUUGUUUAGAAUUUUUCCAGCUUUAAAAUUGUUUAAAAUUGGAAAAUCGGAUCUGAAAUUGUUAUAGAAAUGUCGGAUUUUUAAUUGUUCGGAUCGAACCGGUCGAACCGGCCGGUUCGAUGGUUGUGCACGAUUUAGUUGACCGAAUCCACGUGGAUUCGGGUCGGUCAGACCGGUUCCCGGUCCGACUGACCCGGCCCACUGAUUUGGGUCAGCUGAACCGGGCAGAACCGGACCGCUUCGGUCCGAACCGGUCAGACCGGUCGGCCGAACCGGUUCACUGAAAAUAAAAAAAAAAAAAAAAAAAUAAAAAUAAAUUUAUUUCAGAUUUCUAAAAUUAAACUUAAAACAAAUUGAUUUUAAUUUUUGGAAAAUUAUUUUCAAUUAAUCCCAAUUAGAUAAUUGGAUCGACAAUCAUCUAUUUUAGUAAAUAGGUGUUAGAUUAAUUAAUUAAUUUAAAUUGUUAAAUUAAUUUCAAUUAAUAGAACACAUUUAUAAUAUUGAUUAUAAAUUCAACUUAAUUAGUAGUACCUCAACAUUAUUUGAAUGAUUUAUGCUAGUUGAGGUUCUAUAAUUAUUUUGAAAACUCGAUAAUUAAUUAAUGUAAUUAAUUAUGAAAUUAGGUCGUAUGUUCCUCUUAGGACAAUAUGCGCUUCCAUAUACCUUUAGAGAACAAAGAUGUAGGAAUCACAUAGACCAAUCCAAAACCUUCUGAUGAGAUAAAACUUUUAAUAAAAAUCCCUCAUUCUUAAUUUAAUUAAGAAUCAUUUCAAGCUAUAAAGAAAAACCCAAUCUGUUGAGUUAUUUCUUUCCUUCUGCCAACGGUUGGAUUAUGUGUAGCUCUUUACUAUAGUGCAGUAAGCCGUGUUAGCGGGGAGUGCUAUGGUAGAGUAAGCUGUAAUUCAAUUGACAUAGUGAUGAAGGUAGCCAUAGAAAAGGGUUAUGUUGAAUUAACGUGGUCGGCUAGAUUAACUAGGGACUGCAUUAGUUUGGCAUAAUCGAGUUCUAUGAGCAUCUUUGAUUGGUAGGUUAGACUUGACACACGACGAUUUUGAUAUUCGCGAGAUUAACUUAGGUCAUUAUCAAGUGUGAGGAAAAUUAAUUUAGGGUCAUAUUGUGGAUAUGAUUGAUUGUGAUCUACCUUUGGGCAAAUAUAAUCGGGCUAGAUUAACUACGGGUUAUAUUUGUCUAUUGGACCUAAAGCCCGUUAAGAAAAAUCAGUUUUCUCGUUUGUCUACUAGAGGGAAGUGGAACUCGAUAAAAUUAGUGGGAGAACAAUUAAAUAACACAAGUCCAAACAUUUAAUUGUAACAAUCAUUUAACGCGAAUCUCUAAUAAUCCUCUUCUCUAUAUGUCUCAGAUAAUCAUGUCUAAGAAUCCCAUAAUGUCAAUCCUCGACAAUAAACUCAAUGGCCCUAAUUACCUAGAUUGGUUGCGUAGUCUUAAGCUUGUGCUAACUGUUGAGGGGCGUCUCUAUGUUUUGAACGAGAGGCUUCCCGCCACUAUACCUGCCACAGCGACUGAUGCUGAAAAGGAAACUUAUGAAGUUUGGAAGAAAGAUGACACCCAUGCUAGGUGCUAUAUGAUAGCCGCCAUGGAGCCCGCGCUUGCGAGGAAAUAUGAGUCUCACUUGCAUGCUUUCGAUAUAAAGGCUCAUCUCGAUAGCAUGUAUAGUGAGAAUAUUAGGGCAUCGAGGUACGCUGCUACAAAGGAGUUGAUCACAGCGAGACUGCGCGAAGGGACUUCGGUCCACGAGCACUGUCUCAAAAUGAUCACUCUCCUUGAAAAGCUAGUGAAUCUUGAUGUCACCCUCCCGGCCGAGCUCUCGUUGGAUUUGAUCCUGUUGUCUCUUCCUAGUUCCUAUGAAUCGUUCAUAGUGAACUUCAACAUGAACAAACUAGAUCCUCCCUUGGAUGAGUUAAUGAACAUGUUGGUCAGCUUCGAGUCCACCAUUAAGAAAGAGAAGUCUGUUCUCAUUGCUGCUACUUCUGGAAAGAAGAGUUCUUUCCAAAAGAAGAGAAAGGAAAGAGUUCUUUUCCCUAACAGCAAGUUCGAAGUGGGUGAAGGUAGUGGGGGCCCCAAAGCAAAGGUUAGCAAACAAGUUGAUGAUGCUUGCCAUCACUGUGGAAAGAAAGGACAUUGGCGCCGCAACUGCAAGGCUUACCUGAAGCAGAAAGGUUCUGAAAAGGGUACGUAUUUCAUUGACGUAAAUUUGUCUGUCAACUCUUCUUCUUGGGUAUUGGAUACGGGCUGUGGCUCACAUUUGUGCAAUGAUUUGCAGCUAAUGACAAGAAGUCGAAGACUUAGAGCGGGUGAGACCUACCUAAGGAUGGGGAAUGGAGCAAGAGUUGCUGCUGAAGCCAUUGGCACAAUUUACUUAAAUGUUUUGGAUUCUAGUUUUCCUAUUGUUUUGAACGAUUGUUUAUUUGUUCCGUCGCUCAUUAGAAACCUUAUUUCUAUUCCUGUAUUAGAUAUUGAAGGUUUUACUUUUGUUUUUGGAAAUUCGAUUUGCAUUAUACAAAAGAAUGAGAAUUUAAUUUGCAAAGGACGACUAUUAAACAACUUGUAUGAACUAAAUCCAAGUGAAAUACCCAUUAAUGUUAUAUCAGCAAAACGUAAGGAGAUAGAUCAAAACCCCGCACAACUUUGGCACGCUAGAUUAGGUCAUGUCUCUUUAAGAAGGAUGAACAAUUUUGUUAGUGAAGGAUUGUUCUCUUUGGAGGACGUGAAAUCACUAAAAACUUGUGAAUCUUGCCUUAAAGGGAAAAUGACCAAGUCACCCUACGAAGGGAAAAUGGAACGAGCCGAGGGUCUUUUGGAUUUGAUCCAUACAGACGUAUGUGGUCGACUAAGUGUUAGUGCGAAGGGUGGAUAUAACUACUUCGCUACCUUUACCGACGAUUAUUCUAGGUAUGGGUAUGUGUACUUGAUGAAGUACAAGUCUGAAACAUUUGAAAGGUUCAAAGAUUUUAGACAUGAAGUAGAAAAGCAACUCGGACGAAGUAUUAAGAAGCUACGAUCCGAUCGUGGUGGAGAAUACUUGAGCAUCGAGUUCAUUGACUAUCUAAAAGAAAAUGGGAUACAGUCCCAAUGGACUCCACCGGGAACUCCUCAACUUAAUGGAGUAUCCGAACGUCGGAAUCGAACUUUAUUAGAUAUGGUUCGAUCAAUGAUGGGGUUCACAAACUUACCGGCAUACUUAUGGGGUCAUGCACUUCGUACUGCCGCGUAUUUGCUGAAUAGAGUUAACACCAAAGCAGUUAAAUCCACACCUUAUGAACUUUGGCAUUCCCGGAAACCCAAUUACAAACAUAUUAGGAUAUGGGGUUGUCCCGCUUAUGUGAAGCGAUUAGUGGGAGAUAAGUUGGAUAGUAAAUCAGACUUGUGCUAUUUUGUGGGGUAUCCCGAAGACUCAAUGGGAUACGAGUUCUACUAUGUCAAAGAAGCAAAGACGUUUGUUUCGAGAAAUGCCACCCUUUUGGAAAGGGAGUUUCUAUCCGAUAGAAAGGGCAGCAUGAUAGAACUUGAAGUAGUUCAAGAACCACAAAAUGAAGUUCAAACGCAAGAACAAGCAAUCGAACCAAUACAACAAACCACUAAUAUACCUCCUGAACCUACGGUACGUAGAUCCGAAAGAGUUCGGAAAAUGCCGGAUAGGUUAUUCCUCCUCGAGAUUGAUGAAGAUCAUGUUGAUCUUGGACAAGAUCCAAGAACAUACAAUGAGGCCGUAUCGGAUGCGGACAUGGGACAUUGGCUAACUGCCAUGAAAUCCGAAAUGGACUCCAUGUACUCCAACAAGGUAUGGACCUUGGUAGAUCCACCCAAAGGAAUUGUUCCUAUAGGCUGCAAGUGGAUCUAUAAGAAGAAAAUUGGAGUUGAUGGAAAGGUAUCGACCUAUAAAGCUAGAUUGGUAGCGAAAGGAUACACUCAAAGGCAAGGCGUUGACUAUGAGGAAACCUUUUCGCCAGUCGCGAUGCUGAAGUCCAUUAGGAUUUUGCUGGCCAUAGCUGCGUGGUAUGACUACGAGAUAUGGCAAAUGGAUGUGAAGACCGCCUUCCUUAAUGGAGACAUUGAGGAAGAAAUUUACAUGGCGCAGCCGGAAGGCUUCAAUUCUUCUGGAAGUGAGCAAAAGGUUUGCAAGCUCCAGCGAUCCAUUUAUGGAUUGAAGCAAGCAUCCUGUAGUUGGAACAUUAGGUUCGACUCAACUAUCAAAGAGUUUGAUUUUGAGAAGAACCCGGAGGAACCUUGUGUAUACAAGAAGGUUAGUGGGAGGGCAGUAAUAUUUUUAGUGCUUUACGUUGAUGACAUUCUGCUCAUUGGGAAUGAUGUAGGAAUGUUGCAGCAAACGAAAGCAUGGUUGUCCACACGUUUCUCAAUGAAGGAUUUGGGAGAAGCAUCUUAUGUAUUAGGAAUACGCAUCUAUAGAGAUAGAGCAAGAAAGAUGCUUGGCUUAUCCCAAAGCCUGUACAUAGACACCGUUAUGAAACGGUUUAGCAUGGUAGAAUCCAAGAAGGGAUUCUUGCCAAUGUCCCAUGGGGUUCGUCUCUCGAAAUCUAUGUGUCCGCAAACACCUAGUGAAAUCGAGGAGAUGAAAAGGACGCCCUAUGCUUCUGCCAUAGGAAGCAUAAUGUAUGGCAUGCUAUGUACGAGACCCGAUAUUGCGUAUGCUGUGAGUGUCACAAGCAGAUAUCAGUCUAACCCCGGCCCGGCUCACUGGAAAGCCGUGAAAGAUAUCCUCAAGUACUUGCGAAGAACUAAGGAUAUAUUUUUGGUCUAUGGGGGUGCCGAGUUGAAAUUAGAAGGUUUUACUGACUCUAGUUUGCAAUCGGAUGUGGACGACUCGAAGUCGAAUUCUGGAUUUAUAUUCACGCUUAAUGGUGGUGCCGUGUGUUGGAAGAGUUCCAAGCAAAGCACGACGGCCGAUUCCACUACCGAAGUAGAAUACAUUGCAGCGUCCGAAGCUGCAAAAGAAGGGACUUGGAUAAGGAAAUUCAUCCAAGAGUUGGGUGUCAUUCCUGAUGCUAGUGUUCCAGUACCGUUGUACUGUGAUAACACCGGAGCCGUCGCGCAAGCUAAGGAGCCACGAUCUCAUCAGAAGUCGAAGCAUAUUCUGAGGAAGUAUCACGUGAUCCGAGAGAUCAUUGAUAGAGGUGAAGUUAAGGUUGAACGAGUCACCUCGGAAGAGAACGUUGCAGACCCCUUUACGAAGCCUUUACCGAGAUCGGUCCAUGAGAAACAUCGAGAGUCGAUGGGAUUGCGAUUCAUGGGUAGUUGGCUUUAGGUCAAGUGGGAGAUUGUUAGAGUAGGUGACCAACAAGCCAACAUGUGGCUGUGGUCUUUCGUAUUUAUUAUUGUAAUAAACGAACCUUUAUUCGUAUUAAUGAUAAAACACCUUGGCAUUCUAUAUCUUUGUCCCUUUGUCACAAGCAUAGAUAUAGUCCUUACAGUUAUUACAAGUACUAGUAAUUGAUCGUUAGGAUCGUGAGAUAUUUACUUAAGUAUUAUGACUGUUAAACGUGUUCCUAGUCGAAGGGUUACGCCACUAAUGAGGAUAUCGGCCUUUCCCAUUAAGACUAGCACUUAGUGUAUGUGUACUGCAUCUCAUCAGUAAACGGUAUUGUGAUAUCGGCAUGCAUAAGUGGGUGCUCGUAAGUUGACGAGUUCACUGAACUCCCUCACCCUAGAAAUCUCUAAGUGGUUCCCAAUAAUCGAGUAGAGAUAUCUAUGGUAUAGUUGUACACCAUUAGUCCUUAUGACCUAGACAUCACCGUGACUUCACUAGAGGACCAGCUGUAUCGUGACCUGUCCCUGAGUUCCACCGAGGACCAUCCCAAGGGCCAGUGUUCGUGCAGUCCGAAAUCUAGUGGGAGGUCUGUGCAUUGUAGUCGGGGAUUCGAUCGCUAGAAUAGUCUUGGAUGUCCUGUGUGUUCUGAAAGUUUGUAAUCAUUCUAAGUCUCUGGCCAGAGCUGACUAAGUGAUGAUUAGAGAAUUCGAUUCUCUAAGUCAUGCACGUAAGGAUUACAACACUUAGAACGAUCGCACCGUCAUCGAACAUAUAAAGAGGUCUCGAUGAACCAAUGCCUCUAGUUCGAUCGGGACAUAUGAAUCGAAGGGACCGUACUGUACGUUAACUAUAUCUGAAGGUUCUUGCAGGCACUUCAUUUGUAUCUAGGGAAUCAUGACGCGUAGUUGCUAGACGCCAAUCUUGAUUCGUUGGGUGAUUAAGGUGAAACGAGCUUCAUCUUAAUCAUAACUUGAAGGGGACGAGUUUUGACCACAAAGGGUUGUGGGCCCAUGGCUAGCUUACACCUGAACCAUCGAGGGUCACACUGCUCGUGCACAUGAGAUCUUUGAAUAAACGGUCAGAGAUAAAAUAGUUUAUCUUUGCAUGAUUGGAAGUCAAUAUGAUUGAGUCCAACAUUCGUAAUUUGGAAUUAUGAAUGAGAAUAAGAAAAGGAAAAGAAUAGGCGAACAUGUUAGUGAACUUUCUAAAUCGGGAAGUUUCCAAAUUUAGAAAGUGCACUGAACUAGGGUUUCCACUUUUGGAAAGUUGGAAAAUGAGAGAUGGCACUCGUAAUGACGAGGGAAUUAUAAUGAUUCCGAAAAUGUAAUCGUUGCAAUUUUUCGGUCAUUGAAUUGAGAGAAACGAGCAAGUAAAAGUACUAGCGAACUUAAGCUGUUGGGCCCGGUCCAACUUAAGCCCGCUAGGGUUUUAUGCAAGGGACUAUAAAUACAUGAUUUAUAGGCCUUGCAAAAACACAAGAAACCCUAACCCUAAAGAGGCCGUCCACCUCUCUCUCUCGCGCGGCCACCUCCGCCGUUGACGCCGCCCCGUCGCCGGAAUCGGCCAUCCCUUGGCCGAUCUCUUUCGGUAUUCUUUUCUUCUCUCUUUUCUUCCGUUAAUUCUAACUACUUCGUGUCUAGUGCCACGUUUUAGUAGAUCGAAUUAUACGAGGUGAAAUCCGAGAGGAGGAAGACUGUAGAUUGAAGAAUCGAGGAGCAACGCACGAGCCGAAGCCGCACGCUGCCCCACGCGCCACCCCGGAAGUCCGCGCGUGAAGCUCACGCGCCGCCGUGGUCAAUCCGCCGCUGCUGCCGCUGCAUUCCAUUGCUGCCCCGAUUGUACGGAUUGGUUUCCGUAGCAAUCUCGACGUGCUAUACGCUCCUACCUCACGCUUCAAGAGGUAAACACGCGAAACCCUAGUUUCGAUUUGAGUUUUGUUUAAACCUAUGUAUUCAUGUUUGUUUCGUAUUAUUUUAUGUGAUUAUGUGUAAUCGAUCAAAUCGUUGCAAGCAUGUUAUUUGGUUUAAACGCGAGCAUGUUAAUUGAUUUAAAUUCGGUUAAAUUUAUUAGCAUGUAUGUCGUUUUUAAUUUCGCUGGAAGCGCAAAGGUACGCAAUUAAUUGGUUUCAUUUAAUGGGCAUGUACUAUGUGCGUUUUAAACUCGUUUAAUUCGCAUAAAUUUUUGUUUUCCGCUGCGUAUGCGUGCCCGAAACCCAACAAGUCGAGCAUAGCAUUCUCAUCCAGACAACAAAUCAACUGGUUCUGGCGGCAUUGGAAAGCGAUUUCAGCUGGCUACAAUUCCUGUCUCAUGGAAAAAUUCCAAAUUCGGACUCGAACAUGGUCAAAAUUGGAUUCCAAAAGCGAUCAUGAAAAUACGUACUAUAGAUUGAGGACAUGAAUGCGCAUCAAGAAACGUGCACAAAAACACUGGCUAGAAGAGAUACGCACAUAAGUAAAAGUACAAAAGCAUGCACAAAAGUAAUCACGCAAAAAUGGAUUCGCAAAAAUGAUCGUGAAAACACAAACUACAAUACGAGGACGUUAAUACAAAUCAACAAACAUGCAUAAGUACACUCGCUCAAAUGGACAUGCACAAACGUACAUGUAAAAAAACAUGUGUAAAAGUGCAUUCGCAUCAACGUUCUUAAAAACACAUACUACUAUACUAGGACUUUACUACACAUCAACAAACAACAACAAAAACACUAGAUAAAAAAGAUAGAAUGGAGUGUAGAAAUAAAACUCUACGUGUACGUGGAUUUUUUUUCGGAUUAAUUUAUAUAUCUAUAUUAAUUGGUGGAUUUUGUAUCUUAUAGGUACAAGUCGAAAAUUAGGUGUCCAGGAAGCAAAAAUGAUGAAAGAGUAAGAAAAGAGUUGCAAUUAGGAAAAUAAAAUCAAAUUAGAAGAGAGAAUCCCCGAACAUCUUUGGUAGUGUCCACGAAGUCGAGCAUAACUUUCUCAUCCGGACUCCAAAUCAACUGGUUCUGGCGGCAUUGGAAAGCUAUUUCAGCUGGCUACAAUUCCUGUCUAAUUGCAAAAUUCCAAAUUCGGACUCCAACAUGGUCAAAAUUGGAUUCCAAAAGCGAUCAUGAAAAUACGUACUAUAGUUUGAGGACAUGAAUGCGCAUCAAGAAACGUGCACAAAAACACUCGCUAGAAGAGAUACGAACAUAAGUAAAAGUAAAAAAGCAUGCACAAAAGUAAUCACGCAAAAAUGGAUUCGCAAAAAUGAUCAUGAAAACACAAACUACAAUCCGAGGACAUUAAUACAAAUCAACAAACAUGCAUAAGCACACUCGCUCAAAUGGACAUGCACAAACGUACAUGUAAAAAAACAUGUGUAAAAGUGCAUUCGCAACAACAUUCUUAAAAACACAAACUACUAUACUAGGACUUUAAUACGCAUGAACAAACAACAACAAAAACACUAGAUACAAAAGAUACAGUGGAGUGUAGAAAUAAAACUCUACGUUUACGUGGUUUUUUUUCGGAUUACUUUAUAUUUCUAUAUUAAUUGGUGGAUUUAAUAUCUUAUAGGUACAAAUCGAAAAUUAGGUGUCCGGGAAGCAAAAAUGAUCAAAGAGUAAGAAAAGAGUAACAAUUAGGAAAAUAAAUCAAAUUAGAAGAGAGAAUCCCCGAACAUGUUUGGUAGUGUCCACAAAUUCGAGCAUAAAAUACUCAUCCGGACUCCAAAUCAACUAGUUCUGGCGGCAUUGGAAAGCUAUUUCAGCUGCCUACAAUUCCUGUCUCAUGGCAAAAUUCCAAAUUCGGACUCGAACAUGGUCAAAAUUUGAUUCCAAAAGCCAUCAUGAAAAUACGUACUAUAGUUUGAGGACAUGAAUGCGCAUCAAGAAACGUGCACAAAACACUCACUAGAAGAGAUACGCAUAUAAGUCAAAGUACAAAGCAUGCACAAAAGUAAUCACGCAAAAGUGGAUUCGCAAAAAUGAUCAUGAAAACACAAACUACAAUCCGAGGACAUUAAUACAAAUCAACAAACAUGCAUAAGCACAGUCGAUCAAAUGGACAUGCACAAACGUACAUGUAAAAAAACAUGUGUAAAAGUGCAUUGGCAACAACGUUCUUAAAAACACAAAGUACUAUACUAGGACUUUAAUACGCAUAACCAAACAACACCAAAAACACUAGAUAAAAAAGAUAGAGUGUACUGUACAAAUAAAACUCUACGUUUACGUGGAUUUUUUUUCGGAUUAAUUUAUAUUUCUAUAUUAAUUGGUGGAGUUUGUAUCUUAUAGGUACAAGUCGAAAAUUAGGUGUCCAGGAAGCAAAAAUGAUGAAAGAGUAAGAAAAGAGUUGAUAUUCGGAAAAUAAAAUCAAAUUAAAAGAGAGAAUCCCCGAACAUCUUUGGUAGUGUCCACGAAGUCGAGCAUAAUUUUCUCAUCCGGACUCCAAAUCAACUGAUUCCGGCGGCAUUGGAAAGCUAUUUCAGCUAGCUACAAUUCCUAUCUAAUGUAAAAAUUCCAAAUUCGAACUCGAACAUGGUCAAAAUUGGAUUCCAAAACCGAACAUGAAAAUACGUACUAUAGUUCGAGAACAUGAAUGUGCAUCAAGAAACGUGCACAAAAACACUCACUAGAAGACAUACGCACAUAAGUAAAAGUACAAAAGCAUGCACAAGAGUACUCACGCAAAAGUGCAUUCGCAAAAAGGAUCAUGAAAACACUAACUACAAUCCUAGGACAUUAAUACAAAUCAACAAACGUGCAUAAGCACACUCGCUCAAAUGGACAUGCACAAACGUACAUGAAAAAAAACAUGUGUAAUAGUGCAUUCGCAACAACUUUAUUAAAAACAAAGACUACUAUACUAGGACUUUAAUACGCAUAAACAAACAACAACAAAAACACUAGAUAAAAAAGAUAGAGUGGAGUGUAGAAAUAAAACUCUACGUUUACGUGGAUUUUUUUUCGGAUUAAUUUAUAUUUCUAUAUUAAUUGGUGGAUUUUGUAUCUUAUAGGUACAAGUCGAAAAUUAGGUGUCCAGGAAGCAAAAAUGACGAAAGAGUAAGAAAAGAGUUGCAAUAAGGAAAAUAAAAUAAAAUUAGAAGAGAGAAUCCCCGAACAUCUUUGGUAGUGUCCAUGAAGUCGAGCAUAAGUUUCUCAUCCGGACUCCAAAUCAACUUGUUCCGGCGGCAUUGGAAAUCUAUUUCAGCUGGCUACAAUUCCUGUUUAAUGGCGAAAUUCCAAAUUCAGACUCGAACAUGGUCAAAAUUGGAUUCCAAUAGCGAUCGUGAAAAUGCUUACUAUAGUUCGAGAACAUGAUUUCGCAUCGAGAAACGUGCACAAAAACACUCGCUAGAAGAGAUACGCACAUAAGUAAAAGUACAAAAGCAUGCACAAAAGUACUCAGGCAAAAGUGAAUUCGCAAAAAGGAUCAUGAAAACACAAACUACAAUCCCAGGACAUUAAUACAAAUCAAAAGCAUAAGCACACUCGCUCAAAGGGACAUGCACAAACGUACAUGUAAAAAAACAUGUGCAAAAGUGCAUUCGCUACAACGUUCUUAAAAACACGAACUACAAUACUAGGAAUUUAAUACGCAUCAACAAACAACAGCAAAAACACUAGAUAAAAAAGAUACAAUGGAGUGUAGAUAUAAAACUCUACGUUUACGUGGUUUUUUUUUUCGGAUUAAUUUAUAUUUCUAUAUUAAUUGGUGGAUUUAAUAUCUUAUAGGUACAAAUCGAAAAUUAGGUGUCCAAGAAGCAAAAAUGAUCAAAGAGUAAGAAAAGAGUUGCAAUUAGGAAAAUAAAAUCAAAUUAGAAGAGAGAAUCCCCGAACAUCUUUGGUAGUGUCCACGAAGUCGAGCAUAACUUUCUCAUGCGGACUCCAAAUCAACUGGUUCUGGCGGCAUUGGAAAGCUAUUUCAGCUGGCUACAAUUCCUAUCUAAUGGCAAAAUUCCAAAUUCGGACUCCAACAUGGUCAAAAUUGGAUUCCAAAAGCGAUCAUGAAAAUACGUACUAUAGUUUGAGGAUAUGAAUGCGCAUCAAGAAACGUGCACAAAAACACUCGCUAGAAGAGAUACGCACAUAAGUAAAAGUAAAAAAGCAUGCACAAAAGUAAUCACGCAAAAAUGGAUUCGCAAAAAUGAUCAUGAAAACACAAACUACAAUCCGAGGACAUUAAUACAAAUCAACAAACAUGCAUAAGCACACUCGCUCAAAUGGACAUGCACAAACGUACAUGUAAAAAAACAUGUGUAAAAGUGCAUUCGCAACAACAUUCUUAAAAACACAAACUACUAUACUAGGACUUUAAUACGCAUCAACAAACAACAACAAAAACACUGAUAAAAAAGAUAUAGUGGAGUGUAGAAAUAAAACUCUACGUUUACGUGGUUUUUUACGGAUUAUUUUAUAUUCCUAUAUUAAUUGGGUGGAUUUAAUAUCUUAUAGGUACAAAAUCUAAAAAUUUAGGUGUCCCGGGAAGCAAAAAUGAUCAAAGAGUAAGGGGAGGGGGUGGCAAUUAGGAAAAUAAAUCAAAUUAUAAGAGAGAAUCCCCGAACAUGUUUGGUAGUGUCCACAAAUUCGAGCAUAAAAUACUCAUCCGGACUCCAAAUCAACUAGUUCUGGCGGCAUUGGAAAGCGAUUUCAGCUGGCUACAAUUCCUGUCUCAUGGCAAAAUUCCAAAUUCGGACUCGAACAUGGUCAAAAUUUGAUUCCAAAAGCCAUCAUGAAAAUACGUACUAUAGUUUGAGGACAUGAAUGCGCAUCAAGAAACGUGCACAAAAACACUUGCUAGAAGAGAUACGCAUAUAAGUCAAAGUACAAAGCAUUCACAAAAGUAAUCACGCAAAAGUGGAUUCGCAAAAAUGAUCAUGAAAACACAAACUACAAUCCGAGGACAUUAAUACAAAUCAACAAACAUGCAUAAGCACAGUCGAUCAAAUGGACAUGCACAAACGUACAUGUAAAAAAACAUGUGUAAAAGUGCAUUGGCAACAACGUUCUUAAAAACACAAAGUACUAUACUAGGACUUUAAUACGCAUAACCAAACAACAACAAAAACACUAGAUAAAAAAGAUAGAGUGUACUAUACAAAUAAAACUCUACGUUUACGUGGAUUUUUUUUCGGAUUAAUUUAUAUUUCUAUAUUAAUUGGUGGAGUUUGUAUCUUAUAGGUACAAGUCGAAAAUUAGGUGUCCAGGAAGCAAAAAUGAUGAAAGAGUAAGAAAAGAGUUGCAAUUAGGAAAAUAAAAUCAAAUUAGAAGAGAGAAUCCCCGAACAUCUUUGGUAGUGUCCACGAAGUCGAGCAUAACUUUCUCAUCCGGACUCCAAAUCAACUGGUUCUGGCGGCAUUGGAAAGCUAUUUCAGCUGGCUACAAUUCCUGUCUAAUUGCAAAAUUCCAAAUUCGGACUCCAACAUGGUCAAAAUUGGAUUCCAAAAGCGAUCAUGAAAAUACGUACUAUAGUUUGAGGACAUGAAUGCGCAUCAAGAAACGUGCACAAAAACACUCGCUAGAAGAGAUACGAACAUAAGUAAAAGUAAAAAAGCAUGCACAAAAGUAAUCACGCAAAAAUGGAUUCGCAAAAAUGAUCAUGAAAACACAAACUACAAUCCGAGGACAUUAAUACAAAUCAACAAACAUGCAUAAGCACACUCGCUCAAAUGGACAUGCACAAACGUACAUGUAAAAAAACAUGUGUAAAAGUGCAUUCGCAACAACAUUCUUAAAAACACAAACUACUAUACUAGGACUUUAAUACGCAUCAACAAACAACAACAAAAACACUAGAUAAAAAAGAUACAGUGGAGUGUAGAAAUAAAACUCUACGUUUACGUGGUUUUUUUUCGGAUUCAUUUAUAUUUCUAUAUUAAUUGGUGGAUUUAAUAUCUUAUAGGUACAAAUCGAAAAUUAGGUGUCCGGGAAGCAAAAAUGAUCAAAGAGUAAGAAAAGAGUAACAAUUAGGAAAAUAAAUCAAAUUAGAAGAGAGAAUCCCCGAACAUGUUUGGUAGUGUCCACAAAUUCGAGCAUAAAAUACUCAUCCGGACUCCAAAUCAACUAGUUCUGGCGGCAUUGGAAAGCUAUUUCAGCUGCCUACAAUUCCUGUCUCAUGGCAAAAUUCCAAAUUCGGACUCGAACAUGGUCAAAAUUUGAUUCCAAAAGCCAUCAUGAAAAUACGUACUAUAGUUUGAGGACAUGAAUGCGCAUCAAGAAACGUGCACACAAACACUCGCUAGAAGAGAUACGCAUAUAAGUCAAAGUACAAAUCAUGCACAAAAGUAAUCACGCAAAAGUGGAUUCGCAAAAAUGAUCAUGAAAACACAAACUACAAUCCGAGGACAUUAAUACAAAUCAACAAACAUGCAUAAGCACAGUCGAUCAAAUGGACAUGCACAAACGUACAUGUAAAAAAACAUGUGUAAAAGUGCAUUGGCAACAACGUUCUUUAAAACACAAAGUACUAUACUAGGACUUUAAUACGCAUAACCAAACAACAACAAAAACACUAGAUAAAAAAGAUAGAGUGUACUGUACAAAUAAAACUCUACGUUUACGUGGAUUUUUUUUCGGAUUAAUUUAUAUUUCUAUAUUAAUUGGUGGAUUUAAUAUCUUAUAGGUACAAAUCGAAAAUUAGGUGUCCGGGAAGCAAAAAUGAUCAAAGAGUAAGAAAAGAGUAACAAUUAGGAACAUAAAAUCAAAUUAGAAGAGAGAAUCUCCGAACAUGUUUGGUAGUGUCCACGAAGUCGAGCAUAGCAUUCUCAUCCAGACAACAAAUCAACUAGUUCUGGCGGCAUUGGAAAGCGAUUUCAGCUGGCUACAAUUCCUGUCUCAUUGAAAAAUUCCAAAUUCGGACUCGAACAUGGUCAAAAUUGGAUUCCAAAAGCGAUCAUGAAAAUACGUACUAUAGAUUGAGGACAUGAAUGCGCAUCAAGGAACGUGCACAAAAACACUCGCUAGAAUUGAUACGCACAUAAUUAAAAGUACAAAAGCAUGCACAAAAGUAAUCACGCAAANNNNNNNNNNNNNNNNNNNNNNNNNNNNNNNNNNNNNNNNNNNNNNNNNNNNNNNNNNNNNNNNNNNNNNNNNNNNNNNNNNNNNNNNNNNNNNNNNNNNNNNNNNNNNNNNNNNNNNNNNNNNNNNNNNNNNNNNNNNNNNNNNNNNNNNNNNNNNNNNNNNNNNNNNNNNNNNNNNNNNNNNNNNNNNNNNNNNNNNNNNNNNNNNNNNNNNNNNNNNNNNNNNNNNNNNNNNNNNNNNNNNNNNNNNNNNNNNNNNNNNNNNNNNNNNNNNNNNNNNNNNNNNNNNNNNNNNNNNNNNNNNNNNNNNNNNNNNNNNNNNNNNNNNNNNNNNNNNNNNNNNNNNNNNNNNNNNNNNNNNNNNNNNNNNNNNNNNNNNNNNNNNNNNNNNAGGAAAAUAAAGUCCACGAAGUCGAGCAUAACUUUCUAAUUUGGAUUCCAAAACAACUGGUUCUGACGACAUUGAAAAGCUACUUCAGCUAGCUACAAUUUCUGUCUAAUGGCAAAAUUCCAAAUUCGGACUCGAGCAUGGUCAAAAAUGGAUUCCAAAAGCGAUCAUGAAAAUACGUACUAUAGUUCGAGAACAUGAAUGCGCAUCAAGAAACAUGCACAAAAACACUCGCUAGAAGAGAUACGCACAUAAGUAAAAGUACAAAAGCAUGCACAAAAGUACUCACGUAAAACUGCAUUCGCAAAAAGGAUCAUGAAAACACAAACUACAAUGCUAGGACAUUAAUCCAAAUCAACAAACAUGCAUAACCAUACUGGCUCAAAUGGACAUGCACAAGCGUACAUUUUAAAAAACAUGCGCAAAAGUGCAUUCGCAACAACGUUCUUAAAAACACGAACCACAAUACUAGGACUUUAAUACGCAUCAACAAACAACAACAAAAACACUAGAUUAAUAAGAUACAUUGUAGUGUAGAAAUAAAACUCUACGUUUACGUUUACGUGGAUUUUUUUUCAGAUUAAUUUAUAUUUCUAUAUUAAUUGGUGGAUUUGGUAUCUUAUAGGUACAAAUAGAAGAUUAGGUGUCCAGGAAGCAAAAUGAUCAAAGAGUAAGAGAAGAGUUGCAAUUAGGAAAAUAAAAUCAAAUUAGAAGAGAGAAUCCCCGAACAUCUUUGGUAGUGUCCACGAAGUCAAGCAUAACUUUCUCAUCCGUUCCGGUGGCAUUGGAAAGCUAUUUCAGCUGGCUACAAUUCCUGUCUAAUGGCAAAAUUCCAAAUCCAGACUCGAGCAUGGUCAAAAUUCGAUUCCACAAGCGAUCAUGAAAAUACGUACUAUAGUUCGAGAACAUGAAUGCGCAUCAAGAAACGUGCACAAAAACACUCGCUAGAAGAGAUACGCACAUAAGUAAAAGUAAAAAAGCAUGCACAAAAGUAAUCAGGAAAAAAUGGAUUCGCAAAAAUGAUCAUGAAAACACAAACUACAAUCCGAGGACAUUAAUACAAAUCAACAAACAUGCAUAAGCACACUCGCUCAAAUGGACAUGCACAAACGUACAUGUAAAAAAACAUGUGUAAAAGUGCAUUCGCAACAACAUUCUUAAAAACACAAACUACUAUACUAGGACUUUAAUACGCAUCAACAAACAACAACAAAAACACUAGAUAAAAAAGAUAUAGUGGAGUGUAGAAAUAAAACUCUACGUUUACGUGGUUUUUUUUCGGAUUAAUUUAUAUUUCUAUAUUAAUUGGUGGAUUUAAUAUCUUAUAGGUACAAAUCUAAAAUUAGGUGUCCGGGAAGCAAAAAUGAUCAAAGAGUAAGAAAAGAGUAACAAUUAGGAAAAUAAAUCAAAUUAUAAGAGAGAAUCCCCGAACAUGUUUGGUAGUGUCCACAAAUUCGAGCAUAAAAUACUCAUCCGGACUCCAAAUCAACUAGUUCUGGCGGCAUUGGAAAGCGAUUUCAGCUGGCUACAAUUCCUGUCUCAUGGCAAAAUUCCAAAUUCGGACUCGAACCUGGUCAAAAUUUGAUUCCAAAAGCNNNNNNNNNNNNNNNNNNNNNNNNNNNNNNNNNNNNNNNNNNNNNNNNNNNNNNNNNNNNNNNNNNNNNNNNNNNNNNNNNNNNNNNNNNNNNNNNNNNNUUGCUAGAAGAGAUACGCAUAUAAGUCAAAGCACAAAGCAGUCACAAAAGUAAUCACGCAAAAGUGGAUUCGCAAAAAUGAUCAGGAACACACAAACUACAAUCCGAGGACAUUAAUACAAAUCAACAAACAUGCAUAAGCACAGUCGAUCAAAGGGACAUGCACAUACGUACAUGUAAAAAAACAUGUGUAAAAGUGCAUUGGAAACAACGUUCUUAAAAACACAAAGUACUAUACUAGGACUUUAAUACGCAUAACCAAACGACACCUGAAACACUAGAUAAAAAAGAUAGAGUGUACUGUACAAAUUAAACUCUACGUUUACGUGGAUUUUUUUUCGGAUUAAUUUAUAUUUCUAUAUUAAUUGGUGGAGUUUGUAUCUUAUAGGUACAAGUCNNNNNNNNNNNNNNNNNNNNNNNNNNNNNNNNNNNNNNNNNNNNNNNNNNNNNNNNNNNNNNNNNNNNNNNNNNNNNNNNNNNNNNNNNNNNNNNNNNNNNNNNNNNNNNNNNNNNNNNNNNNNNNNNNNNNNNNNNNNNNNNNNNNNNNNNNNNNNNNNNNNNNNNNNNNNNNNNNNNNNNNNNNNNNNNNNNNNNNNNNNNNNNNNNNNNNNNNNNNNNNNNNNNNNNNNNNNNNNNNNNNNNNNNNNNNNNNNNNNNNNNNNNNNNNNNNNNNNNNNNNNNNNNNNNNNNNNNNNNNNNNNNNNNNNNNNNNNNNNNNNNNNNNNNNNNNNNNNNNNNNNNNNNNNNNNNNNNNNNNNNNNNNNNNNNNNNNNNNNNNNNNNNNNNNNNNNNNNNNNNNNNNNNNNNNNNNNNNNNNNNNNNNNNNNNNNNNNNNNNNNNNNNNNNNNNNNNNNNNNNNNNNNNNNNNNNNNNNNNNNNNNNNNNNNNNNNNNNNNNNNNNNNNNNNNNNNNNNNNNNNNNNNNNNNNNNNNNNNNNNNNNNNNNNNNNNNNNNNNNNNNNNNNNNNNNNNNNNNNNNNNNNNNNNNNNNNNNNNNNNNNNNNNNNNNNNNNNNNNNNNNNNNNNNNNNNNNNNNNNNNNNNNNNNNNNNNNNNNNNNNNNNNNNNNNNNNNNNNNNNNNNNNNNNNNNNNNNNNNNNNNNNNNNNNNNNNNNNNNNNNNNNNNNNNNNNNNNNNNNNNNNNNNNNNNNNNNNNNNNNNNNNNNNNNNNNNNNNNNNNNNNNNNNNNNNNNNNNNNNNNNNNNUUAGAAGAGAGAAUCCCCGAACAUCUUUGGUAGUGUCCACGAAGUCGAGCAUAACUUUCUCAUCCGGACUCCAAAUCAACUGGUUCUGGCGACAUUGGAAAGCUAUUUCAGCUGGCUACAAUUUUUGUCUAAUGGUAAAAUUCCAAAUUCGGACUCGAACAUGGUCAAAAUUGGAUUCCAAAAGCGAUCAUGAAAAUACGUACUAUAGUUCGAGAACAUGACUGCGCAUCAAGAAACGUGAACAAAAACACUCCCUAGAAGAUAUACGCACAUAAGUAAAAGUACAAAAGCAUGCACCAAAGUACUCAAGCAAAAGUGCAUUCGCAAAAAGGAUCAUGAAAACACAAACUACAAUCCUACGACAUUAAUACAAAUCAACAAACAUGCAUAAGCACACUGGCUCAAAUGGACAUGCUCAAACGUACAUGUAAAAGAACAUGCGCAAAAGUGCAUUCGCAACAACGUUCUUAAAAACUCGAACUACAAUACUAGGAAUUUAAUACGCAUCAACAAACAACAUAAAAAACACUAGAUUAAAAAGAUAUUGUUGAGUGUAGAUAUAAAACUCUACGUUUACGUUUACGUGGAUUUUUUGUCGGAUUAAUUUAUAUUUCUAUAUUAAUUGGUGGAUUUGGUAUCUUAUAGGUACAAAUAGAAAAUUAGGUGUCCAGGAAGCAAAAAUGAUCAAAGAGUGAGAAAAUAGUUGCAAUUAGGAAAAUAAAAUGAAAUUAAAAGAGAGAAUCCCCGAACAUCUUUGGUAGUGUCCAUGAAGUCGAGCUUAACUUUCUAAUCCGGACUCCAAAUCAACUGGUUCCGGCGGCAUUGGAAAGCUAUUUUCGCUGGCUACAAUUCCUUUCAAAUGGCAAAAUUCCAAAUUCGGACUCGAACAUAGUCAAAAUUGGAUUCCAAAAGCGAUCAUGAAAAUACUUACUAUAGUUUGAGGACAUGAAUGCGCAUCAAGAAACGUGCAUAAAAGCACUCGCUAGACGAGAUACGCACAUAAGUAAAAGUAUAAAAGCAUGCACAAAAGUACUCACGCAAAAGUGCAUUCGCAAAAAGGAUCAUGAAAAGACAAACUACAAUCCUAGGACAUUAAUACAAAUCAACAAACAUGCAUAAGCACACUCGCUCAAAUGGAUAUGCACAAACGUACAUGUAAAAAAACAUGUGAAAAAGUGCAUUCGCAACCUGUUUCUUAAAAACACGAACUAUAAUACUAGAAAUUUAAUGCGCAUCAACAAACAACAGCAAAACACUAGAUAAAAGAGAUACAAUGGAGUGUAGAAAUAAAACUCUACGUUUACAUGGAUUUUUUUUCGGAUUAAUUUAUAUUUCUAUAUUAAUUGGUGGAUUUAAUAUCUUAUAGGUACAAAUCGAAAAUUAGGUGUCCAGGAAUCAAAAUUGAUCAAAGAGUAAGAAAAGAGUUGCAAUUAGGAAAAUAAAAUCAAAUUAGAAGAGAGAAUCCCCGAAUAUCUUUGGUAGUGUCCACGAAGUCGAGCAUAACUUUGUCAUCUGAACUCCAAAUCAACUGGUUCCGGCAACGUUGGAAAGCUAUUUCAGCUGGCUACAAUUCCUAUGUAAUGGCAAAAUUCCAAAUUCGGACUCGAACAUGGUCAAAAUAUGAUUCCAAAAGCGAAAAUACGUACUAUAGUUUGUGGACAUGACUGUGCAUCAAGAAACGUGCAUAAAAACACUUGCUAUAAGAGAAACGCACAUAAGUAAAUGUACAAAAGCAUGCACAAAAGAACGCACGCAAAAGUGUAUUCGCAAAAAUGAUCAUGAAAACGCAAACUACAAUCCGAGGACAUUAAUAAAAAUCAACAAACAUGCAUAAGCACACUCGCUCAAAUGGACAUUCUCAGACGUACAUGUAAAAAAACAUGCGGAAAACUGCAUUCGCAACAACGUUCUUAAAAACACGAACUACAAUACUAGUACUGUAAUACGCAUUAACAAACAACAGCAAAAACACUAGAUUAAAAAGAUACAGUGGAGUGUAGAAAUAAAACUCUACGUUUACGUUUACGUUUAUGUGGAUUAUUUUUCGGAUUAAUUUAUAUUUCUAUAUUAAUUAAUGGAUUUGUUAUCUUAUAGGUACAAAUAGAAAAGUAGGUGCCCAGGAAGAAAAAAAUGAUCAAAGAGGAAGAAAAGAGUUGCAAUUAGGAAAAUAAAAUCAAAUUAGAAGAGAGAAUCCCUGAACAUCUUUGGUAGUGUCCACGAAGUCGAGCACAACUUUCUCAUCCGGACUCGAAAUCAACUGGUUCCGGCGGCAUUGGAAAGGUAUUUCAGCUGGCUACAAUUCCUGCACAUGGCAAAAUUCCAAAUUCGGACUCGAACAUGGUCAAAAUUGGAUUCCAAAAGCGAUCAUGAAAAUACGUACUAUAGUUCGAGAACAUGAAUGUGCAUCAAGAAACGUGCACAAAAACACUCGCUAGACGAGAUACGCACAUAAGUAAAAGUACAAAAGCAUGCACAAAAGUACUCACGCAAAAGUGCAUUGGCAAAAAGGAUCAUGAAAACACAAACCACAAUCCUAGGACAUUAAUACAUAUCAACAAACAUGCAUAAGCAGAGUCGCUCAAAUGGACAUGCACAAACGUACAUGUAAAAAAACAUGUGCAAAAGUGCAUUCCCAACAAUAUUCUUAAAAACACGAACUACAAUAGUAUGACUUUAAUACGCAUAAAUAAAAAACAGCAAAAACACUAGAUAAAAAAGAUACAGUGGAGUGUAGAAAUAAAACUCUACGUUUACGUUUACGUGGAUUUUUUUCGGAUUAAUUUAUAUUUCUAUAUUAAUUGGUGGAUUUGGUAUCUUAUAGGUAGAAAUCAAAAAUUAGGUGUGCAGGAAGCAAAAAUGAUCAAAGAGUAAGAAAAGAGUUGCAAUUAGGAAAAUAAAAUCAAAUUAGAAGAGAGAAUCCCCGAACAUCUUAGGUAGUGUCCACGAAGUCGAGCAUAACUUUCUCAUCCGUUCUGGCGGCAUUGGAAAUCUAUUACAACUAGCUAAUAUUCCUGUCUAAUGGCAAAAUUCCAAAUUCGGACUCGUACAUGGUCGAAAUUGGAUUCCAAAAGCGAUCAUGAAAAUACGUACUAUAGUUCGAGAACAUGAAUGCGCAUCAAGAAACGCGCACAAAAACACUCGCUAGAAGAGAUACGCACAUACGUAAAAGUACAAAAGCAUGCCCAAAAGGACUCACGCAAAAGUGUCUUCGCAAAAAAGAUCAUGAAAACACAAACUACAAUCCUAGGACAUUAAUACAAAUCAACAAACAUGCAUAGGCACACUCGCUCAAAUGGAUAUGCACAAACGUACAUGUAAAAAAACAGGUGUAAAAGUGCAUUCGCAACAACGUUCUUAAAAACAUGAACUACAAUACUAGGACUUUAAUACGCAUAAACAAACAACAGCAAAAACACUAGCUAAAAAAAAUAAAGUGGUGUGUAGAAAUAAAACUCUACGUUUACGUGGAUUUUUUUUCGGAUUAAUUUAUAUUUCUAUAUUAAUUGAUGGAUUUGGUAUCUGAUAGGUACAAAUAGAAAAUUAGGUGUCCAGGAAGCAAAAAUGAUCAAAGAGUAAGAAAAGAGUUGCAAUUAGGAAAAUAAAAUCACAUUAGAAGAGAGAAUCUCCGAACAUGUUUGGUAGUGUCCAUGAAGUCGAGCAUAACUUUCUCAUCCGAACUCCAAAUCAACUGGUUCUGGCGGCAUUGGAAAGCUAUUUCAGCUGGCUACAAUUCCUGACUCAUGGCGAAAUUCAAAAUUCGGACUCGAACAUGGUCAAAAUUGGAUUCCAAAAGCGGUCAUGAAAAUACGUACUAUAGUUCGAGGACAUGAAUGCGCAUCAAGAAACGUGCACAAAAACACUCGCUAGAAGAGAUACGCACAUAAGUAAAAUACAAAAGCCUGCACAAAAGUACUCACUCAAAAGUGCAUUCGCAAAAAGGAUCAUGAUAACACAAACUCAAAUCCUAGGACAUUAAUACAAAUCAACAAACAUGCAUAAGCACAGUCGCUCAAAUGGACAUGCACAAAUGUACAUGUAAAAAAACACGUGCAAAAGUGCAUUCGCAACAACGUUCUUAAAAAAAAGAACUACAAUACUAGGACUUUAAUACGCAUAAACAAACAACAGCAAAAACACUAGAUAAAAAAGAUACAGUGGGGUGUAGAAAUAAAAACCCUACGUUUACGUUUACGUGGAUUUUUUUCGGAUUAGUUUAUAUUUCUAUAUUAAUUGGUGGAUUGGUAUCUUAUAGGUACAAAUAGAAAAUUAGGUGUCCUGGAAGCAAAAAUGAUCAAAGAGUAAGAAAAGAGUUGCAACUAGGAAAAUAAAAUCAAAUUAGAAGAGAGAAUCCCUGAACAUCUUUGGUAGUGUCCACGAUGUCGAGCAUAACUUUCUCAUCCGGACACCAUAUCAAAUGGUUUUGGCGGCAUUGGAAAGCUAUUUCAGCUGGCUACAAUUCCUGUCUAAUGGAAAAAUUCCAAAUUCGCACUCGAACAUGGUCAAAAUUGGAUUCCAAUAGCUAUCAUGAAAAUACUUACUAUAGUUCGAGAACAUGAAUGCGCAUCGAAAAACGUGCACAAAAACACUCGCUAGAAGAGAUACGCACAUAAGUAAAUGUACAAAAGUACGCAAAAAAGUACUCAGGCAAAAGUGCAUUCGCAAAAAGGAUAAUGAAAACACAAACUACAAUCCUAGGACAUUAAUACAAAUCAACAGCAUAAGCACACUCGCUCAAAUGGACAUGCAGAAACGUACAUGUAAAAGAACAUGUGCAAAAGUGCAAUCGCAACAACGUUCUUAAAAACACAAACUACAAUACUAGGACUUUAAUACGCAUAAACAAACAAAUGCAAAAACACUAGAUAAAAAAGAUACAGUGGAGUGUAGAAAUAAAACUCUACGUUUACGUUUACGUGGAUUUUUUUCGGAUUAGUUUAUAUUUCUAUAUUAAUUGGUCCAUUUGGUAUCUUAUAGGUAAAAAUUGAAAAUUAGGUGUCUAGGAAGCAAAAAUGAUCAAAGAGUAAGAAAAGAGUAACAAUAAGGAAAAUAAAAUCAAAUUAGAAGAGAGAAUCCCCGAACAUCUUUGGUAGUGUCCACAAAGUAGAUCAUAACUUUAUCAUCCGGACUCUUAAUAAACUGGUUCCUGCGGCAGUGGAAAGCUAUUUCAGCUAGCUACAAUUCCUGUCUAAUGGCAAAAUUCCAAAUUCGGACUCGAACAUGGUCAAAAUUGGAUUCCAAAAGCGAUCAUGAAAAUACGUACUAUAGUUUGAGGACAUGAAUGCGCAUCAAGAAACGUGCAAAAAAACACUCGCUAGAAGAGAUACGCACAUAAGUAAAUGUACAAAGCAUGCACAAAAGUAAUCACGCAAAAGUGGAUUCGCAAAAAUGAUCAUGAAAACACAAACUACAAUCCGAGGACAUUAUUACAAAUCAACAAACAUGCAUAAGCACACUCGCUCAAAUGGACAUGCACAAAUGUACAUGUAAAAAAACAUGUGUAAAAGUGCAUUCGCAACAACGUUCUUAAAAACACAAACUACUAUACUAGGACUUUAAUACGCAUCAACAAACAACAGCAAAAACACUAGAUCAAAAAGAUACAGUGGAGUGUAGAAAUAAAAUACUACGUUUACGUUUAAGUUUACGUGGAUUUUUUUUCGGAUUAAUUUAUAUUUCUAUAUUAAUUGGAGCAUUUUGUAUCUUAUUGGUACAAGUCAAAAAUUAGGUGUCCAGGAAGCCAAAAUGAUGAAAGAGUAAGAAAAGAGUUGCAAUUAGGAAAAUAAAAUCAAAUUAAAAGAGAGGAUCCCUCAACAUCUUUGGUAGUAUCCGCGAAGUCGAGCAUAAUUUUCACAUCCGGACUCCAAAUCAACUGGUUCUAACGGCAUUGGAAAGCUAUUUCAGCGGGCUACAAUUCCUCUCUGAUGGCAAAAUUCCAAAUUCGGACUCGAACAUGGUCAAAAUCGGAUUCCAAAAGCAAUCAUGAAAAUACGUACUAUAGUUCGAGAACAUGGAUGCGCAUCAAGAAACGUGAACAUAAACACUCGCUAGAAGAGAUACGCACAUAAGUACAAGUACAAAAGCAUAAACCAAAGUACUCAAGCAAAAGUGCAUUCGCAAAAAGGAUCAUGAAAACACAAACUACAAUCCUAGGACAUUAAAACAAAUCAACAAACAUGCAUAAGCACACUAGCUCAAAUGGACAUGCACAAACGUAUAUGUAAAAGAACAUGCGCAAAACUGCAUUCGCAACAACGUUCUUAAAAACACGAACUACAAUACUAGGACUGUAAUACGCAUCAACAAGCAACAGCAAAAACACUAGAUAAAAAAGAUACAAUGGAGUGUAGAAAUAAAACUCUACGUUUACGUUUACGUGGAUUUUUGUCGGAUUAAUUUAUAAUUCUCUUUUAAUUGGUGGAUAUUGUAUCAUAUAGGUACAAAUUGAAAAUUCAGUGUCCAGGUAGCAAAAAUGAUCAAUGAUUAAGAAAAGAGUUGCAAUUAGAAAAAUAAAAUCAAAUUAGAAGAGAGAAUCCCUCAAGAUCUUUCGUAGUGUCCACGAAGUCGAGCAUAACUUUCUAAUUCGGAUUCCAAAACAACUGGUUCCGACGACAUUGAAAAGCUAUUUCAGCUAGCUACAAUUUCUGUCUAAUGGCAAAAUUCCAAAUUCGGACUCGAGCAUGGUCAAAAAUGGAUUCCAAAAGCGAUCAUGAAAAUACGUACUAUAGUUCGAGAACAUGAAUGCGCAUCAAGAAACGUGGACAAAAACACUCGCUAGAAGAGAUACGCACAUAAGUAAAAGUACAAAAGCAUGCACAAAAGUAUUCACGCAAAAGUGGAUUCGCAAAAAGGAUCAUGAACACACAAUCUACAAUCCUAGGACAUUAAUACAAAUCAACAAACAUGCAUAAGCAUACUGGCUCAAAUGGACAUGCACAAACGUACAUGUAUUAAAACAUGCGCAAAAGUGCAUUCGCAACAAGGUUCCUUAAAACACGAACUACAAUACGAGGACUUUAAUACGCAUCAACAAACAACAACAAAAACACUACAUUAAUAAGAUACAUUGUAGUGUAGAAAUAAAACUCUACGUUCACGUUUACGUGGAUUUUUUUCCAGAUUAAUUUAUAUUUCUAUAUUAAUUGGUGGAUUUGGUAUCUUAUAUGUACAAAUAGAAGAUUAGGUGUCCACGAAGCAAAAUGAUCAAAGAGUAAGAGAAGAGUUGCAAUUAGGAAAAUAAAAUCAAAUUAGAAGAGAGAAUCCCCGAACAUCUUUGGUAGUGUCCACGAAGUCGAGCAUAACUUUCUGAUUCGUUCUGGCGGCAUUGGAAAGCUAUUUCAGCUGGCUACGAUUCAUGUCUAAUGGCAAAAUUCCAAAUUCGGACUCGAACAUGGUCAAAAUUGGAUUCCAAAAGCGAUCAUGAAAAUACGUACUAUAGUUCGAGAACAUGAAUGCGCAUCAAGAAACAUGCACAAAAACACUUGCUAGAAGAGAUACGCUCAUAAGUAAAAGUACAAAAGCAUGCACAAAAGUACUCACGUAAAAGUGCAUUCGCAAAAAGGAUCAUGAAAACACAAACUAUAAUGCUAGGACAUUAAUCCAAAUCAACAAACAUGCAUAACCAUACUGGCUCAAAUGGACAUGCACAAGCGUACAUUUUAAAAAACAUGCGCAAAAGUGCAUUCGCAACAACGUUCUUAAAAACACGAACCACAAUACUAGGACUUUAAUACGCAUCAACAAACAACAACAAAAACACUAGAUUAAUAUGAUACAUUGUAGUGUAGAAAUAAAACUCUACGUUUACGUUUACGUGGUUUUUUUUUCAGAUUAAUUUAUAUUUCUAUAUUAAUUGGUGGAUUUGGUAUCUUAUAGGUACAAAUAGAAGAUUAGGUGUCCAGGAAGCAAAAUGAUCAAAGAGUAAGAGAAGAGUUGCAAUUAGGAAAAUAAAAUCAAAUUAGAAGAGAGAAUCCCCGAACAUCUUUGGUAGUGUCCACGAAGUCAAGCAUAACUUUCUCAUCCAUUCCGAUGGCAUUGGAAAGCUAUUUCAGCUGGCUACAAUUCCUGUCUAAUGGCAAAAUUCCAAAUUCAGACUCGAGCAUGGUCAAAAUUCGAUUCCAAAAGCGAUCAUGAAAAUACGUACUAUAGUUCGAGAACAUGAAUGCGCAUCAAGAAACGUGCACAAAAACACUCGCUAGAAGAGAUACACACGUAAGUAAAAGUACAAAAGCAUGCACAAAAGUACUCACGUAAAAGUGCAUUCGCAAAAAGGAUGAUGAAAACACAAACUACAAUCCUAGGACAUUAAUCCAAAUCAACAAACAUGCAUAACCAUACUGGCUCAAAUGGACAUGCACAAGCGUACAUGUAAAAAAACAUGCGCAAAAGUGCAUUUGCAACAACGUUCUUAAAAACAUGAACUACAAUACUAGGACUGUAAUACGCAUCAACAAGCAACAGCAAAAACACUAGAUAAAAAAGAUACAAUGGAGUGUAGAAAUAAAACUCUACGUUUACGUUUACGUGGAUUUAUUUUGGAUUAAUUUAUAAUUCUCUUUUAAUUGGUGGAUAUUGUAUCAUAUAGGUACAAAUUGAAAAUUCAGUGUCUAGGGAGCAAAAAUGAUCAAUGAUUAAGAAAAGAGUUGGAAUUAGAAAAAUAAAAUCAAAUUAGAAGAGAGAAUCCCUCAAGAUCUUUCGUAGUGUCCACGAAGUCGAGCAUAACUUUCUAAUUCGGAUUCCAAAACAACUGGUUCCGACGACAUUGAAAAGCUAUUUCAGCUAGCUACAAUUUCUAUCUAAUGGCAAAAUUCCAAAUUCAGACUCGAGCAUGGUCAAAAAUGGAUUCCAAAAGCGAUCAUGAAAAUACGUACAAUAGUUCGAGAACAUGAAUGCGCAUCAAGAAACGUGCAUAAAAACACUCGCUAGAAGAGAUACGCACAUAAGUAAAAGUACAAAAGCAUGCACAAAAGUAUUCACGCAAAAGUGGAUUCGCAAAAAGGAUCAUGAACACACAAUCUACAAUCCUAGGACAUUAAUACAAAUCAACAAACAUGCAUAAGCAUACUGGCUCAAAUGGACAUGCACAAACGUACAUCUAUUAAAACAUGCGCAAAAGUGCAUUCGCAACAAGGUUCUUAAAAACACGAACUACAAUACGAGGACUUUAAUACGCAUCAACAAACAACAACAAAAACACUACAUUAAUAAGAUACAUUGUAGUGUAGAAAUAAAACUCUACGUUCACGUUUACGAGGAUUUUUUUUCACAUUAAUUUAUAUUUCUAAAUUAAUUGGUGGAUUUGGUAUCUUAUAUGUACAAAUAGAAGAUUAGGUGUCCAUGAAGCAAAAUGAUCAAAGAGUAAGAGAAGAGUUGCAAUUAGCAAAAUAAAAUCAAAUUAGAAGGGAGAAUCCCCGAACAUCUUUGGUAUUGUCCACGAAGUCGAGCAUAACUUUCUCAUUCGUUCUGGCGGCAUUGGAAAGCUAUUUCUGCUGGCUAGGAUUCCUGUCUAAUGGCAAAAUUCCAAAUUCGGACUCGAACAUGGUCAAAAUUGGAUUCCAAAAGCGAUCAUGAAAAUACGUACUAUAGUUCGAGAACAUGAAUGCGCAUCAAGAAACAUGCACAAAAACACUCGCUAGAAGAGAUACGCACAUAAGUAAAAGUACAAAAGCAUGCACAAAAGUACUCACGUAAAAGUGCAUUCGCAAAAAGGAUCAUGAAAACACAAACUACAAUGCUAGGACAUUAAUCCAAAUCAACAAACAUGCAUAACCAUACUGGCUCAAAUGGACAUGCACAAGCGUACAUUUUAAAAAACAUGCGCAAAAGUGCAUUCGCAACAACGUUCUUAAAAACACGAACCACAAUACUAGGACUUUAAUACGCAUCAACAAACAACAACAAAAACACUAGAUUAAUAAGAUACAUUGUAGUGUAGAAAUAAAACUCUACGUUUACGUUUACGUGGAUUUUUUUUCAGAUUAAUUUAUAUUUCUAUAUUAAUUGGUGGAUUUGGUAUCUUAUAGGUACAAAUAGAAGAUUAGGUGUCCAGGAAGCAAAAUGAUCAAAGAGUAAGAGAAGAGUUGCAAUUAGGAAAAUAAAAUCAAAUUAGAAGAGAGAAUCCCCGAACAUCUUUGGUAGUGUCCACGAAGUCAAGCAUAACUUUCUCAUCCGUUCCGGUGGCAUUGGAAAGCUAUUUCAGCUGGCUACAAUUCCUGUCUAAUGGCAAAAUUCCAAAUCCAGACUCGAGCAUGGUCAAAAUUCGAUUCCAAAAGCGAUCAUGAAAAUACGUACUAUAGUUCGAGAACAUGAAUGCGCAUCAAGAAACGUGCACAAAAACACUCGCUAGAAGAGAUACACACAAAAGUAAAAGUACAAAAGCAUGCACAAAAGUACUCACGUAAAAGUGCAUUCGCAAAAAGGAUGAUGAAAACACAAACUACAAUCCUAGGACAUUAAUCCAAAUCAACAAACAUGCAUAAAUGGACAUGCACAAGCGUACAUAUAAAAAAACAUGCGCAAAAGUGCAUUCGCAACAACGUUCUUAAAAACACGAACUACAAUACUAGGACUGUAAUACGCAUCAACAAGCAACAGCAAAAACACUAGAUAAAAAAGAUACAAUGGAGUGUAGAAAUAAAACUCUACGUUUACGUUUACGUGGAUUUAUUUUGGAUUAAUUUAUAAUUCUCUUUGAAUUGUUGGAUAUUGUAUCAUAUAGGUACAAAUUGAAAAUUCAGUGUCCAGGUAGCAAAAAUGAUCAAUGAUUAAGAAAAGAGUUGCAAUUAGAAAAAUAAAAUCAAAUUAGAAGAGAGAAUCCCUCAAGAUCUUUCGUAGUGUCCACGAAGUCGAGCAUAACUUUCUAAUUCGGAUUCCAAAACAACUGGUUCCGACGACAUUGAAAAGCUAUUUCAGCUAGCUACAAUUUCUAUCUAAUGGCAAAAUUCCAAAUUCGGACUCGAGCAUGGUCAAAAAUGGAUUCCAAAAGCGAUCAUGAAAAUACGUACUACAGUUCCAGAACAUGAAUGCGCAUCAAGAAACGUGCACAAAAACACUCGCUAGAAGAGAUACGCACAUAAGUAAAAGUACAAAAGCAUGCACAAAAGUAUUCACGCAAAAGUGGAUUCGCAAAAAGGAUCAUGAACACACAAUCUACAAUCCUAGGACAUUAAUACAAAUCAACAAACAUGCAUAAGCAUACUGGCUCAAAUGGACAUGCACAAACGUACAUGUACUAAAACAUGCGCAAAAGUGCAUUCGCAACAAGGUUCUUAAAAACACGAACUACAAUACGAGGACUUUAAUAGGCAUCAACAAACAACAACAAAAACACUACAUUAAUAAGAUACAUUGUAGUGUAGAAAUAAAACUCUACGUUCACGUUUACGUGGAUUUUUUUUCAGAUUAAUAUAUAUUUCUAUAUUAAUUGGUGGAUUUGGUAUCUUAUAUGUACAAAUAGAAGAUUAGGUGUCCAUGAAGAAAAAUGAUCAAAGAGCAAGAGAAGAGUUGCAAUUAGGAAAAUAAAAUCAAAUUAGAAGAGAGAAUCCCCGAACAUCUUUGGUACUGUCCACGAAGUCGAGCAUAACUUUCUCAUUCGUUCUGGCGGCAUUGGAAAGCUAUUUCAGCUGGCUACGAUUCCUGUCUAAUGGCAAAAUUCAAAAUUCGGACUCGAACAUGGUCAAAAUUGGAUUCCAAAAGCGAUCAUUAAAAUACGUACUAUAGUUCGAGAACAUGAAUGCGCAUCAAGAAACAUGCACAAAAACACUGGCUAGAAGAGAUACGCUCAUAAGUAAAAGUACAAAAGCAUGCACAAAAGUACUCAGGUAAGAGUGCAUUCGCAAAAAGGAUCAUGAAAACACAAACUACAAUGCUAGGACAUUAAUCCAAAUCAACAAACAUGCAUAACCAUACUGGCUCAAAUGGACAUGCACAAGCGUACAUUUUAAAAAACAUGCGCAAAAGUGCAUUCGCAACAACGUUCUUAAAAACACGAACCACAAUACUAGGACUUUAAUACGCAUCAACAAACAACAACAAAAACACUAGAUUAAUAAGAUACAUUGUAGUGUAGAAAUAAAACUCUACGUUUACGUUUACAUGGAUUUUUUUUCAGAUUAAUUUAUAUUUCUAUAUUAAUUGGUGGAUUUGGUAUCUUAUAGGUACAAAUAGAAGAUUAGGUGUCCUGGAAGCAAAAUGAUCAAAGAGUAAGAGAAGAGUUGCAAUUAGGAAAAUAAAAUCAAAUUAGAAGAGAGAAUCCCCGAACAUCUUUGGUAGUGUCCACGAAGUCAAGCAUAACUUUCUCAUCCGUUCCGGUGGCAUUGGAAAGCUAUUUCAGCUGGCUACAAUUCCUGUCUAAUGGCAAAAUUCCAAAUUCAGACUCGAGCAUGGUCAAAAUUCGAUUCCAAAAGCGAUCAUGAAGAUACGUACUAUAGUUCGAGAACAUGAAUGCGCAUCAAGAAACGUGCACAAAAACACUCGCUAGAAGAGAUACACACGUAAGUAAAAGUACAAAAGCAUGCACAAAAGUACUCACGUAAAAGUGCAUUCGCAAAAAGGAUCAUGAAAACACAAACUACAAUCCUAGGACAUUAAUCCAAAUCAACAAACAUGCAUAACCAUACUGGCUCAAAUGGACAUGCACAAGCGUACAUGUAAAAAAACAUGCGCAAAAGUGCAUUCGCAACAACGUUCUUAAAAACACGAACUUCAAUACUAGGACUGUAAUACGCAUCAACAAGCAACAGCAAAAACACUAGAUAAAAAAGAUACAAUGGAGUGUAGAAAUAAAACUCUACGUUUACGUUUACGUGGAUUUAUUUUGGAUUAAAUUAUAAUUCUCUUUUAAUUGGUGGAUAUUGUAUCAUAUAGGUACAAAUUGAAAAUUCAGUGUCCAGGUAGCAAAAAUGAUCAAUGAUUAAGAAAAGAGUUGCAAUUAGAAAAAUAAAAUCAAAUUAGAAGAGAGAAUCCCUCAAGAUCUUUCGUAGUGUCCACGAAGUCGAGCAUAACUUUCUAAUUCGGAUUCCAAAACAACUGGUUCCGACGACAUUGAAAAGCUAUUUCAGCUAGCUACAAUUUCUAUCUAAUGGCAAAAUUCCAAAUUCGGACUCGAGCAUGGUCAAAAAUGGAUUCCAAAAGCGAUCAUGAAAAUACGUACUACAGUUCGAGAACAUGAAUGCGCAUCAAGAAACGUGCACAAAAACACUCGCUAGAAGAGAUACGCACAUAAGUAAAAGUACAAAAGCAUGCACAAAAGUAUUCACGCAAAAGUGGAUUCGCAAAAAGGAUCAUGAACACACAAUCUACAAUCCUAGGACAUUAAUACAAAUCAACAAACAUGCAUAAGCAUACUGGCUCAAAUGGACAUGCACAAACGUACAUGUACUAAAACAUGCGCAAAAGUGCAUUCGCAACAAGGUUCUUAAAAACACGAACUACAAUACGAGGACUUUAAUAGGCAUCAACAAACAACAACAAAAACACUACAUUAAUAAGAUACAUUGUAGUGUAGAAAUAAAACUCUACGUUCACGUUUACGUGGAUUUUUUUUCAGAUUAAUAUAUAUUUCUAUAUUAAUUGGUGGAUUUGGUAUCUUAUAUGUACAAAUAGAAGAUUAGGUGUCCAUGAAGAAAAAUGAUCAAAGAGCAAGAGAAGAGUUGCAAUUAGGAAAAUAAAAUCAAAUUAGAAGAGAGAAUCCCCGAACAUCUUUGGUACUGUCCACGAAGUCGAGCAUAACUUUCUCAUUCGUUCUGGCGGCAUUGGAAAGCUAUUUCAGCUGGCUACGAUUCCUGUCUAAUGGCAAAAUUCAAAAUUCGGACUCGAACAUGGUCAAAAUUGGAUUCCAAAAGCGAUCAUUAAAAUACGUACUAUAGUUCGAGAACAUGAAUGCGCAUCAAGAAACAUGCACAAAAACACUGGCUAGAGGAGAUACGCUCAUAAGUAAAAGUACAAAAGCAUGCACAAAAGUACUCACGUAAAAGUGCAUUCGCAAAAAGGAUCAUGAAAACACAAACUACAAUGCUAGGACAUUAAUCCAAAUCAACAAACAUGCAUAACCAUACUGGCUCAAAUGGACAUGCACAAGCGUACAUUUUAAAAAACAUGCGCAAAAGUGCAUUCGCAACAACGUUCUUAAAAACACGAACCACAAUACUAGGACUUUAAUACGCAUCAACAAACAACAACAAAAACACUAGAUUAAUAAGAUACAUUGUAGUGUAGAAAUAAAACUCUACGUUUACGGUAGGGGGAUUUUUUUUCUGAUUAAUUUAUAUUUGGAUAUUUAUUGGUGGAUUUGGUAUCUUAUAGGUACAAAUAGAAGAUAAGGUGUCCAGGAAGCAAAAUGAUCAAAGAGUAAGAGAAGAGUUGCAAUUAGGAAAAUAAAAUCAAAUUAGAAGAGAGAAUCCCCGAACAUCUUUGGUAGUGUCCACGAAGUCAAGCAUAACUUUCUCAUCCGUUCCGGUGGCAUUGGAAAGUUAUUUCAGCUGGCUACAAUUCCUGUCUAAUGGCAAAAUUCCAAAUUCAGACUCGAGCAUGGUCAAAAUUCGAUUCCAAAAGCGAUCAUGAAGAUACGUACUAUAGUUCGAGAACAUGAAUGCGCAUCAAGAAACGUGCACAAAAACACUCGCUAGAAGAGAUACACACAUAAGUAAAAGUACAAAAGCAUGCACAAAAGUACUCACGUAAAAGUGCAUUCGCAAAAAGGAUCAUGAAAACACAAACUACAAUCCUAGGACAUUAAUCCAAAUCAACAAACAUGCAUAACCAUACUGGCUCAAAUGGACAUGCACAAGCGUACAUGUAAAAAAACAUGCGCAAAAGUGCAUUCGCAACAACGUUCUUAAAAACACGAACUACAAUACUAGGACUGUAAUACGCAUCAACAAGCAACAGCAAAAACACUAGAUAAAAAAGAUACAAUGGAGUGUAGAAAUAAAACUCUACGUUUACGUUUACGUGGAUUUAUUUUGGAUUAAUUUAUAAUUCUCUUUUAAUUGGUGGAUAUUGUAUCAUAUAGGUACAAAUUGAAAAUUCAGUGUCCAGGUAGCAAAAAUGAUCAAUGAUUAAGAAAAUAGUUGCAAUUAGAAAAAUAAAAUCCAAUUAGAAGAGAGAAUCCCUCAAGAUCUUUCGUAGUGUCCACGAAGUCGAGCAUAACUUUCUAAUUCUGAUUCCAAAACAACUGGUUCCGACGACAUUGAAAAGCUAUUUAAGCUAGCUACAAUUUCUGUCUAAUGGCAAAAUUCCAAAUUCGGACUCGAGCAUGGUCAAAAAUGGAUUCCAAAAGCGAUCAUGAAAAUACGUACUAUAGUUCCAGAACAUGAAUGCGCAUCAAGAAACGUGCACAAAAACACUCGCUAGAAGAGAUACGCACAUAAGUUAAAGUACAAAAGCAUGCACAAUAUUACUCACGCAAAAGUGCAUUCGCAAAAAGGAUCAUGAAAACAAAAACUACAAUCCUAGGACAUUAAUACAAAUCAACAAACAUGCAUAAGCACACUCGUUCAAAUGGACAUGCAGAAACGUACAUGAAAAAAAACAUGUACAAAAGUGCAUUCGCAACAACGUUUUUAAAAACACGGACUACAAUAAUAGGACUGUAAUACGCAGCAACAAACAACACCAAAAACACUAGAUAAAAAUGAUACAGUGGAGUGUAGAAAUAAAACUCUACGUUUACGUUUAUGUUUACGUGGAUUUUUUUUCGGAUUAAUUUAUAUUUGUAUAUUAAUUAAUGGGUUUGGUAUCUUAUAGGUACAAAUCGAAAAUUAGGUGUCCACGAAGCAAAAAUGAUCAAAGAGUAAGAAAAGAGAUGCAAUUAGGAAAAUACAAUCAAAUUAGAAAAGAGAAUCCCCGAAUAUCUUUGGUAGUGUCCACGAAGUUGAGCAUAACUUUCUCAUCCGGACUCGAAAUCAACUGGUUCCGACGGCAUUGGAAAGCUAUUUCAGCUAGCUACAAUUCCUGUAUAAUGGCAAAAUUCCAAAUUCGGACUCGAGCAUGGUCAAAAAUGGAUUCCAAAAGCGAUCAUGAAAAUACGUACUACAGUUCGAGAACAUGAAUGCGCAUCAAGAAACGUGCACAAAAACACUCCCUAGAAGAGAUACGCACAUAAGUAAAAGUACAAAAGCAUGCACAAAAGUAUUCACGCAAAAGUGGAUUCGCAAAAAGGAUCAUGAACACACAAUCUACAAUCCUAGGACAUUAAUACAAAUCAACAAACAUGCAUAAGCAUACUGGCUCAAAUGGACAUGCACAAACGUACAUGUACUAAAACAUGCGCAAAAGUGCAUUCGCAACAAGGUUCUUAAAAACACGAACUACAAUACGAGGACUUUAAUAUGCAUCAACAAACAACAACAAAAACACUACAUUAAUAAGAUACAUUGUAGUGUAGAAAUAAAACUCUACGUUCACGUUUACGUGGAUUUUUUUUCAGAUUAAUUUAUAUUUCUAUAUUAAUUGGUGGAUUUGGUAUCUUAUAUGUACAAAUAGAAGAUUAGGUGUCCAUGAAGAAAAAUGAUCAAAGAGCAAGAGAAGAGUUGCAAUUAGGAAAAUAAAAUCAAAUUAGAAGAGAGAAUCCCCGAACAUCUUUGGUAGUGUCCACGAAGUCGAGCAUAACUUUCUCAUUCGUUCUGGCGGCAUUGGAAAGCUAUUUCAGCUGGCUACAAUUCCUGUCUAAUGGCAAAAUUCCAAAUUCGGACUCGAACAUGGUCAAAAUUGGAUUCCAAAAGCGAUCAUGAAAAUACGUACUAUAGUUCGAGAACAUGAAUGCGCAUCAAGAAACAUGCACAAAAACACUGGCUAGUUGAGAUACGCUCAUAAGUAAAAGUACAAAAGCAUGCACAAAAGUACUCACGUAAAAGUGCAUUCGCAAAAAGGAUCAUGAAAACACAAACUACAAUGCUAGGACAUUAAUCCAAAUCAACAAACAUGCAUAACCAUACUGGCUCAAAUUGACAUGCACAAGCGUACAUUUUAAAAAACAUGCGCAAAAGUGCAUUCGCAACAACAUUCUUAAAACACGAACCACAAUACUAGGACUUUAAUACGCAUCAAAAAACAACAACAAAAACACUAGAUUAAUAAGAUACAUUGUAGUGUAGAAAUAAAACUCUACGUUUACGUUUACGUGGAUUUUUUUUCUGAUUAAUUUAUAUUUCUAUAUUAAUUGGUGGAUUUGGUAUCUUAUAGGUACAAAUAGAAGAUAAGGUGUCCAGGAAGCAAAAUGAUCAAAGAGUAAGAGAAGAGUUGCAAUUAGGAAAAUAAAAUCAAAUUAGAAGAGAGAAUCCCCGAACAUCUUUGGUAGUGUCCACGAAGUCAAGCAUAACUUUCUCAUCCGUUCCGGUGGCAUUGGAAAGUUAUUUCAGCUGGCUACAAUUCCUGUCUAAUGGCAAAAUUCCAAAUUCAGACUUGAGCAUGGUCAAAAUUCGAUUCCAAAAGCGAUCAUGAAGAUACGUACUAUAGUUCGAGAACAUGAAUGCGCAUCAAGAAACGUGCACAAAAACACUCGCUAGAAGAGAUACACACAUAAGUAAAAUUACAAAAGCAUGCACAAAAGUACUCACGUAAAAGUGCAUUCGCAAAAAGGAUCAUGAAAACACAAACUACAAUCCUAGGACAUUAAUCCAAAUCAACAAACAUGCAUAACCAUACUGGCUCAAAUGGACAUGCACAAGCGUACAUGUAAAAAAACAUGCGCAAAAGUGCAUUCGCAACAACGUUCUUAAAAACACGAACUACAAUACUAGGACUGUAAUACGCAUCAACAAGCAACAGCAAAAACACUAGAUAAAAAAGAUACAAUGGAGUGUAGAAAUAAAACUCUACGUUUACGUUUACGUGGAUUUAUUUUGGAUUAAUUUAUAAUUCUCUUUUAAUUGGUGGAUAUUGUAUCAUAUAGGUACAAAUUGAAAAUUCAGUGUCCAGGUAGCAAAAAUGAUCAAUGAUUAAGAAAAGAGUUGCAAUUAGAAAAAUAAAAUCCAAUUAGAAGAGAGAAUCCCUCAAGAUCUUUCGUAGUGUCCACGAAGUCGAGCAUAACUUUCUAAUUCUGAUUCCAAAACAACUGGUUCCGACGACAUUGAAAAGCUAUUUAAGCUAGCUACAAUUUCUGUCUAAUGGCAAAAUUCCAAAUUCGGACUCGAGCAUGGUCAAAAAUGGAUUCCAAAAGCGAUCAUGAAAAUACGUACUAUAGUUCCAGAACAUGAAUGCGCAUCAAGAAACGUGCACAAAAACACUCGCUAGAAGAGAUACGCACAUAAGUUAAAGUACAAAAGCUUGCACAAUAUUACUCACGCAAAAGUGCAUUCGCAAAAAGGAUCAUGAAAACAAAAACUACAAUCCUAGGACAUUAAUACAAAUCAACAAACAUGCAUAAGCACACUCGUUCAAAUGGACAUGCAGAAACGUACAUGAAAAAAAACAUGUACAAAAGUGCAUUCGCAACAACGUUUUUAAAAACACGGACUACAAUAAUAGGACUGUAAUACGCAGCAACAAACAACACCAAAAACACUAGAUAAAAAUGAUACAGUGGAGUGUAGAAAUAAAACUCUACGUUUACGUUUAUGUUUACGUGGAUUUUUUUUCGGAUUAAUUUAUAUUUGUAUAUUAAUUAAUGGGUUUGGUAUCUUAUAGGUACAAAUCGAAAAUUAGGUGUCCACGAAGCAAAAAUGAUCAAAGAGUAAGAAAAGAGAUGCAAUUAGGAAAAUACAAUCAAAUUAGAAAAGAGAAUCCCCGAAUAUCUUUGGUAGUGUCCACGAAGUUGAGCAUAACUUUCUCAUCCGGACUCGAAAUCAACUGGUUUCGACGGCAUUGGAAAGCUAUUUCAGCUAGUUACAAUUCCUGUAUAAUGGCAAAAUUCCAAAUUCGGACUCGAACAUGAUCAAAGUUGGAUUCCAAAAGCGAUCAUUAAAAUACGUACUAUAGUUCGAGAACAUGAAUGCGCAUCAAGAAACGUGCACAAAAACACUCGCUAGAAGAGAUACGCACAUAAGUAAAAGUACAAAAGCAUGCACAAAAGUACUCACGUAAAAGUGCAUUCACAAAAAGGAUCAUGAAAACACAAACUACAAUCCUAGGACAUUAAUCCAAAUCAACAAACAUGCAUAAGCAUACUGGCUCAAAUGGACAUGCACAAGCGUACAUGUAAAAAAACAUGCGCAAAACUGCAUUCGCAACAACGUUCUUAAAAACACGAACUACAAUACUAGGACUUUAAUAUGCAUCAACAAACAAUAGCAAAUACACUAGAUAAAAAAGAUAAAAUGUAGUGUAGAAAUAAAACUCUACGUUUACGUGGAAUUUUUUUGGAUUAAUUUAUAUUUCUGUUUUAAUUGGUGGAUUUUGUAUCAUAUAGGUACAAAUCGAAAAUUAAGUGUCCAGGUAGCAAAAAUGAUCAAUGAUUAAGAAAAAAGUUGCAAUUAGGAAAAUAAAAUCAAAUUAGAAGAGAGAAUCCCUCAACAUCUUUGGUAGUGUCCACGAAGUCGUGCAUAACAUUCUAAUUCGGACUCCAAAACAACUGGUUCUUGCGACAUUGGAAAGCUAUUUCAGCUGGCUACAAUUUCUGUCUAAUGGCAAAAUUCCAAAUUCAGACUCGAUCAUGGUCAAAAUUGGAUUCCAAAAGCAAUCAUGAAAAUACGUACUAUAGUUCGAGAACAUGAAUGCGUAUCAAGAAACGUGCACAAAAACACGCUAGAAGAGAUACGCACAUAAGUAAAAGUACAAAAGCAUGCACAAUAGUACUCACGCAAAAGUGCAUUCGCAAAAAGGAUCAUGAAAACACAAACUACAAUCCUAGGACAUUAAUACAAAUCAACAAACAUGCAUAAGCACACUCGCUCAAAUUGACAUGCACAAACUUACAUGUAAAAAAACAUGUACAAAAGUGCAUUCGCAACAACGUUUUUUAAAACACGGACUACAAUACUAGGACUUUAAUACGCAUCAACAAACAACAGCAAAAACACUAGAUAAAAAAGAUACAGUGGAGUGUAGAAAUAAAACUCUACGUUUACGUGGAUUUUUUUUUGGAUUAAUUUAUAUUUCUAUAUUAAUUGGUGGAUUUUGUAUCUUAUAGGUACAAAUCGAAAAUUAGGUGUCCAGGAAGCAAAAAUGAUCAAAGAGUAAGAAAAGAGUUGCAAUUAGGAAAAUAAAAUCAAAUUAGAAGAGAGAAUCCCCGAACAUCUUUGGUAGUGUCCACGAAGUCGAGCAUAACUUUCUCAUCCGGACUCAAAAUCAACUGGUUCCGCCGGCAUUGGAAAGCUAUUUCAGCUAGCCACAAUUCCUGUCUAAUGGCAAAAUUCCAAAUUCGGACUCGAACAUGGUCAAAAAUGGAUUCCAAAACCGAUCAUGAAAAUACGUACUAUAGUUCGAGAACAUGAAUGCGCAUCAAGAAACGUGCACAAAAACACUCGCUAGAAGAGAUACGCACAUAAGUAAAAGUACAAAAGCAUGCACAAAAGUACUCACGUAAAAGUGCAUUCGCAAAAAGGAUCAUGAAAACACAAGCUACAAUCCUAGGACAUUAAUCCAAAUCAACAAACAUGCAUAAGCAUACUGGCUCAAAUGGACAUGCACAAGCGUACAUGUAAAAAACAUGAGCAAAACUGCAUUCGCAACAACGUUCUUAAAAACACGAACUACAAUACUAGGACUUUAAUACGCAUCAACAAACAAUAGCAAAUACACUAGAUAAAAAAGAUACAAUGGAGUGUAGAAAUAAAACUCUACGUUUACGUUUACGUGGAUUUUUUUUGGAUUAAUUUAUAUUUCUGUUUUAAUUGGUGGAUUUUGUAUCAUAUAGGUACAAAUCGGAAAUUAAGUGUCCAGGUAGCAAAAAUGAUCAAUGAUUAAGAAAAGAGUUGCUAUUAGGAAAAUAAAAUCAAAUUAGAAGAGAGAAUCCCUCAACAUCUUUGGUAGUGUCCACGAAGUCGUGCAUAACUUUCUAAUUCGGACUCCAAAACAACUGGUUCUUGCGACAUUGGAAAGCUAUUUCAGCUGGCUACAAUUUCAGUCUAAUGGCAAAAUUCCAAAUUCGGACUCGAUUAUGGUCUAAAUUGGAUUCCAAAAGCGAUAAUGAAAAUACGUACUAUAGUUCGAGAACAUGAAUGCGUAUCAAGAAACGUGCACAAAAACACUCGCUAGAAGAGAUACGCACAUAAGUAAAAGUACAAAAGCAUGCACAAUAGUACUCACGCAAAAGUGCAUUCGCAAAAAGGAUCAUGAAAACACAAACUACAAUCCUAGGACAUUAAUACAAAUCAACAAACAUGCAUAAGCACACUCGCUCAAAUUGAAAUGCACAAACUUACAUGUAAAAAAACAUGUACAAAAGUGCAUUCGCAACAACGUUUUUUAAAACACGGACUACAAUACUAGGACUUUAAUACGCAUCAACAAACAACAGCAAAAACACUAGAUAAAAAAGAUACAGUGGAGUGUAGAAAUAAAACUCUACGUUUACGUGGAUUUUUUUUGGAUUAAUUUAUAUUUCUGUUUUAAUUGGUGGAUUUUGUAUCAUAUAGGUACAAAUCGGAAAUUAGGUGUCCAGGAAGUAAAAAUGAUCAAAGAGUAAGAAAAGAGUUGCAAUUAGGAAAAUAAAAUCAAAUUAGGAGAGAGAAUCCCCGAACAUCUUUGGUAGUGUCCACGAAGUCGAGCAUAACUUUCUCAUCCGGACUCGAAAUCAACUAGUUCCGGCGGCAUUGGAAAGCUAUUUCAGCUAGCUACAAUUCCUGUCUUAUGGCAAAAUUCCAAAUUCGGACUCGAACAUGGUCAAAAUUGGAUUCCAAAAGCGAUCAUGAAAAUACGUACUAUAGUUCGAGAACAUGAAUGCGCAUCAAGAAACGUGCACAAAAACACUCUCUAGAAGAGAUACGCACAUAAGUAAAAGUUUAAAAGCAUGCACAAAAGUACUCACGUAAAAGUACAUUCGCAAAAAGGAUCAUGAAAACACAAACUACAAUCCUAGGACAUUAAUCCAAAUCAACAAACAUGCAUAAGCAUACUGGCUCAAAUGGACAUGCACAAGCGUACAUGUAAAAAAACGUGCGCAAAAGUGCAUUCGCAACAACGUCAUUCAAAACACGAACUACAAUACUAGGACUUUAAUACGCAUCAACAAACAACAGCAAAAACACUAGAUAAAGAAGAUACAAUGGAGUGGAGAAAUAAAACUCUACGUUUACGUUUACGUGGAUUUUUUUUGGAUUAAUUUAUAUUUGUGUUUUAUUUGGUGGAUUUUAUAUUUGUACAAAUCAAAAAGUAAGUGUCCAAGUAGAAGAAAUGAUCAAUGAUUANNNNNNNNNNNNNNNNNNNNNNNNNNNNNNNNNNNNNNNNNNNNNNNNNNNNNNNNNNNNNNNNNNNNNNNNNNNNNNNNNNNNNNNNNNNNNNNNNNNNUUAGAAGAGAGAAUCCCUCAACAUCUUUGGUAGUGUCCACGAAGUCGAGCAUAACUUUCUAAUUCGGACUCCAAAACAACUAGUUCAUGCGACAUUGGAAAGCUAUUUCAGCUGGUACAAUUUCUGUGUAAUGGAAAAAUUCCAAAUUCGGACUCGAUCAUGGUCAAAAUUGGAUUCCAAAAGCGAUCAUGAAAAUACGUACUAUAGUUCGAGAACAUGAAUGCGCAUCAAGAAACGUGCACAAAAACACUCGCUAAAAGAGAUACGCACAUAAGUAAAAGUAUAAAAGCAUGCACAAAAGUACUCACGUAAAAGUACAUUCGCAAAAAGGAUCAUGAAAACACAAACUACAAUCCUAGGACAUUAAUCCAAAUCAACAAACAUGCAUAAGCAUACUGGCUCAAAUGGACAUGCACAAGCGUACAUGUAAAAAAACAUGCGCAAAAGUGCAUUCGUAACAACGUCAUUAAAAACACGAACUACAAUACUAGGACUUUAAUACGCAUCAACAAACAACAGCAAAAACACUAGAUAAAGAAGAUACAAUGGAGUGGAGAAAUAAAACUCUACGUUUACGUUUACGUGGAUUUUUUUUGGAUUAAUUUAUAUUUCUGUUUUAAUUGGUGGAUUUUGUAUCAUAUAGGUACAAAUCAAAAAGUAAGUGUCCGGGUAGAAAAAAUGAUCAAUGAUUAAGAAAAGAGUUGCAAUUAGGAACAUAAAAUCAAAUUAGAAGAGAGAAUCCCUCAACAUCUUUGGUAGUGUCCACGAAGUCGAGCAUAACUUUCUAAUUCGGACUCCAAAACAACUAGUUCAUGCGACAUUGGAAAGCUAUUUCAGCUGGCUACAAUUUCUGUGUAAUGGAAAAAUUCCAAAUUCGGACUCGAUCAUGGUCAAAAUUGGAUUCCAAAAGCGAUCAUGAAAAUACGUACUAUAGUUCGAGAACAUGAAUGCGCAUCAAGAAACGUGCACAAAAACACUCGCUAGAAGCGAUACGCACAUAAGUAAAAGUACAAAAGCAUGCCCAAUAGUACUCACGCAAAAGUGCAUUCGCAAAAAGGAUCAUGAAAACACAAACUACAAUCCUAGGACAUUAAUCCAAAUCAACAUACAUGCAUAAGCACACUCGCUCAAAUGGACAUGCACAAACGUACAUGUAGAAAAACAUGCGCAAAAGUGCAUUCGCAACAACGUUAUUAAAAACUCGAACUACAAUACUAGGACUUUAAUACGCAUCAACAAACAACAGAAAAAACACUAGAUAAAAAAGAUACAGUGGAGUGUAGAAAUAAAACUCUACGUUUACGUGGAUUUUUUUCGGAUUAAUUUAUAUUUCUAUAUUAAUUGGUGGAUUUGGUAUCUUAUAGGUACAAAUCAAAAAUUAGGUGUCCAGGAAGCAAAAAUGAUCAAAGAGUAAGAAAAGAGUUGCAAUUAGGAAAAUAAAAUCAAAUUAGAAGAGAGAAUCCCCGAACAUCUUUGGUAGUGUCCACGAAGUCGAGCAUAACUUUCUCAUCCGGACUCGAAAUCAACUGGUUCCGACGGCAUUGGAAAGCUAUUUCAGCUAGUUACAAUUCCUGUAUAAUGGCAAAAUUCCAAAUUCAGACUCGAACAUGAUCAAAGUUGGAUUCCAAAAGCGAUCAUGAAAAUACCUACUAUAGUUCGAGAACAUGAAUGCGCAUCAAGAAACGUGCACAAAAACACUCGCUAGAAGAGAUACGCACAUAAGUAAAAGUACAAAAGCAUGCACAAAAGUACUCACGUAAAAGUGCAUUCGCAAAAAGGAUCAUGAAAACACAAACUACAAUCCUAGGACAUUAAUCCAAAUCAACAAACAUGCAUAAGCAUACUGGCUCAAAUGGACAUGCACAAGCGUACAUGUAAAAAAACAUGCGCAAAACAACAUUCGCAACAACGUUCUUAAAAACACGAACUACAAUACUAGGACUUUAAUACGCAUCAACAAACAACAGCAAAAACACUAGAUAAAAAAGAUACAAUGGAGUGUAGAAAUAAAACUCUACGUUUACGUUUACGUGGAUUUUUUUUGGAUUAAUUUAUAUUUGUGUUUUAAUUGGUGGAUUUUGUAUCAUAUAGGUACAAAUCAAAAAUUAAGUGUCCAGGUAGCAAAAAUGAUCAAUGAUUAAGAAAAGAGUUGCAAUUAGGAAAAUAAAAUCAAAUUAGAAAAGAGAAUCCCUCAACAUCUUUGGUAGUGUCCACGAAGUCGAGCAUAACUUUCUAAUUCGGACUCCAAAACAACUAGUUCAUGCGACAUUGGAAAGCUAUUUCAGCUGGCUACAAUUUCUGUCUAAUGGAAAAAUUCCUAAUUCGGACUCGAGCAUCGUCAAAAUUGGAUUACAAAAGCGAUCAUGAAAAUACGUACUAUCGUUCGAGAACAUGAAUGCGCAUCAAGAAACGUGCACAAAAACACUCGCUAGAAGCGAUACGCACAUAAGUAAAAGUAAAAAAGCAUGCCCAAUAGUACUCACGCAAAAGUGCAUUCGCAAAAAGGAUCAUGAAAACACAAACUACAAUCCUAGGACAUUAAUCCAAAUCAACAUACAUGCAUAAGCACACUCGCUCAAAUGGACAAGCACAAACGUACAUGUAGAAAAGCAUGCGCAAAAGUGCAUUCGCAACAACGUUAUUAAAAACACGAACUAUAAUACUAGGAGUUUAAUACGCAUCAACAAACAACAGAAAAAACACUAGAUAAAAAAGAUACAGUGGAGUGUAGAAAUAAAACUCUACGUUUACGUGGAUUUUUUUCGGAUUAAUUUAUAUUUCUAUAUUAAUUGAUGGAUUUGGUAUCUUAUAGGUACAAAUCGAAAAUUAGGUGUCCAGGAAGCAAAAAUGAUCAAAGAGUAAGAAAAGAGUUGCAAUUAGGAAAAUAAAAUCAAAUUAGAAGAGAGAAUCCCCGAACAUCUUUGGUAGUGUCCACAAAGUCGAGCAUAACUUUCUCAUCCGGACUCGAAAUCAACUGGUUCCGACGACAUUGGAAGGUUAUUUCAGCUAGUUACAAUUCCUGUAUAAUGGCAAAAUUCCAAAUUCGGACUCGAACAUGAUCAAAGUUGGAUUCCAAAAGCGAUCAUGAAAAUACGUACUAUAGUUCGAGAACAUGAAUGCGCAUCAAGAAACGUGCACAAAAACACUCGCUAGAAGAGAUACGCACAUAAGUAAAAGUACAAAAUCAUGCACAAAAGUACUCACGUAAAAGUGCAUUCGCAAAAAGGAUCAUGAAAACACAAACUACAAUCCUAGGACAUUAAUCCAAAUCAACAAACAUACAUCAGUCUGUACAUUAUAGGACAUGCACAAGCGUACAUGUAAAAAAACAUGCGCAAAAAUGCAUUCGCAACAACGUUCUUAAAAACACGAACUACAAUACUAGGACUGUAAUACGCAUCAACAAGCAACAGCAAAAACACUAGAUAAAAAAGAUACAAUGGAGUGUAGAAAUAAAACUCUACGUUUACGUUUACGUGGAUUUAUUUUGGAUUAAAUUAUAAUUCUCUUUUAAUUGGGGGAUAUGGUAUCAUAUAGGUCACAUUGUGAAAAUUCAGGGCCCGGGUGGCAAACAUGAUCAUUGAUUAAAAAAAGAGUUGCAAUUAGAAAAAUAAAAUCAAAUUAGAAGAGAGAAUCCCUCAAGAUCUUUCGUAGUGUCCACGAAGUCGAGCAUAACUUUGUAAUUCGGAUUCCAAGAACAACUGGUUCCGACGACAUUGAAAAGCUAUUUCAGCUAGCUACAAUUUCUGUCUAAUGGCAAAAUUCCAAAUUCGGACUCGAGCAUGGUCCAAAAUGGAUUCCAAAAGCGAUCAUGAAAAUACGUACUAUAGUUCGAGAACAUGAAUGCGCAUCAAGAAACGUGCACGAAAAAACUCGCUAGAAGAGAUACGCACAUAAGUUAAAGUACAAAAGCAUGCACGAUAUUACUCACGCAAAAGUGCAUUCGCAAAAAGGAUCAUGAGAACACAAACUACAAUCCUAGGACAUUCAUACCAAAUCAACAAACAUGCAUAAAGCACACUCGUUCAAAUGGACAUGCACAAACGUACAUGAAAAAAAACAUGUACCAAAGUGCAUACGCAACAACGUUUUUAAAAACACGGACUACAAUAAAAGGACUAUAAUACGCAGCAACAAACAACAGCAAAAACACUAGAUUACAAUGAUACAGUGGAGUGUAGAAAUAAAACUCUACGUUUACGNNNNNNNNNNNNNNNNNNNNNNNNNNNNNNNNNNNNNNNNNNNNNNNNNNNNNNNNNNNNNNNNNNNNNNNNNNNNNNNNNNNNNNNNNNNNNNNNNNNNNNNNNNNNNNNNNNNNNNNNNNNNNNNNNNNNNNNNNNNNNNNNNNNNNNNNNNNNNNNNNNNNNNNNNNNNNNNNNNNNNNNNNNNNNNNNNNNCGAAGUCGAGCAUAACUUUCUAAUUCGGACUCGAAAUCAACUGGGUUCCGACGGCAUUGGAAAGCUAUUUCAGCUAGCUACAAUUUCUGUCUAAUGGAAAAAUUCCAAAUUCGGACUCGAGCAUGAUCAAAGUUGGAUUCCAAAAGCGAUCAUGAAAAUACGUACUAUAGUUCGAGAACAUGAAUGCGCAUCAAGAAACGUGCACAAAAACACUCGCUAGAAGAGAUACGCACAUAAGUAAAAGUACAAAAGCAUGCACAAAAGUACUCACGUAAAAGUGCAUUCGCAAAAAGUAUCAUGAAAACACAAACUACAACUAGGACAUUAAUCCAAAUCAACAAACAUGCAUAAGCAUACUGGCUCAAAUGGACAUGCACAAGCGUACAUGUAAAAAAAACAUGCGCAAAACUGCAUUCGCAACAACGUUCUUAAAAACACGAACUACAAUACUAGGACUUUAAUACGCAUCAACAAACAAUAGCAAAUACACUAGAUAAAAAAGAUACAAUGGAGUGUAGAAAUAAAACUCUACGUUUACGUUUACGUGGAUUUUUUUUGGAUUAAUUUAUAUUUGUGUUUUAAUUGGUGGAAUUUGUAUCAUAUAGGUACAAAUCGAAAAAUUAAGUGUCCAGGUAGCAAAAUUGAUCAAUGAUUAAGAAAAGAGUUGCAAUUAGGAAAAUAAAAUCAAAUUAGAAGAGAGAAUCCCUCAACAUCUUUGGUAGUGUCCACGAAGUCGAGCAUAACUUUCUAAUUCGGACUCCAAAACAACUAGUUCUUGCGACAUUGGAAAGCUAUUUCUACUGGCUACAAUAUCUGUCUAAUGGCCAAAUUCCUAAUUCGGACUCGAGCAUCGUCAAAAUUGGAUUACAAAAGCGAUCAUGAAAAUACGUACUAUAGUUCGAGAACAUGAAUGCGAAUCAAGAAACGUGCACAAAAACACUCGCUAAAAGCGAUACACACAUAAGUAAAAGUACAAAAGCAUGCCCAAUAGUACUCACGCAAAAGUGCAUUCGCAAAAAGGAUCAUGAAAACACAAACUACAAUCCUAGGACAUUAAUACAAAUCAACAAACAUGCAUAAGCACACUCGCUCAAAUGGACAUGCACAAACGUACAUGUAGAAAAACAUGUGCAAAAGUGCAUUCGCAACAACGUUUUUAAAAACACGAACUACAAUACUAGGACUUUAAUACGCAUCAACAAACAACAACAAAAACACUAGAUAAAAAAGAUACAGUGGAGUGUAGAAAUAAAACUCUACGUUAACAUGGAUUUUUUUUUCUGAUUAAUUUAUAUUUCUAUAUUAAUUGGUGGAUUUGGUAUCUUAUAGGUACAAAUCAAAAAUUAGGUGUCCAGGAAGCAAAAAUGAUCAAAGAGUAAGAAAAGAGUUGCAAGUAGGAAAAUCAAAUAAAAUUAGAAGAGAGAAUCCCCGAACAUCUUUGGUAGUGUCCACGAAGUCGAGCAUAACUUUCUCAUCCGAAGUCGAAAUCAACUGGUUCCGGCGGCAUUGGAAAGCUAUUUCAGCUAGCUACAAUUCCUGUCUAGUGGCAAAAUUCCAAAUUCGGACUCGAACAUGGUCAAAAUUGGAUUCCAAAAGCGAUCAUGAAAAUAAGUACUAUAGUUCGAGAACAUGAAUGCGCAUCAAGAAACGUGCACAAAAACACUCGCUAGAAGAGAUACGCACAUAAGUAAAAGUACAAAAGCAUGCACAAAAGUAUUCACGUAAAAGUGCAUUCGCAAAGAGGAUCAUGAAAACACAAACUACAAUCCUAGGACUUUAAUCCAAGUCAACAAACAUGCAUAAGCAUACUGGCUCAAAUGGACAUGCACAAGCGUACAUGUAAAAAACAUGCGCAAAAGUGCAUUCGCAACAACGUUCUUAAAAACACGAACUACAAUACUAGGACUUUAAUACGCAUCAAUAAUCAACAGCAAAAACACUAGAUAAAAAAGAUACAAUGGAGUGUAGAAAUAAAACUAAACGUUUACGUUUACGUGGAUUUUUUUUGGAUUAAUUUAUAUUUGUGUCUUAAUUGGUGGAUUUUGUAUCAUAUAGGUACAAAUCGAAAAUUAAGUGUCCAGGUAGCAAAAAUGAUCAAAGAUUAAGAAAAGAGUUGCAAUUAGGAAAAUAAAAUCAAAUUUGAAGAGAGAAUCCCUCAACAUCUUUCGUAGUGUCCACGAAGUCGAGCAUAACUUUCAAAUUCGGACUCCAAAACAACUAGUUCUUGCGACAUUGGAAAGCUAUUUCAGCUGGCUACAAUUUCUGUCUAAUGGCAAAAUUCCAAAUUCGGACUCGAGCAUGGUCAAAAUUGGAUUCCAAAACCGAUCAUGAAAAUACGUAGUAUAGUUCGAGAACAUGAAUGCGCAUCAAGAAACAUGCACAAAAACACUCGCGAGAAGCGAUACGUACAUAAGUAAAAGUACAAAAGCAUGCCCAAUAGUACUCACGCAAAAGUGCAUUCGCAAAAAGGAUCAUGAAAACACAAACUACAAUCCUAGGACAUUAAUACCAAUCAACAAACAUGCAUAAGCACACUCGCUCGAAUGGAUAUGCACAAACGUACAUGUAAAAAAACAUGCGCAAAAGUGCAUUCGCAACAAUGUUUUGAAAAACACAAACUACAAUACUAGGACUUUAAUACGCAUCAACAAACAACAGCAAAAACACUAGAUAAAAAAGAUACAGUGGAGUGUAGAAAUAAAACUCUACGUUUACGUGGAUUUUUUUUCGGAUUAAUUUAUAUUUCUAUAUUAAUUAAUGGAUUUGGUAUCUUAUAGGUACAAAUAGAAAAUUAGGUGUCCUGGAAGCAAAAAUGAUCAAAGAGUAAGAAAAGAGUUGCAAUUAGGAAAAUAAAAUCAUGUUAGAAGACAGAAUCCCCGAACAUCUUUGGUAGUGUCCACGAAGUCGAGCAUAACUUUCUCAUCCGGACUCUAUAUCAAUUGGUUCAGCGGCAUUGGAAAGCUAUUUCAGGUUGCUACAGUUCCUCUCUAAUGGUAAAAUUCCAAAUUUGGACUCGAACAUGGUCAAAAUUGGAUUAAAAAAGCGAUCAUGAAAAUACGUACUAUAGUUCGAGAACAUGAAUGUGCAUCAAGAAACGUGCACAAAAACACUCGCUAGAAGAGUUACGCGGAUAAGUAAAAGUACAAAAGCAUGCACAAAAGUACUCAAACAAAAGUGCAUUCGCAAAAAGGAUCAUGAAAACACAAACUACAAUCUUAGGACAUUAAUACAAAUCAACAAACAUGCAUAAGCACACUCGCUCAAAUGGACAUGCAACAUACAUGUGCAAACGUGCAUUCGGAAAACGUUCUUAAAAACACGAACUACAAUACUAGGACUUUAAUUGUAAUGCCCAACCAUCCAUACAUGGCCAAUAAUAAGCAUAUUGCAUCAAUGCAUAUAGUUAUAAUUCAUCAUUCAUUAUGCAUGAUCACGAUUGCUUGUUACACAUGUGCCUUUAUUGUGUUUUAAUAUGUGAUCGAAUAGUUUUCUUAAAAUGUGCUAAUACAUGAUACAUGUUAUUGAACUUCUACUUUAUGAUUUAACAUGAAACUUAAGUGAUUUAUUGUAAUGAGAAGCUCAGUUUCUCGGUUAAGAAGGGAUCAAUGUGUUAAACGCUGAUAUAUUUGUCUUAAUUGUAGUUUUGCAUUAUAAUUACAUUUUGAUAUGAUUAAUUACAUAUGUAAUUACUUGAAGUAACUCAUAUUAGACUAAAACCAAAAGUAUGCAAAAGGGUGCAAUUUGAUUGGUUGGUUGACUAGGUUGCACAAGACCAUUCUGAUUUUGUUUACACUUGAUUAUAAUGAGUAAACAUCAGCCCACCAUCUCAUCUCAAGCUGUAAAAACGUGGAAUAACUACAAGAAUCCAGCAAAUAUAAGCGUUCCAAUCAUCAUCCUCCAUUUGGCCUUGUUGGGAAUGGGUAGAUAAGUGAAGAUUUGGUGUUUUGGUCUUCAUUUUCACUUGUCUUCUUCCAAAAACGACCAGACCAAUUCCUUAAGCUUCUCUUCUUAUUUAUUCACUUCCAUAUUCACAUAAGAAAACAUCAAACCAUAAAAACUCAUAGAAGUAUAGCUAGGACAAGUUUUGCAACUUUUCUAGCUGAAAAUCCUAUGUUUUGAAGUUUGAAUUCAUCUCUAAUCAAGUCUUGUAGCACACCUUAUCUAAGAACUGAUCCUUUCACUUCAUAGACCAUAUUGAACUUGAGGUAAGUUGAAGCUUUCAUUUUCUCAUCAUAAGAACCUAAUUAUGUGUGCUUUAAUGUGACUUUUGCUACGUGUUCUCCAUGAUGUUUGUAUGAUUGAUGAGUCAUAGUGAUAUGAAAGAAUAUGUUUUGAAAAUGGGAGUAUGGUACUUGAUUGAUGGUCGAGUAGGCAAGGGACGCGGGAGGAACCGGCGGACCCAACACAUGGUGGCAAAUACCUGAGGUCGAAGACCAGUAUGGAAAACCCACAAUUAAAGAAAUGAAAUACGGCUAAUACCUGAGGUCGAAAGGCCGGUAUGGAAACCCCCGUAUUAUCUAUUGGCCAAAUGUGAUGAACAGGUUCCGAAAAUCACAGUCUAUUGCUAUCAAUCAAGUACCACACUUCAAGGGUACCCGAUAAAGAGAAGGAUUUCAAAGAAAAGGAUCAUGAAUGAAGUUAUAUGUGAUAUUGCACUUAUUGAAUGAAUAAUGUGUUAUGUGAUAUAUCGCUAUUACAUCAGUUCCAACUUGCUGAGCCAUUAGCUCAUUAGGUUCUUAUGAUGCAGAUAAUGAUGUACAUGUUUAGAAGUUGACCUAGCCAAGAGCGGUCAGUCAGAGAUUUGUUCAUAUGCCAUGCUUCGAGCCAUUUUUGUAGCCGAGCUAGAAACUCUUAUUUCAUUUUGAUAGCCGCUCUAUUAUGGUUUUUGUACAAUGUAAUUUUAUAAACAAUAAAUAUUUAUUUAUAUGUACAGAUUUCGAGAAAGUACAAAGCUUGAUUUCUUUUCAAAGCAUAUAACGUAUUUUUGUAUUAAAACCAUAAUGUUUAAGUAUAUAUAAAAGGUUAGCAUCCCUAACUUAAUGGUGGUGAUCCAAUUGGAUUCUGCUGUUAGGUUGUGGGGCGUUACAUUUUGUGGUAUCAGAGCGGAGGUAUAAAAUCUUUUCGGAAGACAGAAGAGGGCAUAUGAACAUACUUUGGCUGCGAAGCUUGGUUAACUCUCUUCUUAUUUACCUAUGUGUUUGAUUAUAUUAACAUAUGUAUGCCAUUGUCAUGAUUGUGCAUUAGUAUUGGCUAAUGAAUGGGAUGAGAUUCGGCAAUUUAUAGGAAGUAAUGGCACCGAAAAGGAAGACAGGGAAUGUUGGCCACGAGGGUGACUACAACUUAGUUGAUAAUUUAGCUGGUUUGAUUCAGCAACAGACUAGAAUGCAUGGCGAACAGAUACAGAAAUUGUUCGAUAUGCAACAGCGAACCCAUGAACAAAACCAACAACCUCCUCCUCCACAAGCUAGACACGAUAACUCACUUACCGUGUAUGAGAAGUUUUAUAAAAUGGAACCGGUUGAUUUCUAUGGUGGGUCUGAUCCUAUGGUUGCAGAAGAAUGGGUUAAAUCUCUAGAUGUCAUCUUUGACUACAUGUGUAUUGAAGAUUCCGAGAAAGUACUUUGUGCCAUUUUCCUAUUGAAGAAAGAAGCUGUUCGGUGGGAGGGUACAAAACUUGCAUUGGAUAUGGAGAAGUUGACAUGGGAGGCAUUCAAAACAAUCUUUUAUGACAAGUAUUUCACGAGGGAUGUCCGGUCACUCAAAGUUAAAGAGUUCUUAGAAUUGAAGCAGAAUGAAAUGUCCGUAUGUGACUACGUGCGAAAAUUCGUGGAGGGUUGCAAGUAUGUACCUUACAUAGCUAAAGAUAACAAAGAAAAGAUGGAUCACUUCAUGAGAGGCCUCAACCUAGUUAUUAGAAAAGAUGUAAGGAUCUCUUCUCCAAACGAGUUUCGACAAGGGGUGGACAACGCAUUGAUAGCUGACUUUGAUGAGAAGGAAAUUCAGAAAUUUCAUCAACAGAAGAGGCAAACUUUUACUCCAAGAACUCAAUCUCAAUGGAAGAAACCAGAGCAAAAAUCCGGCCAAGUAAAUGACAAGCGCCCUAGAGUUGUACAAAGUUCUACUACAGUUGAAAAGCCCAAGUGUGCCACAUGUGGGAAGAAUAAUUUUGGUGAAUGCUAUAGCGGUUUAAAUCGUCGCUUCAAGUGUAAGAAACCAGGGCAUAUUGCAAGGAAUUGUCGCACCCCACCAGUCAAAGUCCAAGCGAGAGUGUAUGCAAUGACUAAAGAACAAGCUGAUGCAGAUGCAUCAGUUGUCUCGGGUACUAUUUUGAUUUUAGGAACUCCAGCACUUGCAUUAAUAGACUCAGGAUCUACUCAUUCAUUUGCAUCACAUUCAUUGGUGAGGAGAUUGGGCAUUAUACCAGAUACGUUGGAUGUGAUGUACAAUGUGACGACUCCAUCAGGGAAAGAGAUGAAUUCCAACCAAAUGUUGAAACAUUGUUCUAUUCAGAUUAGUGGUAGAACACUUUGUGCAGAUCUUGUUGUUUUACCUCUCGCAAAUUAUGAGACUAUUUUGGGCAUGCAUUGGCUUAUAAAAUAUUAUGCAACCAUUAAUUGUAAUCGGAAGGUUGUCAUCUUCCAGCCACCUGGUGAAGAACAUUUCGAGUUCGGCGGUCAUUCACUUUCAUCUUCAAUACCAUUUAGAGCUGUAUUGAAGGCUCAAAAGAUGAUGAGUAAGGGUUGUGUUGGAUACUUGGCUAAUGUUAUGGACACUUCAGUAGGAACACAAUUGAAACCCCAAGAUGUGGAUGUGGUUGAUCAAUUUCUUGAGGUAUUUUCAGUUGACUUACCAGGACUGCCACCGGAUCGAGAAAUUGAAUUUUUUAUUGAUUGUGUUCAUUGAUGAUAUCUUGAUCUAUUCCCAUGAUAAAGACGAACAUAGAGAACAUUUGACAGUGGUGUUGCAAAUAUUGAAAGAAAGGCAACUAUAUGCUAAAUUUAAGAAGUGCGAGUUUUGGCUUGAUCAAGUUGUAUUCCAAGGGCAUGUCGUGUCCAAGAAUGGUAUCUCUGUCGACCCGAGUAAGAUAGAAGCUAUCAAAAAUUGGCCAACACCAACAACUGUAUCAGAGGUUCGAAGUUUCUUAGGAUUGGCAGGAUAUUAUCGAAGGUUUGUUCAGGGAUUUUCCAAGAUAGCAACUCCAUUAACAACGUUUACACGGAAGAACUUGAAGUAUGUAUGGACUGAUGCAUGUGAAAGUAGCUUUCAAGAGUUGAAACUGAGAUUGACUACAACUCCUGUUCUCGUCAUUCCUUCUGGAACUGGUGGAUUCGUAGUGUAUAGUGAUGCUUCAAAAAAUGGAUUGGGUGCUGUAUUGAUGCAACAUGGGAAUGCUAUCGCCUAUGCUUAAAGACAAUUGAAGGAGUAUGAGAAGAAUUACCCAACUCAUGAUUUAGAGCUUGCUGCCGUUGUGUUUGCCUUGAAAAUUUGGAGGCAUUACCUAUAUGGUGAGAAAUGUGAAAUUUACACGGAUCACAAGAGCUUGAAGUACUUCUUCACUCAGAAAGAAUUGAAUAUGAGACAACGAAGAUGGUUAGAACUUGUGAAGGAUUAUGACUGUGUGAUUAACUAUCAUCCUGGUAAAGCUAAUGUGGUUGCAGAUGCAUUGAGUAGAAAAUCUAUGUCUUCCUUCCUUGUUAUACAGAAACCAAUACUACUAGAUUUACAAAGAUUAGAGCUUGAAAUUGUACCUAAAGGGACGGUUAGCUCUUUAUCAUCUUUAGUAUUAAAACCCGUACUUCAUGACCGAAUCAAAGAGGCUCAGAAAGUGGAUAAGUAUUUGUCCAGGUUGCGAAGUAUGAUUGAUGCUAAGAAGAGGCCGAACUUCUCUAUUGGUCAUGAUGAAAUGAUUCGUUAUAAAGGCAUAUUGUGUGUUCCUUUUGAUGCUAACAUAAAGGGCGACAUUUUGGAAGAAGCUCACAGAAGUGUUUACUCAGUGCACCCGGGCAGCACGAAAAUGUACAAAAAGACUUACAACUUCACUAUUGGUGGCCUAACAUGAAGAGAGAUAUAGCAAAGUUUGUGGCUGAAUGCUUCACUUGUCAACAAGUCAAAAUGGAACAUCAAAGACAAGCAGGAGUAUUGAAACCUUUACUGAUUCAAGAGUGGAAAUGGGAGCAUAUUACAAUGGAUUUUGUGCUUGGAAUGCCUAGAACACAAAGGGGAUACAAUUCAAUAUGGGUGAUUGUUGAUAGACUAACUAAAUCAGCCCAUUUUCUUCCAGUGAAGUCCACAUUCAACAUGGAGCAAUAUGCACCACAAUAUAUUAAAGAGAUAGUUAGAUUGCAUGGAGUGCCAGUGUCAAUAGUAUCUGACAGAGAUCCGAAGUUCACUUCUGCAUUUUGGAAGAGUUUGCACAAUGCCAUGGGGACGAAGCUUGCAUUUAGUACAGCAUUUCAUCCACAGACCGAUGGACAAUCCGAGAGAGUUAUUCAAAUACUUGAGGAUAUGUUAAGAGCUUGUGUUCUAGAUUUGAAAGGGAGCUGGGAUGAAAAGCUUCCAUUGGUAGAGUUCACUUACAAUAACAGUUAUCAAUCUACAAUUGGAAUGGCACCUUAUGAAGCACUAUAUGGGAGAAAAUGUAGAUCUCCAAUUCAUUGGGAUGAAGUUGGUGAAAGAAGUCUACUUGGGCCAGAGAUGGUGCAACAUACUGCCGAUACGGUACGGAAGAUAAGGGAAAGAAUUAAGACGGCACAGAGUAGACAGAAAAGUUAUGCAGAUAAACGAAGAAGAGAUCAGGAGUUUACGGUUGGCGACCAUGUAUUUUUGAAAGUGGCUCCAUUGAAAGGCAUAAUGAGAUUUGGAAAGAAAGGAAAACUUAGUCCAAGAUAUGUUGGUCCGUUUGAAAUCCUUAAAAGAGUUGGUGAUAGAGCAUAUAGAGUAGCCUUACCUCCUUCAUUAUCUGGUGUUCACAAUGUUUUCCAUGUGUCUAUGUUGAAGAAGUACAUUUCAAAUCCCUCUCAUGUUUUGAGUUAUGAACCGUUUGAGUUUUCUGCAGAUUUGUCUUAUGAGGAGAAACCAAUUCAAAUUAUUGAUCGAAAAGUCAAGGAGCUGAGAAAUAAAAAGAUUCCAUUAGUUAAGGUAUUGUGGAUAAAUAAAUCUAUUGAAGAAGCCACGUGGGAAGGGGAGGAAGAAAUGCAUAGCAAAUAUUCAGAAUUGUUCGGUACGUCAACUUUCGAGGGCGAAAUUUUAUAAGGAGGGAAGGAUUGUAAUGCCCAACCAUCCAUACAUGGCCAAUAAUAAGCAUAUUGCAUCAAUGCAUAUAGUUAUAAUUCAUCAUUCAUGAUGCAUGAUCACGACUGCUUGUUACACAUGUGCCUUUUUUUUUUAAGAGAACGACACCCGGUGAGGGUGGGGGGUUAGGCUUGACCCCCUACCUGUUUAUAAAAGAAAAUUUAAGAAGUACAUAAUGAGUUUCGCUCAAAUUGCUACUGCCCAACAUAUGGGUAAUAAUAGCAAUUGACAAACAAAAGACAAUAGCUAACUAACAAAACGUUAAGAAUACGGGCAAAACAUGUGGCCCAAAUAAUAAAAUGGAUGGGUAGGGAAUGAUCAUAGAAGGUCGGGGAAGACCAAGGUAGACCGUUCGCCUCACCACAACAGCCAAAAAUGGGCGAAACAGGUAUAACGGCUGCGAAAUGUGUGGCACCAUUCGGCAAACAGUCUAGUCUUGAUAGACCCAAACAAUCCAUAAUCACCCCAACCCUUCCUAACAUGUAAAGUUCACGAAAAUUCCUAAAUUGCCAAUAAUAUAAAAACAUGGAAUGCAUGGCACCUAUGUGCGAGACUGUCAUCGAAAGGAUGGAUAUCCAAGCUGGUCCAUUCGAAUCAUCUGCUGAAUAGGUCGGGGAAGCUCCACUGUUGUGAAGGUACGAACCAACUCGGUCUGACACCCCAAGUUAGCUAAUGCAUCAGCCACUGUAUUGCCCUCCCGGUAGAUAUAUGUAAUCCUGUACUCCAAAGUAGAAAGAGAGUUCCGGAUCGCCGUGAGAGAAAUUUGAAGACUCCAAUGACCUUGGUCCGUGUGCGAAAGAAGUUGAACAGCGACUUCUACGUCAAGCUCGAUCCGAACUCUAGUGAAUUGCCUCUGAAUAACAAAUCGCAGCCCCGAGGCAAGGGCAGCAAGCUCGGCUGCAAUACUGCUCGGGGCAGAGAUCCUCUCGUGAAAUGCAAGUAUGGCCUCAGCGUCCGAACCUCUGAUAAUCCCGCCAAUAGCUGCAAUCUGGGUGGAUGCUCUACGGGCUCCGUCUGUGUUUAGCUUCACCCAACCCGGAUCCGGUGGAAGCCGAAUAACUCGAUGAGGUGUGAGAGUUGGUGUUCUGACUCGGUAAUAUAGGCUAAGAGACUCAGCCACGUGGGGAAUGCUAGUCGAGUUGUCCGCCGAAAGUAUGUUGGUUUGGUGAAGAAUCCUGAUGUGCUGGAUGACCCUGUAAAUGAUGGAAGAAGCGCGAACCGUGAUAUCCUUGUGCUUGCUGUCAUUUCUUGCAAUCCAUAAGUACCACAAGAUCAAGCAAGGCACAAUGGUCGUGAUGUGUGUGUGGUGUGUGAGUGUUUGCGAAGUGAAGUGCUGCCAAUAAAGUAAAAUCUGGGGUACGUGCGUAGUGUGUGCAGGUGUAUAGCCAAAAAGAUAGAAAAAAUGAUGCCAUGCCCUCUUAGCCGUCGGGCUCUCCACGAAGAUAUGAUCAAUCGACUCAACAGAAGGAGACUCGACAGACAGAGAUACAAGACUCGACACAAGAAUAGAUGGAUCUGGACAACAAUAGCACCUCAAGGCAAGAGAGGUGCCUCGAGACUGAAGUUUGGUAUCCACUGGAAGACGCUGAAGAAGGAGACGCCAAAGAAAGAUAGAAAUUGUAGGAGUAAGACAAGAUCCCCAAAAUAUACGAAGAAGAGGGGUAGGGGUAUGCUGCUGUCGUAUCAAGGCCCAAGCCGAGGUCAAGGAAAACUUGCCAUCCGAGGAAGCUCUCCAAAUGGGCAAAUCACUCGAAGCACCAGAGAUUGGGACCGAGCAAAUCCUAUCGAUCCACUCAAAAGGAAUAUCCUCAGCUAGCUUGUUUCGAUUCCACUGACCGUUAACCAAAUAAUACUCCACACGAACUGAUGUUAGCCGACCAACCAUCAAUAAUGCCCGAAAGGGGACCAUCGCCAAACCAGUGGUCGUGCCAGAAAUAAACAUGACCUGGACCAAUCCGCCAAAAUAUUUGAGCUUGAACACGCUCUCGGACACGGCUCAUGCGCUUCCACACCGUGCUAUAGAGUGAAGACACAACGCAUGAACCAGGGAACCGAUUCCGACAAUACUUGUUUCGGAGAAAACGGGCCCAAAGAGAAUCCUGAGCACGGAAUCGGAACAAGAGCUUGUAAGUGAAGGCGUCAAUCACAUCCGUCAAACGCCUCAACCCCAAGCCGACAAAUCGUCUGCCAAGCAACCCAAUGAGGCCGGCGCUGAUUACCAUAAGAUCCCCAGAGAAAUCGGGCCAUGCACUGCUCAAUCUGCCGAAUAAUGUACUGCGGAGGUUGAAUAACGUGAACAAGAUGCAAAGCCAUAGUCAAAAGCGUACUCCGGAUCAAGGCAAGACGGCCCCCGAAAGCCAAAGCGGUCCGAGCCCAAACCGAAAUCCUGGCUUGCACAUGUGCCUUUAUAGGGUUUUAAUAUGUGAUCGAAUAAUUUUCUUAAAAUGUGCUAAUACAUGAUACAUGUUAUUGAACUUCUACUUUAUGAUUUAACAUGAAACUUAAGUGAUUUAUUGUAAUGAGAAGCUCAGUUUCUCGGUUAAGAAGGGAUCAAUGUGUUAAACGCUGAUAUAGUUGUCUUAAUUGUAGUUCUGCAUUUUAAUUACAUUUUGAUAUGAUUAAUUACAUAUGUAAUUACUUGAAGUAACUCAUAUUAGACUAAAACCAAAAGUAUGCAAAAGGGUGCAAUUCGAUUGGUUGGUUGACUAGGUUGCACAAGACCAUUCUGAUUUUGUUUACACUUGAUUAUAAUGAGUAAACAUCAGCCCACCAUCUCAUCUCAAGCUGUAAAAACGUGGAAUAACCACAAGAAUCCAGCAAAUAUAAGCCGUCCAAUCAUCAUCCUCCAUUUGGCCUUGUUGGGAAUGGGUAGAUAAGUGAAGAUUUUGUGUUUCGGUCUUCAUUUUUACUUGUCUUCUUCCAAAAACGACCAGACCAAUUCCUUAAGCUUCUCUUCUUAUUUCUUCACUUCCAUAUUCACAAAAGAGAACAUCAAACCAUAAAAAUUCAUAGAAGUAUAGCUAGGACAAGUUCUGCACCUUUUCUAGCUGAAAAUCCUAUGUUUUGAAGUUUGAAUUCAUGUCUAAUCAAGUCUUGUAGCACACCUUAUCUAAGAACUGAUCCUUUCACUUCAUAGACCAUAUUGAACUUGAGGUAAGUGUUAAGUGUAUAUUUUUACACUUAAUGGUACCUUUUAAUUGGAGCUUUUGGUGUGUUUUAAUGAUAAUUGGUGCUUAAAAUGGUUAUUAUUUGUAUUUUAGGUGCAAAUUGAAGAAUUGUCAACUUUUGGGGUGAAAACUACAAAUUCGGAGAAAAAGUGGGCCAAAAGUGAAAAAAUCAGAUUUCUGAAGAAUUGAAGACCGCGGGGCCGUGCGGAUUUCAGGCGUAAAUCUCACACGGCCGUCCGGAUGGUCGUGGUGGCGCAGUGAAGGAAGUUUAAUUACACAAGGAAACCCGCCCUAUUAUAUUUUUGCACCCUAUUUAAAGGCCAAAAGCACACAAUUAGGAAUUAUCUUUUAAUCUUUUAUUAUCUUUUAUCUUUAGUUUUUAUUAUUCAUCUUUCUACACGCAAUCAAGGAGCACAAGAACGAAGACGAAGACUUGACGACUCUUCAUCAUAGUUCUCCUCCUUUAUUGUUAUUUAUAGCUUUUAUGAUUUUUCAUCUUUUUAUUAUGCUUUUCGUAGAGAACAUGAGUAGCUAAGUUUUUAUUCUAGGAUUUUAUUGGAACCCUAUGUGGUAAUUCGAACCUCUUUUUCGACUUUUAUGCAAGUUUAAUUCUUCGAUUAUUUCUUCUAUCUUGAUCUUAUUUAGCGCAUGAACGUAGGCGCCGUUGCCGGGGAAUACGGCUAAAUUAUUCAUUUAUCCUAAUAUUAAAUUUGAGAAAUUUUUCUUACUUCAGCCAAUUUAUUUAUUUUAUUUAAUUAUUUUCUUUUAUUAUUAUUUUGUUUUAGGUACUUUUUAUGCGAAGAGGACACGACACGAACUUGCUACCUCUUGAUCCCGAAAUUGAGCGAACGUUUAGGCAAGCCAGGAGAAAUCAACGGUUAGCCCAAAACACUCCGGCAACUAUGGAAGACGAGAAUAAUCGUGGGGGAGGUGACCAAGGGCGCCUACUGAAUGCGGCAGGGGAAAUCGUUAUCGAGCAAGAGCAACGCCAGCUAAUCAAUCCACCGCCUCGUCAACGAGCACUGCAUGAGUACACCGUCCCGACACUCAAUGGGUUCCAAUCAAGCAUCCAGCAGCCCCCCAUUGAAGCCAACAAUUUCAAGAUUCGAGCGGGACUCCUCACGAUGCUCCAAAACAAUGGUCUAUUCAGCGGAUUGGCUCAUGAAGAUCCACAUCUUCACUUGGUCAACUUUCUCGAAACGUGUGACUCGCACAAGAUGAACGGAGUAACACCCGAAGCAUUGCAACUCCGCCUGUUCAAGCACUCCCUACAAGGAGCAGCCCGAGAAUGGUUGCAAACUCGUGCACCGCACUCCAUCUCGUUGUGGGCCCAGCUAGCUCAACUUUUCAUGAACACAUACAACUCCCCAACAAAAACUGAGAGAAUCCGGCGAGAAAUUCAAAACUUCAUACAAGAAGCCGGUGAAGCAUUAUUCGAGACGUGGGAGCGGUUCAAACACGUAGUAAGGAGGUGCCCGAAUCACGGACUACAAGAGUGGCGCCAACUGCAAAAAUUUUACGAUGGACUGCAAGACAACUCGAGGACAGUGCUCGACUCUGCAGCUGGAGGCAUGUUCAUGAGUUUGACUUACGACGAAGCAUACAAUCUCUUGGAGCGGAUUGCUAGAAACAAAUUCAUGCGGGCAUCGGACCGGUCGAAUAGCGGAGCAGUCAAGACUGGAGGAAUUUUGGAGUUAGACGGAGUCACUGCAAUCACGGCCCAAUUGGAGAAGCUAUCGAAGCAAGUAGCGGCUUUGCAGACUAAGCAAGUCCACGCAGUCCAAGUUCCCAACCAGCGCAUAGAAGAAACGGAGUCUCUGAAUUAUGUGCAUGACACCAACCGACAACAGAGGAACCCGUACUCCAAUACUUACAAUCCCGGAUGGAAGGAUCACCCUAACUUUGGGUGGGGAGGAAAUCAGCAAGGACAAAGGCAAGCAACACCUCAAGGUCAAACGCCAAAUCAUUCACGACCAGCUCCCGGAUUCCAAAAUCCGCCUCAAGCUCAACCUCAAGGUGUAGAUCUCGCAAAUAUCUUGGCGCAAUUCAUGACAACCACCCAAGCCUCCAUCCGGAAUUUGGAAACACAAAUGGGUCAACUUGCAACCCAGCUAACCACGAGGCCAUCGGGAGCACUGCCGUCGAAUACGAAAGAUCCUCGGAAGAACAACGUCGAGCAGUGCAACGCUGUGAGUUUAAGGAAUGGGAGACAAUUGGAGGAAGCCCCACGAAAAGAGAAGCAAAACACGGUGAUCGAGAAGCCAAGCGUGAUUGGAGAAAAAGAAGCGACUCACGAAGAACCACUAUCAUCUCCAGUGAAAUCACGAGCCCCUCCGAUUUCAUAUCCUCAGAAGCUUAUGAAGAAGAAGCUCGAUGCCGAGUAUCAAAGAUUUUUGGACAAGCUGAAGGAAAUCCAAAUAAAUAUCCCGUUUAUUGAAGCCCUUCAAAAGAUGCCAAAAUGGGUGAAGUUCCUCAAGGAUCUCGUGACGAAAAGGAAGAAAUUGCAAGGGAACGAGAUGAUCCAACUCACGGAACAAUGUAGUGCAAUUCUUACACGGCCCCUUCCACAAAAACUCGGCGAUCCAGAUAAGUUCACUAUCCCUUGUACUAUAGGAGGUAAAAAUUUUAGAUCGCUUAUUGAUUUGGGUGCUAGCAUUAAUCUUAUGCCUUAUUCCACUUAUAAAAAUCUUGGGUUAGGUGAGAUUGAACCUACGGCUAUAACUCUGCAAUUAGCCGAUAGGUCUUUGGUUUACCCAAAAGGUAUUUUAGAGAAUGUGCUAGUAAAGGUGAACAAAUUUAUCUUCCCGGUUGAUUUUGUUGUACUCGAUAUAGAUGAAGAUAGGGAGAUACCUCUUAUUUUAGGGAGACCGUUUUUAGCCACUUCGAAAACUCUAAUUGAUUGUUCUAGUGGUGAUCUUACAAUGACGGUGCAUGAUGAAACGAUCAAAUUUAAUGUUUUUUGUGCUAAUAAAAAUCCAUGUGAGAAUAAUGAGUGUUUUACUAUUGAGCUUAUGGAUUUUACAAAUCAUGAAAAUUUUGAUGUUUCAAUUUUGGACCAUGGGAAAGCAUCGUUGAGUGCAGGAGAUGACAACGGAAAAGGGAAUCGGAAGGAGCACGUUUGUUGUGCGAACUCAAUUUCAACACCUCCGAGAGAUAGUCAAAAGAGUUGGGGUGCUAACGGUGAUGAACGUGCAAGGAGGAUGUGGCCACCUAAAAAAUCAAACGAGCGUCAUCGGGGAGAGGAAUCCAAUUGCCAAGUGACUUCGGUCACGUUAGCUUAAACAAAGAAGCAGACAAAGUCCGGCUGAAGACUGUAAACUUAGCGCUUCUCGGGAGGCAACCCGAGCUUUCGUUUUUCUUUCUUUUAUUUUAUUUUUUUUAUUAUUUUUGUUUUUAUUUAUUUAGCUUGUUAGUGUUCGUUCUUAUUUUAUUUCAGCUUUGGAAAAAAAAAAAAAAAGUUUCAGGGCCACUAAUUAGAAGUUUUUAUUUUACAGGGACUUAAUUGCAAUUCUUCACACGGCCGUGCAAGAAAAAGGCAGGAAUCUCACACGGCCGUGUGAGAUUUCGGAUGAGCUACUGUCCAAAUUGGCCAAUUGAUGCGGCCGUGCGGAUUUAUGCCUACAAUCUCGCACGGCCGUCCGAAAUAUAAAGUGGCUACUGCCCAAAUUCAACAAAUGGUGCGGCCGUGCGGAUAUUAAGCCUAUAUCUCGCACGGCCGUCCGAGGGAAAAAACGGGGGCAGCUUUAAAUAGAAUUUUUCACACCCCAAGCUUCACAAAUCCAAAACCUCUCUCUCAUACUUCGAACCCUAACGUUUUCUUUUCAAAAUUUUCGAUUUUCUUUGACAAAUUUCACCAGAAAUUCACCAAUUACACACACAUAAUACUUAAACUUGGUUGUUUGUUGCUGAUUUGUGCAGGGAGGAGUCAAUAAAGGUACAAAUUUCUCCAAAAAUCCAUUCCACCACGAACGCCCACAAGGUGUUCGACGAAUUGCCCAAGUCAAGUUUGGGGGAAAUUUUGCACAUCAAUCCACUCCUAAACCCUUCCACACACAUUCUCAAGUCAUGGGGAAACGAGGACGUGACGGAGAGGGCACUUCUCAAGGCGAAGGCCCUUCAAAAGGCAAGGGGAAGGGCAAGAAAACUGAUCAAAUUCCAACACCCGACGAAGAUGCUUGUUGUGUCGAAGGCGGUAGUGCUCGCUUUGAGAAGCAAAAAGUGAAGAAACUAGUGACGGAACGUGCCUAUGCGAUCACCCUUCCACAAUUCGCACCGUUGCACCAAGAAUUUCUACGACGAGGUUGGCAAGCAUUAUUGGAACCGGAGGGUUCGAUCAACCUAUCAUUGGUCCGCGAGUUCUACGCCAACAACCGUAUCCUCCUCGCAACGGAUCGGAACUCGAGCACGGUUCGAGGAAAGAAGGUCGAUUGGUGUGCCCACGCAAUCAACUCUUUUUAUCACCUCCGACACACGUCAUUCAAUUGGGAGCAAUUGCAACUUGCGGUCACACGAGAUCAAAUCGCCGAGGUGUUGUGCGAUGGACCCCCCAUUUGGUCCAACCUCUCAACCGAAGAAACGUACGAGUUGGAGUGGAAAUGCAUUCACCAAAUAGGCAAGGCGUGCCUUACGUUCAUUUUUGCCAACCUCAUUCCCACCCGCUCGUGGACUCACGUGGAUCCCGAACGGUGCGCCCUUGCUUACCACAUUCUCAAGGGCACACCGAUCAACAUUGGCGAAAUCAUAUCCGACCGAUUUUGGACCUCCAUGGUCAACAACUCCAAGGGGUUUUAUUUCCCUUGCCUAAUUACCGGCUUGUGCAAGAAGGCGAAGGUCCCAACCAAAACGACGGAUAUUCUCACCUCGAUUCGGAAGCCGAUGAGUAACCUUGCGGCCCGACAAUACAAGGCACCCAUCCAAGAUGGCGAGCAACCCGUCGAUGGCCAACCAAUAGCUCCACCCGAGGGUCCAAGUACAAGUUCGGACCGGCGAUUUCAAAGAAGAAUGGAGCGCGAGUUGGUGAUCACGAGAAAUCGGCUUGCCACGGUGGAGCACAAGGUGAGCACGAUCGAAUCCCUCCAACGAUGGUCGGGAAAGAUGCUCCAAGCCAUUGUGCGCCAUUUGGCUUGCGGCAAUCCCGAGUGCGCCGAACCGGUUCCGUUGCCCGCACCGAUUCUUGAGCCGGUACCCGAGCUUUCGGGUGAUGAAGGAGAUGGUGAUGCUCAUGCGCAAGGUGGAGUUGGUGAGCAACCCGACGAUGGUCCCGACGCUUAAAAACAGGUGUUUUCUAUCCUUAAACUCCGGGCGAAUCACAUUGAGGGCAAUGUGAAUUUUAAGUUUGGGGGUGGAUAACUACUUGUUUUCGUUUAUGUGCGCUUUAUUUGUGUUUUAUUUUUUUUUAUUUUAUUUUGCAUGCUUUAAUUUUUGUUUUAGUUGCCGUUUUAUUAUUUCCAUUUUUAUUAUAUAAAAAAAAAAUAAAAAAAAAACAUAUGUAAGUUGAAUGUGGGAUCGACAUCCGACUCUCACGAGUCUACUUUACUACUUGUUUGCGAUACGUACACUUGCGUGUUGGUAUUUAGCACCCAACAGUAAGUUGAAGCUUUCAUUUGCUCAUGAUAAGAACCUAAUUAUGUGUGCUUUAAUGUGACUUUUGCUACGUGUUCUCCAUGAUGUUUGAAUGAUUGAUGAGUCAUAGUGAUAUGAAAGAAUAUGUUUUGAAAAUGGGAGUAUGGUACUUGAUUGAUGGUCGAGUAGGCAAGGGACGCGGGAGGAACCGGCGGACCCAACGCAUGGUGGCAAAUACCUGAGGUCGAAAGACCAGUAUGGAAAACCCACAAUUAAAGAAAUGAAAUACGGCUAAUACCUGAGGUCCAAAGGCCGGUAUGGAAACCCCCCUAUUAUCUAUUGGCCAAAUGUGAUGAACAGGUUCUGAAAAUCA